UGAAGGUUCACGAAUCUGAAUACUCAAUAUAGUUGGAGUCUUGAUGACGGUAAAACAGGUGGUCUAACUGACACUCGCGAUUACACGAAAGUAGCAAAGGCUAAACUUUAUCUAAUCAAAACCCAAGGCUCCAUAGGGGGGCUCAUGGGGUAUAAAUAGGAGGGGAACUAGGUGGUUUUCGGCCAGGCCCUUGUGGGACUCCAAAACGGCCUAGGAAUCCUCCUAAAACACAACGAAAACAUCUAAAAAUUGGCUGGACUCUAUUACAUGGCCUUAGGCCCAAUAAAACAAGGUUAUAACCCUCAUCUUUGGCCCAUAGAUACCCAUUGGAGGGGGAAUCCUCCACUUGGCCGAAAUCCCAUUGAUGAAGAGGAUGCGGCCUUCUUCUCAUCUCUUUAUGGCGGUUUCAAUGUUCUAAAAUCAACACUUGAGCUACCUCCCGCCACCUUGCUGCCACCUCCAUGGUUUGCUGUCCAACGCUGAUCCUUGAGGUCCAACCUAGGUCUUUCAUUCCUAAAACACAUAAAAGAACCCAUCUUAGGCAGCAGCAUAUUCUCAUUAAUAUUAAAUGAAGUACCGAGGAACGAAAAUACCUGAUAAUUUAGUUGUCGUGCACGAGCUCUAGUAAUUGGUCCAUGUAUCUCCGGUACUUGAGGUGUAGGUGCUGUAGGGGCUGUGGUUGUAUCAUUAGUUGGGAUGUCCUCAUCAUCCUCCCCUUCUUGAAUCGAAGUCGUCCUCGACGGUAGUUCAUCUUCUUCUCCCAAAUAAGGCUUCAAAUCUGCAAUAUUAAACGUGGGACUAACCCCAAAAUCUGCAGGUAGCUCAAGUUUAUAUGCAUUAUCAUUAAUUUUCGCUAACACCUUAAAGGGACCAUCAGCUCGUGGCAUUAACUUAGACUUGCGCAAAUCAGGGAAACGAUCUUUGCGCAAAUGCAACCAAACAAGAUCUCCAGGUUCAAACACAAUUUGUGUUCUGCCCCUAUCUCCCGAAAGUUUAUACUUAGAAUUCAUGCGCUCAAUGUUCUCUUUAGUCGUCUCAUGCAUUUUUAUUAUAAAUUCAGCACGUUCCUUAGCAUCAAAGUUAACUUUUUCAGAAGUCGGCAAAGGUAACAAAUCAAUUGGUGCACGAGGUAUAAAACCAUAAACAAUUUCAAAAGGGCACAAUUUUGUGGUUGAAUGCAGUGAACGAUUAUAAGCAAAUUCAAUAUGAGGUAAACAUUCUUCCCACAUUUUCAAGUUCUUCUUUAAAACAGCCCUAAGCAUAGUAGAUAAUGUUCUAUUAACAACUUCAGUUUGUCCAUCUGUUUGGGGAUGACAUGUAGUACUAAAAAGCAAUUUAGUCCCCAACUUAGCCCAUAAACAUCUCCAAAAGUGGCUAAGAAAUUUUGUGUCAAGUUCUUACUCGUUCAGAUCUGUUUGGGAGAUUUUUUCAGUUUAUCCAUAGUUUAGAUCUGUUUUUACCUAUCGUCCAGAAAAGGCCAAACAAAAAUUAGAAUUAGUUACCUUGUCCUAGAACCAAUCUGAGCCUUGCAAUUUUCACAUUAGUAUUUGCAUUGUUGAAUCUUUGCUGCAUUAAUCGUGUCGAGUUGCUGGAUUAGAUUGGAUCGUUUUUCAGAUUUUUUUCUACUAGAUCGAACUUGCUUUUGGUUUUCUUGUUCUUCGUGUGACGCAGGUUUCCUUCAUCAAUCUUCCGCCGCCAAACUUCCUGCCACACCACCGCCAUAAUCUUCCACCGCCACCAUAUCUUCCACCGAGUCCCUCUUCGAGUCCUACACCGAGUCCCUCUUCAAGUCCUACACCGAGUGCUUCUUCCAGUCCUACACCGAGUCCCUCUUCGAGUCCUACAUCGAGUCGGGAAGUUAUAGUUUUCAGCCGCGAGUUCGAGUCCGAGUCCAAUCAAGAGUGCUUUUGGAAAGUGUUUCAUAAUAGAUCGAAUUUUGUUUAGAGAUCAAGUUGUUCGGAAAGUUGUGAAAAAAAAGAAGGGAAAGAAAAAAAAAAGGAAGAAAGAAAGAAAAAAAAACGAAAAAAAAAGAGAAAGAGUUCGAGUCAGUUUCGGAUCCGAGUCCGAGUAGAAUUUUAGUUUCGGGUGGGUUUGACCCGUGUUCAGUAAAACGGGCGUAUCUUUUGCGUACCAACUCGGAUUUGGACGUUCCUGGACUUUUUGGAAAGCUCAUGACGAAGCGCAUCAGGAAAUAUCCAGGGCAGUGCCCUGCACUUUGACCCUAAAAUUCGGCCUUUAAGGUGGAGUUUUCGAGCUCCAAAGUUUCUGCACCCGUUUUACGGCACUGGGGCAGCGCAGUAUAUCUCAGUUUUCUCCACCGUCCGACCUCCGUUUCGAGUGAUCUUGCACUUGUUGGAAAGCUUGUUUUGAUACGCUUCUAACCCAUAUUUUCUCAUAUUUUUCUGAGUUUUCCUUACUACAGCCUUUGCUAUUCUCCUACAGACCGACGUGCAGCUUUCCGGUCUUAACUUCUUUUGCGUGAGUUUCUGGGGAUAAAAAAAAGAAAAAAAAAUAGAAAAGAAUAAGAAGCCAAACAGAAGGCCAAAAAAAAGAAAAAAAAAGAGAAAAAAAUUAUUCCCCAGAGAUUUACUUGUUUUACCUUUCAUUUAAUCUUUCCUUUCGACCUUUUUCAGUAUCUAGGCUUAGUUAAUUUCUGUAAUUCGUUCUUGUCGACUCCAGCAACUAGAACUAGCAUUUUUGAGCAUAUUUUCAACUUUGCAUUGCUGAUUUGAUUAUUCGCUUUUCCUUGCUACUCACAUAAGCCUCCAAGCUCCACAGAUUCUACACCUAGGUUGGUUUGCCUCGAGGCAUCGAUACACUAAUCUUCGGAGGGCUUGUUCUCGCUGCUGGCCAUCACCUUCCUGUUUGCUGGGUAAGAACGAGUAAGAAUUUGAUUAAAAGUUGAGUGGAGUGAUCUUUGGAACCCCACAUUCUUUUGCAUUUCUUGAUAAUAAUCUUGGACAGAAUUACUACCUUGCCUUAAUUGUUGUAGUUUCUUUAACAAGUCACGCGAAUAGUAUGAAGGAACAUAUCUAGCGCGCAUAAUUCUUUUCAAAUCAUCCCAUGUUGGUGGUAUAGCGUUAGGAUGUGCAAUACAAUACUCAUGCCACCAAACAGAAGCAAAAUCAGUAAACUCACUAGUAGCAGCCCUAACCCUCUUAUUAGCAGGAAAAUCAUGGCAAGUAAAUUUUUGACUCAAUUCUAAUUCCCAUGUAAGGUAAGCAUCAAGGUCAUAUUUUCCAUCAAAAGGAGGAACCUUAAGUUUAAUAGAAUGCAGCAAGUCAUGUUCCUCUCUGUGAGGUCGUGUCGGUCCCAUACCUCGGCGGUUGAAACGAGUUCGGCGAUGAUCACGGUCGUUGUGAUGGUUUACGGCCCCGUCAUGUUCCGUAUCCGCGGAGUAGUCGUCGUCGUUCUCCUCAACCUCGCUUGCGAAGGUACCGUUAUUAGCGGUCCGCUGGUUGUGUGUAUUGUUUCCUCCCGGUGUAGCGAUGGUCGUUGCAGCAAUUGCCGCCAGUUGCGUCGUGAUUUCUGCCAGAGAAGUACUAAUGGUAGCAACAGAAUUCUGUAAAGAUGUUAGCUUGGUAUUUGUUUCAAUGUGCGCGCUCUCCAAGGUUCCAAGUCUCUCAUUCGCAACCCGAACGUCCUCAUCCAGCUCCUCGUUACGAAGCCUAAGCUUGCGAUCAAAAUGUGAAAUAAUGCCCUUUGUGCGUGGAGAGUGGCCUUGUAAAUCAUCGUCAGAACCUGCCAUCGUUAGGAGAAAACAAGAAACAAAUCACAAGGAAAAAGUCCCUAUGCACUACUAGGAUGUGGGGUUCCAAAGAUCACUCCACUCAACUUUUAAUCAAGUUCUUACUCGUUCUUACCCAGCAAACAGGAAGGUGAUGGCCAGCGGCGAGAACAAGCCCUCCGAAGAUUAGUGUAUCGAUGCCUCGAGGCAAACCAACCUAGGUGUACAAUCUGUGGAGCUUGGAGGCUUAUGUGAGUAGCAAGGAAAAGCGAAUAAUCAAAUCAGCAAUGCAAAGUUGAAAAUAUGCUCAAAAAUGCUAGUCCUAGUUGCUGGAGUCGACAAGAACGAAUUACAGAAAUUAACUAAGCCUAGAUACUGAAAAAGGUAGAAAGGAAAGAUCAAAUGGAAGGUAAAACAAGUAAAUCUCUGGGGAAUAUUUUUUUUUCUCUUUUUUCUUUUUCUUUUUGUGGCCUUCUGUUUGGCUUCUUAUUCUUUUUUUUUUUUAUCCCCAGAAACUCACGCAAAAGAAGUUAAGACCGGAAAGCUGCACGUCGGUCUGUAGGAGAAUAGCAAAGGCUGUAGUAAGGAAAAAUAUGAGAAAAUAUGGGUUAGAAGCAUAUCAAAACAAGCUUUCCAACAAGUGCAAGAUCACUCGAAACGGAGGUCGGACGGUGGAGAAAACUGAGAUAUACUGCGCUGCCCCGGUGCCGUAAAACGGGUGCAGAAAAUUUGGAGCUCGAAAAGUCCACCUUAGAGGCCGAAUUUGAGGGUGAAAAUGCAGGGCACUGCCCUGGAUAUUUCCUGAUGUGCCUCGUCGUGAGCUUUCCAAAAAGUCCAAGAACGUUCAAAUCCGAGUUGGUAUGCAAAAGAUACGACCGUUUUCCUGAACACGGGUCAAACCCACCCGAAACUAAAAUUCUACUCGGACUCGGGUCCGAAACUGAGUCGAACUCUUUCUCUUUUUUUUCGUUUUUUUUUCUUUCUUUCUUUCCUUUUUUUUCCUUUCCUUUCUUUUUUUCACAACUUUCCGAACAACUUGAUCUCUCAACAAAAUUCGAUCUAUUAUGAAACACUUUCCAAAAGCACUCUUGAUUGGACUCGGACUCGAACUCGCGGCCGAAAACUAUAACUUGCUGACUCGAUGUAGGACUCGACGAGGGACUCGGUGUAGGACUCGAAGAGGGACUCGGUGUAGGACUCGAAGAGGGACUCGGUGGAAGAUAUGGUGGCGGCGGAAGAUUAUGGCGGUGGUGUGGCAGGAAGUUUGGCGGCGGAAGAUUGAUGAAGGAAACCUGCGUCACACGAAGAACAAGAAAACCAAAAGCAAGUUCGAUCUAGUAGAAAAAAUCUGAAAAACGAUCCAAUCUAAUCCAGCAACUCGACACGAUUAAUGCAGCAAAGAUUCAACAAUGCAAAUACUAAUGUGAAAAUUGCAAGGCUCAGAUUGGUUCUAGGACAAGGCAACUAAUUCUAAUUUUUGUUUGGCUUUUUUUGGACGAUAGGUAAAAACAUAUCUAAACUACGGAUAAACUGGAAAAAUCUCAACGAGCAACCUUAAGCUCUGAUACCACGUGAUAGCCUCGAGGGUGUCCCGAUCUUUCGAUGAGAUACCUAAUUAUCGAUUUGGUAGGAGGUGACGUUGACGAUUCGACUACAACCUAGGAGGCAGCGCCUUAGCGAUCGAUACACCAACUCCAGAAGGUUAUUGAUCCCGCGGGGGCACGAUCAACCUGACCACGAAGGUCUUUGUUCCUGCAAGCAAUCGAAGAACAAGCAAGAACAAGAUGAAAAGCAAUCUGAAAUUGCGAAUAGGAGAUAUGAAGGUUCACGAAUCUGAAUACUCAAUAUAGUUGGAGUCUUGAUGACGGUAAAACAGGUGGUCUAACCGACACACGCGAUUACACGAAAUUAGCAAAUUCUAAACUUUAUCUAAUCAAAACCCAAGGCUCCAUAGGGGGGCUCAUGGGGUAUAAAUAGGAGGGGAACUAGGUGGUUUUCGGCCAGGCCCUUGUGGGACUCCGAAACGGCCUAGGAAUCCUCCUAAAACACAACGAAAACAUCUAAAAAUUGGCUGGACCCUAUUACAUGGCCUUAGGCCCAAUAAAACAAGGUUAUAACCCUCAUCUUUGGCCUAUAGAUACCCAUUGGAGGGGGAAUCCUCCACUUGACCGAAAUCCCAUUGAUGAAGAGGAUGCGGCCUUCUUCUCAUCUUUUUAUGGCGGUUUCAAUGUUCUGAAAUCAACAGUUGAGCUACUCCCGCCACCUUGCUGCCACCUCCAUGGUUUGCUGUCCAACACUGAUCCUUGAGGUCCAAGCUAGGUCCUUUAUUCCUAAAACACAUAAAAGAACCCAUCUUAGGCAGCAGCAUAUUCUCAUUAAUAUUAAAUGAAGUACCGAGGAACGAAAGUACCUGAUAAUUUAGUUGUCGUGCACGAGUUCUAGUAAUUGGUCCAUGUAUCUCCGGUACUUGAGGUGUAGGUGUUGUAGGGGCUGUGGUUGUAUCAUUAGUUGGGAUGUCCUCAUCACAAUCUAUAUACGUUUCAGCAUCAUUUUUCUCCUCAAAGAAAGGUACGCACAAUUUAAUUGUAUUAGAAGGAUUGUUUUGUACCGUUGCCGUGGCAUUCUCAACAAGAGACGUGGAGGAUAGCCGUGGUGAAAAGCACUGAUCGCGGUCACGGGAUAGCAUCGGUCUAGUUGCCAUGCUUCGUGUAAGUCCUGUCAUGGUUAGUAGAAAACAAGAAACAAAUCACAGUAAUAUGUUCCUAUCAACUACUAGGAUGUGGCUACAAGUCGCUCAACUCUCAAGCUAAAAAUCAAGUUCUUACGAGUUCUUACCAUGCAAAACAGGCAGGUGAUGGCCAGCGACGUAACCAAGCCCUCCGAAUAUUAAAUGUAUCGAUGCCUCGGUAACAAACCAACCUAGGUGUAGAAUCUGUGAAGGUUGGAGGCUUUUGUGAGUAGCAAGGAAUAGCAAAUAAUAAAAUCAGCAAUGCAAAAUUAAAAAUAUGCUCAAUAAUGCUACUCCUAGCUGCUGGAGUCGAAAAGAACGAAUUACAGAAAUAAUCUAAGCUUAGAUACUGAAGAAGGUAGGAAUAGAUAGAUCAAAAGAUGGCACAACAAGUAAAUCCCUAGGAUUUUUUUUUCUUUUUCUUUUUGUGGCCUUCUGUUUGGCUUCUUAUUCUUUUUUUCUUCUUUUUCUUUUCUUUUUAACCCCAGAAACUCACGCAAAAGAAGGACCGGAAAACUGUACGUCGGUCUGUCGAAGAACAGCAAAGGCUGCAGUAAAGAAAAUUCAAAAAAAUAUGGAAAAAUAUAGGUUAGAAGCGUAUCAACACAAACUUUCCAGCAAGGGCAAGAUCACUCAAAACGAAUGUCGGACGGUGGAGAAAACUGAAAAACACCGGGCUGCAGCGACGCCAAAAAACCGAUGCUGAAACUUGGAAGCUCCGAAAGUCCACCUUACAAACCGAAUUUGAGGGUCAAACUGCAGGGAAAAGCCCUGGAUAUUUCCUGCUGCGCCUCGCCGUGAGCUUUCCAAAAGGUCCAUGAACGUCCAAUCCACGUUCUGGAUCAAAGUUUAGCACCGACUCCGAUUUGGCCGCAUUGCCCGCCCCAGUGAGGGACCAUGCCUAGCGAGUCCGCACAAGCGGUCUACUCUUGUAUCGCUUCGAUGAGUAGCUUUGUUUGGUGUGCUCAUCCUAGUAUCUCAAAUGGACACGUUCUGGAUCAAAGUUUAGCACAGACUCCGAUUUGCCGAAAUGUCCGUCCUACUGACGGACCAUGCCUAUCGAGUCCGUACGAGUGGUCUAGUUUUGUUUCGCUUAGAUGAGUAGUUUUGUUUGGUGUGCUCAUCCUAGUACCUCAAAUGGACACGUUCCGGAUCAAAGUUUAGCACCGACUCCGAUUUGGCUGGAUUGUUCGUUCUAGUGCGAGGCCACGGCUUGCGAAUCCAUACAAAAGGUCCAUGAACGCCCAAUCCGAGUUGGUACGCAAAAGAUACGUCCGUUUGACUGAACACGGGUCAAACCCACCCGAAACUAAAAUUCUACUCGGACUCGGGUCCGAAACUGAGUCGAACUCUUUCUCUUUUUUUUCGUUUUUUUUCUUUUCUUUCUUUCCUUUUUUUUUCUUUCCUUUCUUUUUUUCACAACUUUCCGAACAAAUUGAUCUCUAAACAAAAUUCGAUCUAUUAUGAAACACAUUCCAAAAGCACUAUUGAUUGGACUCGGACUCGAACUCGCGGCUGAAAACUAUAACUUGCCGACUCGAUGUAGGACUCGAAGAGGGACACGGUGUAGGACUCGACGAGGGACACGGUGUAGGACUCGAAGAGGGACUCGGUGGAAGAUAUGGUGGCGGCGGGAGAUUGUGGCGGUGGUGUGGCAGGAAGUUUGGCGGCUGAAGAUUGAUGAAGGAAACCUGCGUCACACGAAGAACAAGAAAACCAAAAGUAAGUUCGAUCUAGUAGAAAAAAAUAUGAAAACGAUCCAAUCUAAUCCAGCAACUCGACACGAUUAAUGCAGCAAAGAUUCAACAAUGCAAAUACUAAUGUGAAAAUUGCAAGGCCAGAUUGGUUCUAGGACAAGGUAACUAAUUCUAAUUUUUGUUUGGCUUUUUCUGGACGAUAGGUAAAAACAGAUCUAAACUACGGAUAAACUGGAAAAAUCUCACCGAGCAACCUUAAGCUCUGACACCACGUGGUGUGGGUCAGGGUGGCCCGAUCUUUCGAUGAGAUUCAUAACUCUCGAUUUGGAUAGGAGGUGACGUUGACGAUCCGACUACGGUUUAGGAGGCAGCGCCUUAACAAUCGAUACACCAACUCAAGAGGGUUAUUGAUCACGCGGGGGCACGAUCAACCUGACCACGAAGGUCUUUGUUCCUAUAAGCAAUCGAAGAACAAGCAAGAACAAGAUAAAUAGCGGAUGCAAUCUAAAAUUGCGAGUAUACUAUAUCAAACCAAUGUCUCAACGAGACGAUAAGUUGGAGUCUUGACGACGGUAAAACAGGUGAUCUAACCGACACACGCGAUUACACGAAAGUAGCAAAGAUGGCUAAACUUUAUCUAAUCAAAACCCAAGGCUCCUUAGGAGCGCUCAUGGGGUAUAUAAAGGAGGAGGGAGAGAUAUUUUCGUCCACCUUGAGUAAGGAGGUCGAAAUCCAACUCGAUCUCUAACUUUCCUAACAAACUACAACUCUUUAGGAAACAGAAAAACAGGUUCGUCCGCGUGUUUUGUCUGCCACGGUCGGCACCAGUUGAAUCUCUUGAUGGGGCCAGAUCCGUUGGAAAGGUCUUGUAAUUACCUUUCCAACAAAUACUUGUUUGCUUGAUUUGGACUCCGGAUGCGGCCUGGGUGAUUAAAACAAAUUCGGGUCUCCUGACAGCUCGGACCCAAAUCGAAUUCAACUUUAAUUCGUGAUAUCUUUCUCUAGCAAGCUUCGAAUCAUGUGCCGUUUUUGUUGGAAAGUAGACUUGAUAGGCUUCACUUUGAAUCCCCCUUUGCAGGCUAUCACACUUCAUUUUCACUUUGGACUUGUAAAGUUCAAUAAAAUGCCUACAUAAUAAGAUUACACAAGAUAGUAGCUCCGCCUCUUUGCAAGUAACAUAUUGAAAAUUUUUUGUAAUUGAAUUCACCUGAUUAUAAUUGUUAUUAGAUAGACCAACAAUUAGGGUUCUAAUGGUCAUAUCCAUGGUUAGCAUGUCCAUACCAGUAGAUAUCUGGAGAGACACUCUAAUAACAAUGUCUAAUGAGAGGAUGUGAAGCGGCUACCAGGUGUAAGGUGAUUACCUAUUUACUAAACACCAAACAACACAAUCCUCAUAUCACCCCUCAACACCCUGUGAGGAAGCAAUCCAAAGGACACUCACACUUAAGCAGUUUUGAGCAUACCCAUGAUUAAGGCUAAUUAUUACUCAAGUUUAAGAGAUUAAGUUAAUUAACUGGUAUGAGUUCUCUAUGAUCAAGUAAUGACCAAUCAAGUCAUCCAUAACCGCGGACACGGCUUUCCGAAAGAUUUAUCCCUGCAGGGUGUGCCAAUUUACUCGUACACGUUCGUCGAACCCUUAUUGCCACUCGAGUAGGAACACACAAAAAGGUGUGUCGGCAGGAUUGAGCGACACGAUGUUUCCAAGCCCCACAACUAAUCCAGGAAACCACCCAACUGAGUCUAAUCCGAAAUGAGAGCCCGGCCGAAGCGUCGUACGGACUCAAGAGUUGCAGGAAGAGCUGGUAGUGGUUCAGUGUCCGCAGAAUGACCACUCCAGACAUGUGCCGCAGUCCUAUAUGAAUGCAAAGUCACCAACAAAUGUCUACGAAUCUCUGUGUGCAUGCAAUGCAAGUGCCAAAUGGAACGCCCGAACUAUGUGGCCCCUGGAAGAGCUAUGAAACGUGUACUAAGCCGAGGGGGGACCCAUAUAUUCUACCACGAGCGGUUAGUGCGAAGUUUCUUGGGUUGGCAAAAAUGAGAACUCAGUCCUUAGGUCGACGCCAAUGGAACAAAACACCAAUGAGUUAGAGCACGGCCUCCCAUCGUUGCCUUGUUACAGUUUAAUAUCAUAUCACGGUUUAAUAAUUGCAAUUUAAAAUACAGGAAGUAGCAUGUGGAUGUAGCAAUUGUGGAACCCUAGAUAUAAGGACACUAGACUCGCAAUUAAGCAUGACAUCUAAUGACCAAGAACUAGGGCAACAAGCAAACAUGUGACAUGGUAAUAGGACUAGUAACAAGACAUAGGGUAAUAAGUAGAGCUGACUAAUAAGUUAUGCAACCUAGAGGCAUCGUGACAAGACUGAGAUCGUAACUUAAUGCAAGAUUGAGGGAGAAGCAAUAGGUAGAAUCAACAUGGUCAAGGAAGGCUGCUUGCCUGAAGUACUCAAUUGCCCGGAAUUGAGCAAGAAACCUGGAAGAAGAACACAAGCGUAGUCGUCGUCGUAGGAAUCGAAGACUAGCAACGAAGAAGCAAAUCCACCACAUAAAAGGAAAGUAUAAGCAUACAAGAUACACAUGGUAAUGUUAAAUGCGCAAUCAAAGGAUGAUGCAUGACAUAUAGGGAUGAUGCAUGACAUAUAGGGAUGAUGCAUGACAUAUAGGGAUGAUGCGUGACAUAUUAAGAAUCCCGAAAGUAAAUCCGAUAUACGAUCACCAAGUUAAAUGGAGUCCGAAUCAUCUACACAUAGCCUCUAAAUAACUCCAUAUGCAAGGAAUAGAGUUUAAUUGGUUAAUUACACACAAUAAUAUUAUAGUUGUAUUAUCAUGUAUGAGAAUGACAUGAAUAGGUGCGAUGCAGGCUUUAAAACAAGAACAACACACCAAACAAACAACUCGGUCGGGUUGCACACACCAACGAGGUACCUGCAACUAUCGAUACUAUCGGUACAUACACGGCAUCUCAUACAACACAUGAAUAUCAUCGGUCGCAACCUACGGAUCUACGCCGAAGAACGGUCGGUUCACGGACGGUCGCUCGUUAUACCUUGGACUCGUUGCGACGUCGCGAUGUAGAGGAAGUAGUCGACGUAGUCGAGGUAGUCGUACACAUAGUCGUCGUAGUCGAAGUAGCUGUUCACGUAAGCGAUGUAGUCGUCGCGGCGAAGUAGUCGUUCACGGGACCGGCUCGAAGGUUCAAGGCGAUGUUGGUCUCCACGGUGCCGAUGAGGUGUGGCAGCAACACGUGCAGUAGCGAGGCAUCUUGACGCGGAGCAACUACAACACAGCAGGAGGCGCUGACCAGCAGAGCCCACACGUCAAGAUUUCAACUAUUUCAGGAAAAGAAGAAAAAGGAAAAGAGGGCACGGGCUUGGGCUUGGAUCUGGCUUGGGCUUGGGCGAGCCGGGCUUGCUCGGGCCUUCGGGCUGGAGGCAGAGGAGGCUGGUGGGGAGUGCUGUAGGCGGGCGGCGUGCGUGGAGGCGGUCGCCGGCGGCUCACAGCAGGCGAGGGAGGCCGUCGGCGCGAGGCCACGGCAGGCGGGCGUCGCGGCUAGGAACAGAGGCCGGGAGGAGGUGGUCGUGGGCACGCGUGGUGGAGGGCGGAGCAGGAAGAGAGGGCGGCCAGGCGGAGGCGUGCGGAGAGCGAGGGACGCCCGGGGAGAGGAGGGCGCGCGGGGCGGACGCGGGAGGAGGCGGCUCCGGCGCAGAGGGAGAAGGGCGCGCGGGCGAGCGCGGGGCAGAGAGGCGGAGCAGGGGAGGCGCGCGCGAGGAGAGGCGGAGCGGCGCCGCGGCGAGGGGGCUUGGUGGCGCGGCAGGCAUGGGACAGAGGAGGCGCUCGGGCGGGGGAGAAGGCCGCGGGGAAGGGAGCUCGCCCAGGGAGAGAGAGAGAGAGAGAGGGGGGGGGGGGGGCGGCCAUGGAGAUGGAGCAGUGGCAGAGAGGGAGGCGCCUGGGUGAAUGAAGAAGAAGGGGAGAAGGCUGGCGGCGGCUGAGGAAAAGAAAUAAAGAGAAAGAAAAAGAAAGAAGGGAUUAGGAUAGCUUUAUAGGUUAGAAAAACCUAGGGUUUGGUUUAGUGGGCUUUUGGGUCAACAAAAGUCUCAAACAAAAAUACGGGUUUUACCAAUUUAUAUUUUCGUGAUAAAUUAAGAGACGAGAGGCUAGGUCUAAUUAAUUCCGGAAGUAAUUUGUCAAAUCAAAAUAGAAUUUCUACAAAAAUAGUUUUAGGCUUUCGCGAACACGCGAAAAGGCAAGCACAUUAAAGACAGCUUCGUGCAAUGAAUAUGGUUUCAUGUGACAUGAUGCUAAUGACAUGGCAAAACAAUUAUGAUGACAUGAGCAUGACAGAUGAUGACAACAAUUAAAUUACAAAACAAUCCAAAAGGGCUUAAAGGAAAAGGGUUGCUCUCGGGCUGUUACACGGUACGCCUAGGGUUAGGGUUAGACCGCGUUUUGGCUAUUUUCGAGACUUUGUUGAACUGCGAGAAUCAUUCAUCUGGAAUCCUAUACACCAUAUUCGUUUUGAUAAGGUGUUUUUAUCUACUGAAAUUUCGAGUAUAAUCUCUCGUUCUGCUGGGAAUUGGAAGAUUGCGAAACCACUUGUGGUUGGCGGACUACUGCGCAAGUGUGUGGUGUUGCGAAUUUCCAUUGGGUUGCAAGUUCGUCGUGCGGUGACGGGUGAACAGCUAGAAGAUUUGUAGAAUCAUACAAGUUAUCCGCGUUGCUCUCUGAGAAGAUCGGGCCACCCCUUAUCAACGUUCCGAAUUAACUGACGUGUAUUUGUAUAGAUAUACAAAUCAGUUAAUUCAGGAUGGAUGAAAUAUAAGACAUGCAGAAAAACAGACAAACAUCGCUUGUACUCCAUAUCUGAUUGUUAUUAAAUGCUAUUUAUACCGGAAAAAACAUUACAGAUCAUCACUUUACAAUAUUGGAAAUCAAAAGGUGCAAUAUGUGUUCUCUCCUUCCUACCGCAAGGUCAUGUCCUUUAUUUAUUGUCAAGGGAUGAAAUCUCGUUGCCUCGAUAUGAUACGUACUCGUACGUGAUUUGUUUAGACGUGGGGAGAAUCUCAGGAUGCGACUAACACAUACAUUUACGCAGGUCUAAACCACCUCGGAUUGGGUACCAACUCUACUCAUGUCUUGUUGAGAUUAUCGGACACUUAAAGUACAAUAGUGUUUACGAUUGGGGUAUUUGGCGACUCAGCGGGUUAGGAUUAUGUGUGUAUGGUAGGCUCUUGCAAUCUCUUGAUUACUCUCCCUUCUCGCGGGCAUCUGGCCAUCCUUUUAUAGUCGCAGUAUGGCGGUUGCUCCUCUGUAUUAUGGUAGAAUUUCAUGUUGCGUCGAGCAGGUCUCCUAAUACAAUACGAAUGAUGCAGUGUAGUCGAGUGUGGCAGGUGCCAAGCCUCCAAGGUAUCCACAUGUACAUGGAGAAACUUCGUGCGACCGAUUGCGAAAUCCGAUGGCACAUCUUGGGCGCAAGAAUGAUGACAUCUGUGUCAUAUUGUCUUCUAUAACCCUUCACGAGUUGAUCUACUCUACUUAACAUCCCAAAAUAUGCUCAACACUUGAGGCUCUUGAGGACUCUAUACACAAAGAUCACUUAGAUCCAAUCAUUGUGGAUUCCUUACUCAUAAGGCUAUGACCCUAUACGUCAUGAUCACUUGGAUACGACUUAAAGUCAGUCCGAGUUCUCACAUGUGGCUUUGAGUACACUACUCGCUCCAAGUGUUCUCAAAUUCAAGCUGAUAGCUGGUAGCGGCUCCUAGAACACGCCAACUCUCAAGUGCUCGCAAAUUUGUGAUGACAAAUCAUACAACGUGGUAAAUGCAACACUACUUUUGUCAUGCUAUAUGUGUUGUUGGGUUAAAUUAGACGAAUACUUGUAAUCCGUGUUGGAAGCUUGACCUCUCGCGUCAAACAUGUGAUGCAUAUUUUUGAAACCUGAUUAAUUGAUAAUCAAAUAUGCAUGGACUUGCUUUGUGAAUCUUAUCACUUGAGAGACCCAAAGUUAUCUAUCCAAGUCGGGGGAGGGGGGCAAAUCCUAUUUUGACAUGUUGGACGGGAUAUCCAAAAAUUACCUAUUAUGGGGGAGCAUUUGAUAGCUCAUAAGUAUGCUGAUUCAUGUCUCGAGAACAUGUGAAGAUCUCAAGCCUAGGACAUAGCAUAUACACCUUGCUCCAGACUAACAAAUGACAAACAUAUUGUUGCGUCUCAAAGUUCUUUCUAACUCAGUGAUAUCCGUGCAUGAGUAUUAGCAUCGUCUACGUCCAUGACUUGUGAAGUAUAAUCAUCAAACCAAAUCGUAUACUACUGAUAUAAGGAUAUUUGUCCCAUUAACCUGAUCAUCUAGAGACCAUUAGAACAAUCUUCAUCAAUAUAUGGCCUCACAAAAACAAAUCACGUAUUGGUUGAUACGUAUGAAUGAUGGUGUUCCAAGAUAACAUGCAUAACACAUGAUUACAUAGAAAAUACCAGCAUCACAUGAGUGUCUAUAAAGCAUAUCUCCAACAAUGGUUGUGGUUCAAGUAACACGAGCAGCCCAAACCAAUAAGCAGAGAAACAAUUUCGAGUGUUGACCAGAAAGUAUCAAGUGAGCAAAGUUGCAUGAUCAAAAGUGCAGGCACAAGGUGGAACAAUGGGAUGUUGCAUGGAUAAUAUCGAAUAUAUAAUGGUGGAGAAAUAGUAAGUAAGAUAAAUCUAGCUCCAUUCCAAAGAUAAUGUAGGCAUGUGUUUCCAAAUCAUCCGGUCGUCAAAAAAGAACUCAAUACUCCUGCUAUCCUACCUUCGUAUUUCACCGCGGCCAUUAAAAAAAUGAGUCAUUAAGGUUGUGGAAGAUCUCGAGAUAGUCCGGAAGAGGAGAGAGAAAUUGAGAGAAGAAAAAAUCACUCGUAAUCGGGAGUGGAAAAUCUAGCUUCACGGCACGGGUAGCACACCUUCGUGCAAAUAGUUACGAGCCAUUAGUGGAGCUAUGGAGGCCCAUGCUGCAAGCUGGCUUGACCUCUUCGUGGAUCCAAUAGCUCUUGAUCAUUUGCGCGCAGGCCUCUGCUCUAGUUCUGUCCUUAGCAAUAAACACAACAAAUUAAGAGAAAUAAAGAAUAUGCUUAAGUUUCUUUUGGCGGUGAACGUGUGUUUGAGAGUCGCGGGAGGCGGGGAAGCGCGGGAAACUAAUCUUGUGCGCGCGAAGCUCACUGCCCAGGGUAUCGCGGGACCCACACAUUCGCUAAACUUGUCAGUGACCUCAUAACCCUUCGUGCCUCGUUAGGCUAGUCGUUCUCAUUUCCGCCUCUCUGCUUCUCCCCGGCCAAAUCUUUCCCCCUGAAAGGCCGAAACAAAUCCAGAACCAAUCGGCUUAUGAUUAUUUUGUCGCACUGAUGGGAAUCCCCAAUCUUCUCCGCUUCAUGAAGCCAUUCAUCGAGCCCGUGCACAUCAAGAAGUACACCGGCCAACGGGUAAAUAGAUCCCCCAAUAUUUCACCUUGCACUCGCACUUUUCUGUUACAAUUUCAUCCAUCUAUCGGAUUUAUCGCUGCUUGUUCUUUGCGUCGGCAGGUCGGUAUCGAUGCCUACACUUGGCUACACAAAGGAGCCUAUUCUUGCAGCAUGGAGCUGUGCUUGGACCCUAAGAGCGGCGGUGCCAGGCGCUACAUCAGCUAUUUCAUGCACCAUAUCAACCUCCUGCGGCAUCAUAAGGUUGUGCCCGUCGUCGUCUUUGACGGGUGCAGCAUGCCCUGCAAGUCAGCCACGGAUAAAGACAGGCACAAGUAUGCCUAUUCGAACUGUCAUACCAUCUGCUUGAGAAAUGCAGUUCCUUUUUUUUCAUCUGUUAGCUAACUUAGUGUGAUCAGUUGAGAUUGUAUGAUUUGUUAGCAUGGGAGGUAUUUUAAUUGUUGCAACACUAGCAUUGUGCGUUAACUCCUUGCACAGCUUUGUUUUAAGGUCACAAUGGAGUUGGUUAAUCUCUCUAAAAAAACAAUGGAGUUGGUUGGUCAUCAGAUUGGAAACAUGUAUGGAACCAAUAGGAAUCGAACUUCUAUUGGCGUCAGGAACAGUCCCUUUCAGUAGUUAACUUUCAGUCUUAAUGUUUAGAUAGUACUCCCUCUGUUGGUUGGAUUGUCCGUUCUAGUGAGAGGCCAUGGCUAGCGAGUCCCUACAAGUGGUCUAGACUUGUUUUGCUUUGAUGAGUAGGUUUGUUUGGUGUGCUCAUCUUAUAACGCCUAACGAACCCGUUCUGGAUCAAAGUUUAGCACCGACUCCGAUUUGGCGGAAUUUUCCGUCCUAGUGAGGGAACAUGCCUAGCGAGUCCCUACAAGUGGUGUAGUCUUGUUUCGCUUUGAUGAGUAGCUUUGUUUGGUGGGCUCAUCCCAGUACCUCCAAUGGACACGUUCUGCAUCAAAGUUUAGCACCGACUCCGAUUUGGCUGAAUUUUCCGUCCAAGUGAGGGAACAUGCCUAGCGAGUCCCUAUAAGUGGUCUAGUCUUUUUUCGCUUCGACGAGUAGCUUUGUUUGGUGGGCUCAUCCUCGUACCUAAAAUGGACACGUUCGGGAUCAAAGUUUAGCACAGACUCCGAUUUGGCUGAACUGUCCGUCCUAUUGAGGGACCAAGCCUAGCGAGUCCCUACAAGUGGUCUAGUCUUGUUUCGCUUCCAUGAGUAGCGUUGUUUGGUGUGCUCAUCCUAGUACCUCAAAUGGACAUGUUCCGGAUCAAAGUUUAGCACCGACACCGAUUUGGCCGACUUGUCCGUCCUAGUGAGGGACCAUGCCUAGCGAGUUCAUACAAGUGGUCUAGUCUUGUUUCGCUUUGAUGAGUAGCUUUGUUUGGUGUGCUCAUCCUAAUACCUUAAAUGGACACGUUCCGGAUCAAAGUUUAGCACCGACUCCGAUUUGGCUGGAUUGUCCGUUCUAGUGAGAGGCCAUGGCUAGCAAGUCCUUACAAGUGGUCUAGACUUGUUUCACUUUGAGGAGUAGCUUUGUUUGGUGUGCUCAUCUUGAUAUGGGUGUGGGUGGCCCGAUCUUUCGAUGAGAUUGAUAACUCUCGAUUUGGGUAGGAGGCGACGUUGACAAUCCGACUACGGCCUAGGAGGCAGCGCCUUAGCAAUCGAUACACCAACUCCAGAGGGUUAUUGAUCAUGUGGGUGCACGAUCAACCUGACCACGAAGGUUUUUGUUCCUGCAAGCAAUCGAAGACCAAGCAAGAACAAGAUAAAUAGCGGAUGCAAUCUCAAAUUGCGAAUAUACUAUAUCAAACCAAUGUCUCGACGAGACGAUAAGUUGGAGUCUUGACGACGGUAAAACAGGUGGUCUAACCGACACACGCGAUUACACGAUAGUAGCAAAGAUGACUAAACUUUAUCUAAUCAAAACCCAAGGCUCCUUAGGGGAGCUCAUGGGUAUAUAAAGGAGGAGGGAGAGAUAUUUUCGUGCACCUUGAGUAAGGAGGCCGAAAUCCAACUCUAUCUCUAACUUUCCUAACAAACUACAACUCUUUAGGAAACAGAAAAACAGAUCCGUCAUCUUGUUUUGUCCGCCACGGUCAGCACGAGUCGAAUCUCUUGAUGGGGCCAGAUCCGUUGGAAAGAUCUUGUUUUGCUUGAUUUGGACUCGGGAUGCGGCCUGGGUGAUUAAAACAAAUUCGGGUCUCCUGACAGCUCGGACCCGAAUCGGAUUCAAUUUUAGUUCAUAAUAUCUUUCUCUAGCAAGCUCCGAAUCAUGUGGCGUUUGAUUUGUUUGAAAGUAGACUUGAUAGGCUUCACUUUGAAUCUCCCUUUGCAGGCUAUCACACUUCAUCUUCACUUUGGACUUGUAAAGUUCAAUAAGAUGCCUACAUAAUAAGAUUACACAAGAUAGUAGCUCCGCCUCUUUGCAAGUAACAUAUUGGAAACAUUUUGUAAUUGAAUUCACCUGGUUAUAAUUGUUAUUAGAUACACCAACAAUUAGUGUUCUAAUUAUCGUAUCCAUGGUCACCAUGGAUACGACCAUUAAUAUGAUAUGGACCAUGCCUAGCGAGUCCGAUUUGGCCGAAUUGUCUGUCCUAAUGAGGGACCAUGCCUAGCGAGUCCCAACAAGUGGUCUAGUCCUUUUUCGCUUUGAUGAGUAGCUUUCGUUUGGGGUGCUCAUCUAGUAACGCCAAACGGACCCAUUUCGGAUCAAAGUUUAGCACCAAGUCCGAUUUGGCCGAAUUGUCCAUCCUAGUGAGGAACCAUGCCUAGCGAGUUCCUACAAGUGGUCUAUUCUUGUUUUGCUUCCAUGAAUAACUUUGUUUGGUGUGCUCAUCCUAGUACCUCAAAUGGACAUGUUCCGGAUCAAAGUGUAGUAUCGACUUUGAUUUGGCUGGAUUGUCCGUUCUAGUGAGAGGCCAUGGCUAGUGAGUCCCUACAAGUGGUCUAGUAUUGUUUCGGUAAGACGAGUAGCUUUUGUUUGGUGUGCUCAUCUUAGAACGCCAAACGGACCCAUUCCGGAUCAAAGUUUAGCACCGACUGCGAUUUGGCUGCAUUGUCCGUCCUUGUGAGGGAACAUGCCUAGCGAGUCCCUACAAGUGGUCUAGUCUUGUUUCGCUUCGAUGAGUAGCUUUGUUUGGUGGGCUCAUCCUUGUACCUCAAAUGGACACGUUCUGGAUCAAAGUUUAGCACCGACUCCGAUUUGGCCGUAUUAUCCGCCCCAGUGAGGGACCAUGCCUAGCGAGUCCCUACAAGUGGUCUAGUCUUGUUUCGCUUCGAUGAGUAGCUUUGUUUGGUGGGCUCAUCCUAGUACCUCAAAUGAACACGUUCUGGAUCAAAGUUUAGCACCGAAUCCGAUUUGGCCGCAUUGUCCGCCCCAGUGAGGAACCAUGCCUAGCGAGUCUCUACAAGUGGUCUAGUCAUGUAUUGCUUCGAUGAGUAGCUUUGUUUGGUGGGCUCAUCCUAAUACCUCAAAUAGACAAGUUCUGGAUAAAAGUUUAGCACAGACUCCGAUUUGGCCGAACUGUCCGUCCUACUGAGGGACCAAGCCUAGCGAGUCCGUACAAGUGGUCUAGUCUUGUUUCGCUUCGAUGAGGAGGUUUGUUUGGUGUGCUCAUCCUAGUACCUCAAAUGGACACUUCCGGAACAAAGUUUAGCACCGACUCCGAUUUGGCCGCAUUGUCCGUCCUAGUGAGGGACCAUCCCUAGUGAGUUCCUAGUAGUGGUCUAGUCUUGUUUUCGCUUCGAUGAGUAGCUUUAUAUGGUGUGGUCAUCCUAGUACAUCAAACGGGCAAGUUCCCGAUAAAAGUUUAGCACCGACACCGAUUUUGCCGCAUUGUCCGUCCUAGUGAGGGACCAUGCCUAGCGAGUCCGUACAAGUGGUCCUAUCUUGUUUCGUUUCGAUGAGUAGCUUUGUUUGGUGCGCUCGUCCUACUACCUCAAAUGGACACGUUCUGGAUCAAAGUUUAGCACGGACUCCGAUUUGGCCGAACUGUCCGUCCUACUGAGGGACCAUGACUAGCGAGUCCGUACUAGUGGUCUAGUUUUUUUCGCUUAGAUGAGUAGUUUUGUUUGGUGUUCUCAUCCUAAUACCUCAAAUGGACACGUUCCGGAUCAAAGUUUAGCACCAACUCCAAUUUGGCCGCAUUGUCCGUCCCAGUGAGGAACCAUGCCUAGCGAGUCCCUACAAGUGGUCUAGACUUGUUUUGCUUUGAUGAGUAGGUUUGUUUGGUGUACUCAUCUUAUAACGCCUAACGGACCCGUUCAGGAUCAAAGUUUAGCACCGACUCCGAUUUGGCGGAAUUUUCCGUCCUAGUGAGGGAACAUGCCUAGCGAGUCCCUACAAGUGGUGUAGUCUUGUUUCGCUUCGAUGAGUAGCUUUGUUUGGUGGGGUCAUCCCCGUACCUCCAAUGGACACGUUCUGCAUCAAAGUUUAGCACCGACUCUGAUUUGGCUGAAUUUUCCGUAAGUGAGGGAACAUGCCUAGCGAGUCCCUAUAAGUGGUCUAGUCUUUUUUUGCUUCGACGAGUAGCUUUGUUUGGUGGGCUCAUCCUAGUACCUAAAAUGGACACGUUCGGGAUCAAAGUUUAGCACAGACUCCGAUUUGGCUGAACUGUCCGUCCUAUUGAGGGACCAAGCCUAGCGAGUCCCUACAAGUGGUCUAGUCUUGUUUCGCUUCCAUGAGUAGCGUUGUUUGGUGUGCUCAUCCUAGUACCUCAAAUGGACAUGUUCCGGAUCAAAGUUUAGCACCGACACCGAUUUGGCCGACCUGUCCGUCCUAGUGAGGGACCAUGCCUAGCGAGUUUCUACAAGUGGUCUAGUCUUUUUUCGCUUCGAUGAGUAGCUUUGUUUGGUGUGCUCAUCCUAAUACCUUAAAUGGACACGUUCCGGAUCAAAGUUUCGACUCGUGCUGACCGUGGCGGACAAAACAAGCGGACGGAUCUGUUUUUCUGUUUCCUAAAGAGUUGUAGUUUGUUAGGAAAGUUAGAGAUAGAGUUGGAUUUCGACCUCCUUACUCAAGGUGGACGAAAAUAUCUCUCCCUCCUCCUUUAUAUACCCCAUGAGCCCCCCUAAGGAGCCUUGGGUUUUGAUUAGAUAAAGUUUAGCCAUCUUUGCUACUUUCGUGUAAUCGCGUGUGUCGGUUAGACCACCUGUUUUACCGUCGUCAAGACUCCAACUUAUCGUCUCGUUGAGACAUUGGUUUGAUAUAGUAUACUCGCAAUUUUAGAUUGCAUCCGCUAUUUAUCUUAUUCUUGCUUGUUCUUCCAUUGCUUGCAGGAACAAAGACCUUCGUGGUCAGGUUGAUAGUGCCCCCGCGUGAUCAAUAACUCUCUGGAGUUGGUGUAUCGAUUGCUAAGGCGCUGCCUCCUAGGCCGUAGUCGGAUCGUCAACGUCACCUCCUACCCAAAUCGAGAGUUACCAAUCUCAUCGAAAAUCGGGCCACCCCGCACCCACAUCAGGAGGGGGCCCAGCGGGCAGAGCAACAGCGCCACGUGACCGCGUGACGGGCGUCGAGUGCGCAGUCUCGGCAGGACGAGGAGUGAAGCGCACGGCGCAUUUAAUGAGCCGACAGGAGGGAAGUUACCCGUCUAGUCGGGUAAACAGUGACUGUCCAGGGCUAGUUCGUAGGCCUUAGGCCCUUAGCUGAGGAGUUGGCACUCAUGCAUGCCACCAGCGCACCGAGGGGGAGUUGCCAUGUCUCCCUGCUCGCCACUUGUAAUGCAUGCACCGUGUCACCUGUGGUAUCCCCUUGGUUAUAAAAGGAGGAUUCCCGCCAACGGUCAAAGGGUUUCACAUUUUUCUACGGUUCGACGAUCACACGGUUGGACGGACUCAUAGUUCGCCACUAGCAGUAUCCUGAAGUAGCCAAGAGCACUUAGGCAAAAAAAGGCACUCGGGGACUCUCCCCCCGGCAACGUUUAAACCUUUGAUUUACAGUCAAUACCAGUUCAGACAAGCAGGACGUAGGGUUUUACACCUCCUGGUGGCCCGAACCUGGGUAAAAAACGUGCGUGCAUGUGUCAUUAGCCUGCGUGUAUUCUGGGUACAUCACUUCGCAGGUUACGUGCGCCAUCGGCCUCGCCGGCGAUCGCCGGAGCGAUCCCUGACGCCCCUGCUGAACCUAAAAAGGGGGCGUGGCCGCACGCCCCCGGUGUCGGAGCCCCGUGCGACGACAUCUGGCGCGCCAGGUAGGGGGCGCGAGAGAAGAGCUCGCCGGUGACCGCCGGCAGCAGUGUUUGCAUCAACGUCGGCCUCGUCUUCUUCGCCGACGGGACCGGCUACCAUGCCCCGCAAGCGGGCUGGUGACCCUCGGAUAGCCACGCGUGAGGCCCCAACGGCACACACGCGGUCGUCAGUGCCACCCGCGUCGGGGGCUCAGGAGGACCCAGAGCCCUUGCGAGUGCAGCAGUCGUAGCUGCCUCCUCCGCCCCCUCGGCCGUUGGCAGAUAACCGGCUGAGGGAACCGGCGGCUCCUAGCGCCGGGGCCAGCCGGGCGAGCGGGCAUGGUGCCGCCCGCGCUGGCCAGCGAGUCGAGUCGCGGGCUGAUGACACGCAGCGACAGCGGCACCAUGAGCAUACCACGUCAGGAGCGACGCCCGAGGGCUCACACCCCGCGCACUUGGAGGCGUCCGGGGCCAUAGUGGACCGCAGCCGCUCGGGAAAUCGGCUGCCCCCCGCACGAACCCCGGCGAAAGCCAUCAUCGCCGCGCGGGUCAUGGUGCGGUAUGAACCGCAGCAAGGCAUGCCGACGCACGAGACGUGGGGCGAGGAGUUGGACGCGCUCCUCGCUCUGGCCGCCCAGCAGCCGCAAGGCGAGGGUGUCCCGAUAGGCUCCAGCCACGGGCAGAACCCAGAGCGCGGAGACGCGCCCCCCGCCUCACGACAGGGGGAGAACCCUCCCCCGCAGGGAGGCCAGGGAAACGGGGACCCGGAGGGGUCCUCGGACUCGUCACCCACUGUCACGCGGGGCGACGCGCGCGGCAUUCUAAAUGCCCGGCAGCAAGAGGAUCUGCGCCAGCGCCUGGAGCGCCGCCGUCGGCGCAAGGUAGAGCGCUCGCGCCCGGAGGAGCAGGAGGAUGCUCCUAUGGGCCCCGAGGACGGUUGCGCCGCGUUCACGCGCGAGCUGCGCCGGGUGACGUGGCCCCGCAAGUUCCGAGCGCCAGCGCUCGGCGCAUACGACAGGACCGUGAAUCCCAAGGAUUUCCUCUUGACCAACACGUUGGGGAUGCAUGCCAUCGGCGCUGACGACAAGGUCAGGGCCAACUGGUUCCCAAUGGUUCUGAAAGGAUCAGCGAGAACCUGGCUGCUCCACCUGCCCGCCGGGUCCAUCGCCACUUGGCGGACCUGCGCGAACAGUUUGUGAGCGCGUUCCAGGGCGGCUACAAGCGCCCAGGAACCAUGGCGGAACUGCACACCAUCGUGCAGAAGCUGAGAGAGACGUUGUGGAGCUUGAUCAACCGCUUCUCCAUCCUCUCCUACUCUAUCCCGGGGGCGGAGGCAGCCGCCAUCGUCAACGCCUUCGCCAUCAACGUCCGCGACCCCAAAAUGCGCGAGAAGCUGAGCACGCAUCGGAUCUGGACGACGCAGGAUCUAUACACCCUGGCGCACAAGUGUGCCAUGGCUGAGGAAGGGCGCUCAGAGCCCCGGCGAGGGUUCACAAAAGAAGGGUUCCCGCAAGCACAGCGGAAAGUAGGUUCUCGCUGCAGACUCGGGGGCUCCUGUCGCGAGGCCUGCAAAGAAGGCCUCACUGGGUGGUGGGUCUGGCGGCAAGCAGGGUGAUGCGCCCCGCUGCCCCAUCCACAACAACUCCACCCACGACGCGCAGGACUGUCGCAUCCUACAGGGGAUCAGGCAACGCCAUGAGGAGCGCCGCGCUGCUGGCGCUUGCUUCAACUGCGGCGACAUCGGGCAUCACUCCUGAGAUUGCCCGAACGAUCCCAGAGCAGGGCCGAGGCAUGCCGGUGGCGCUGCCGACAGAGACGAACCCCAGGGGGGACGCAACAGGGCUCGCGCUGAGGAGCAGCACGAGUCCGACUGCACUGGUGGCGACGAGCUGGGCUUCCAGGAGCCUCGCGGCGUCGCCUGUAUCCAUAGGGGAGCCUAUGCUCUCCCAUCCCAUGCCACGGUGAAGCGCCUCACCCGCGACAUGUGCGUGCUGUUGCCGGACACGGAGCCGCAACAGACGCUGAGGUGGUCACAUGUGCCGAGCACCUUCAGCGCGGAUGAUCACCCAGCGCGGUAGCUGGGUUCAGGGGUAAUACCCUUCGUUGUUUCACUGAUCAUCAGCAAUAUGACGGUGACCAAGGUACUGGUGGACAACGGAGCAGGGCUUAACCUCCUGUCCGCCAGGCUGGUGGAGAAACUCCAGCUGCCAGUGGAGCAGCUGAAGCCCACCGACCCGUUCCGGGGGGUAAACCCCGGGAUCGUGCGCCCACUAGGGCGCAUCACGCUGCCGGUAACCUUCGGGUCCCGAGAAGCGUUCAGUACCGAGCACAUAGUGUUCGACGUGGCACACACCCCGUUGCCUUACAACGGGAUCCUUGGUCGGCCAGCGCUGAUCAAGUUCAUGGCGGCUACGCAUUGCGCCUAUGGCGUGAUGAAGAUGCCGUCCGUAUAUGGAGUUCUCUCCAUCAGGUGCGACCUCAAGGACGCGGCCUGGUGCGUUGGCGAGGUCGUUAGGGCCGCCGCCGCGGCUGACACCGGCGACGAAGACGUUGCCAGAGACGACAGCUCGCCGGGCGAUGCCCCGGCAAUGAAGAAGGCCAGCGCUACCCCGCAAGAGCUUGCCGGGGGAAGCGCAGGCUCGAGCUCGUGCCCCGGCAAGGGACAGAAGCUCCGGGAGGAGGCCGCCAAGGUGAAGAAGCUGCUCCUCCAAGCCGGCAACAUGGAACGCACCGUCACCGUCGGUGCGAACCUUCCUCCGGGAUAACGCCAACGUGUUCGCUUGGGAACCGUCGGAUCUUCCCGGAGUCCCCAGGGAGGUGAUUGAGCAUUGGCUCGCAGUGCACCCGGACGCGCGCCCCGUCAAGGAGAAGAUUCGGCGGCAAGCAGAUGAGCGUAAAGAUUUCAUCAAGCAGGAGGUGGUCAGCUCAGUGCUGGUUGCCGAGAGGGACGAAGAUGUUCCAGGGACUGAGGCUGUGGGGCAGGGGGCGGAGCGGCCCCCAGCAGCCGCCUCAGACCCAGGGACCACCCCCGAGCCGGCAGCUCCUGCACCGCGUAAGCGAAUAGUGCAGCACUCGGUGUACUUCGUCAGCACGGUGAUGCGCGACGCGCGCACGAGGUACCCGCAAGUGCAAAAGCUCCUCUUGGGGAUUCUUCUUGCGUCCCGCAAGCUGCGCCAUUACUUCUAGGCGCACCGCAUCACGGUGGUGUCGGGGUUUUGUGUCGAGCGAGCCCUCACCAACCGCGAAGCCACCGGGAGGGUGGCCGAAUGGAGGAUGGAGUUGUCGGAGUUUGACCUCCACUUCACCAACUCCAAGAGCAUCAAGAGUACGGCCUUGGUGGACUUCGUCGCUGAGUGGACGUCGACGAGCGUGAGAGAGGAUGAGCCGGAGACCAGCCUACCCGGCAAGCUGGACGAGGACCAUCGGGUCCUCUACUUCGACGGCGCGUUCAGCCUCCAAGGAGCUGGCGCCGGGGUCGUCAUCGAGUCACCGACAGGGGAUCAGCUGAGGUUUGUUGUCCAGCUCGAUUUCCCGAACUCCACCAACAACACGGCGGAGUACCAGGGUUUGCUCGCCGGGUUACGGGCAGCGAUCGCCCUCGACAUCAAGCGCCUGGUUGUUCGUGGGGGCUCUCAGCUCGUGAUCAACCAGGUGAACAAGGACUACGACUGCCCACAGAUGGCGCCGUACAUGGAGGAAGUCCGCAGGCUGGAACGUAAGUUCAAAGGUUUGCGAUUCGAGCACGUCAAGCGAAAGGAUAACUUCGCUGCUGACGAGAUAGCCAAGAUGGCAGCGGAGCGCCGGAAGCCUCCGACGGGAGUGUUCUGCCAGAAGCAGGCGGUUCCUUCAGUCGCCCCCGAGCCUACUGCCGGGGACGCCCCUCCAGCAACCGAAGGAACGCCUGCAACAGCAGGGGUCCAUGCCGCUGACAUAGCGGCAUGCGUUGGCAAGGAGACCCCUCCCUGGGCGGUGGAAAUCGCCUGCUACUUGAAGGAGGAGGCUCUCCCGGAAGAUGACGUUGCCGCAGAGCGAGUAGCGCGGCAAGCAAAAAUGUACACUGUGGUGGAUGGAAACCUCUAUCGCAGACGUGCAAACGGGGCAAGCUCAUAUGCGUGCCGCAAGACGAAGGGCGUGAGCUGCUGGAGGAGAUACACCGAGGCACAUGCUCACACCAUGUGGUCUCUCGGGGUUUAGCUGGCAAGGCGUUUCGGCACGGUUUCUACUGGCCCUCGGCCCUGGCCGACGCGGAGCGGCUGGUGAAGACGUGCGAAGCAUGCCAGUUCCACUCGAAGAAGAGCAACCAGCCAGCGCAGGCCCUACACGUCAUCCCUUCCUCGUGGCCGUUCGCAGUCUGGGGGCUCGAUAUCGUCGGCAAGCUACCGAGGGCAGUUGGUGGUUACGAAUAUUUGUUCGUGGCUGUCGACAAGUUUUCCAAGUGGGUGGAAGUGGAACCAGUGCGGAAGGUGACCGCCCAGGUGGCCAUCAAGUUUUUCAAGAGCAUUGUGUGCCGGUUUGGUGUGCCUAACGGCAUCAUCACCGACAACGGCACGCAAUUCACGAGCGCAGUGUUCCAGGCCUACUGUGAGGGCAUGGGCACCAAGUUGCACUUCGCGUCCGUUGCUCAUCCGAGAAGUAACAGGCAGGCGGAGCGAGCCAACGCAGAAGUGCUGCGGGGACUCAAGACGAGAACCUUUGACAAGCUCAAAGGCCACGAGAAACACUGGGUUGAAGAACUCCAGCCCGUGUUGUGGUCAAUCAGGACCACACCUAGUCGGGCAACGAGCGAAACUCCUUUCGCCCUUGUCUACGGGGUAGAAGCGGUGCUGCCCCUCGAGCUCAAGCAGGGAUCUCCCCGAGUACGCGCGUACGGCAACACCAGCCAACACGAGCAAAGGGUCGACGAUCUAAACUUCAUCGAAGAGCUUCGAUGCCGGGUUGCUGUGCGAGCCACGCGCUAUCAGCAAGGACUAACUCGUUAUCACGACAAGCAAGUCCAUUCCCGGGGACUCGAGAACGGAGACCUUGUCCUGCGCCGGAUACAAGGAACGAAGGCCGGGAACAAGUUGACUCCGAAAUGGGAGGGGCCCUUCCGGGUAGUGCAGGUGACCAGACCGGGGGCUGUCCGGCUGGAAACCGAAGACGGCUUGCCGGUGCCAAAUAGCUGGAAUAUUGAGCACUUGCGCAAGUUCUACCCGUGAAGCGGCGGAGCCCAACCCUCGGGGGAUGCCGCCGAUGCAUACCUCUCGAACUAGUGUAGCCGGGAAGGCCCCGUGUGUAAACCACUAGUUAUUGUGAAUAAAGAUAAGUGUUUCUUUCCUGAACUUCAAAGUUGCCUUGCUUAUUUGUGUGUUCCUCCCUUCUUCUGUCUUCUGCUUUUGGUGCACGAAAGUGUCUUUCCAUACUUGGUUGUGAGCAGGGGGCUGUUGGAGCCUCGAAAGCAAAAACCCCGUUGCCGGAUCACUCCGCCACGGGGCAUGCAGUCAUUGGGUUAACCGCGACGUGCAUCAGGGGACAUGCAGUUGCUGGGUUCCCCGCAACGUGCAUCACGGGACGUGUAGUUGCUGGGCUCCCCGCAACAUGCACCUCGGCUGGGAAAUGGAGUGCUCACAUCCAAGUUUGGCAUCAACCCUUCCGUGCCCGGGGGCUGGGAGGCAGGCGAUUACUCGUGUUGCUUUAUGUAUUUUCGUGAAUUUCGAAAAAAAAUUGCAGCACCUCGGGCCUGGUAAGUGUCUAAUCUGCAGGAAAAGGUGGAAUCUUACGCACUGUAAUACCCGUGGGCUGCCCACGGGUCGCGGCAUGUAGCAGUGCCUUGUGGUGCGGGACGACUGCAACAUGAGGGACUCACCGCACUCCGAGGCUCUCGACCCAGGAGGGGGCCGCCACGUGUGCCACAGCCACUUGGCAUGCAGGGUGGAGAAGACUACACCACAUUUCAAGGGGAGGGAUGCCACGGGUGCUGCACUGAUUCGUUGCGCGCGGUGGCAAGCCCUUCCCCCGCGCCUAUAAAAAGCGCGCUCCAGCCAUGGAACGGCUCAGAGCAGAGCCAAGAGAGGGGUUGUUAAGGCGGGCGGUGCCGCGGAGGCGUGAUGGUGGUGCAUAACAUCCGCGCCUGGCGCCGACGGGUGCACUGCCAUCGCGCCCUUGCCACAUCGCCCCAUCAAGCCCACUCCGAGGGGCGUCGCAGAGGCACGGUGGCGGUGCAUGCAGUCAGCGCUCCGUGCCGACAGGUGCACGGCCACCGUGCCCUUGCUGCGCCUCCUCUAGCGAGCGGCUCCUGGGCGAGGGCUGCCGUGGAGGCACUGUGGUGGUGCAUUCCAUCGGCGCCCGGCGCCGACGGGUGCACGAUCGCAGUGCCCCUGCCGCAUCCCUCCAGAGGACACCUCCGCAAGGAGCAGGGGAUGCCGCGGAGACACCAUGGUGGUGCAUGCCAUUGGCACCCCGCGCCGACGGGUGCACCACCAUAGUGUCCCUACCCCGUUUCCCUAAGAGAGGGCCACUAUAGGCGGGGGUCAUCGCGAGGACACUGUGAUGGCGCCGGGGCCGGCGUUUGCCGUCCGUUCCGGCCCAUCACCGCGUCCUUGCCACGGCCCUCGAGCAGUUUUGCUCCCAGGCAGCGAGGGCUGCUGCGGGAACAUCGUGGCGUCCUUGUUGCCCGCUUUCGGCGGUGGUGGCGAGGAAGCCACGAUGUCCCUGUUGCGGCCCUCAGAAGGGUUUUUCCCAAGCAGCGAGGGCUGCUGUGGGGACGCCGCGACGUCCUCGUCGCCCGCGGACAGCGGCGCUGCCAAGGAAGUCACGGCGUCCCUGCCGCACCCCUCGGAAAAGGCUCCUUCGAGGACGAGGGUUGCCGCGGCGUCCCCGCUGCUUCCCUUUAUCAGGCACUUUGCAGGGACGGCGAGCCAGGAGUGCACCUCCGGCGAACACUCCGGGCGCAAGACUGAACGAAAAGCUAAGUGCUGACACCUAAAUGGCAAACCCAAUAAGAACUAAACGUAAUUGAACGCUGCUUCGCCAGGUGUGGCCCCGGAACCUGCGCGUGGCUGGAGUGUUAGAAAGACGCUUGCGGGGGGAGUGCGCUCCCCGUGUGGCUUCCUGGGUCCGUCCCGAAAGGGCAUGGCUUGGAGUAGUUACCCCGCAAGUGGAGUGGCUCCCCCGCUACCGCUUGACCCCAGGUCGGCACUGCGGGUCCGUCCCGGGUCUGGUCAAGGGUGAGGUGCGUGAGUCCCCCGCAACACAAGGCGAAACACGCAAAGGCUAAAGGAGCCGCCCCGCGAGGCAGCCCUGGGAACAAGGGACAAGAAUUAAGCAAAUUAAAGAGCUUGAUUAACUAAGUGUUGAACGGUUACAUAAGCUAAUGGAAAAACAAUUGUUCAAACGGCGCCAAGCGCCACACUUGCAGGAAAAAGCGAACGAAAGAAGAUACAUCGGGAAGCGGCAAGGACUGGGAGCCACGGCAACUAGUUGCCGGCGUCUUCUGCCGGGCGCUCCAGGGACGGCUCGGGGUCAGGCUUCCGCUGCAUCCGCUCGACCACCUCGUCGACGAACCCGCGCACCGCCUGGGUGUGCAUGGGCUCAUCCUCGCUGUCCGACCAGGCGUCUAGCAGGGACUCGAAGGAAAACUCCGGGUCCCGGAGGUGUAUCCUCGAGAGGAUUGUCCCGGCAACCUCCCGGGCGCAGUUCGCGACCUUGUUGGCGCCGAACUGGGCGAUCCAGACGUCGAGAGCCCCAAGCUUCCCCACCAGGUCGGAGAAGAAGGGGAUCAAGGUGGAGACGUCUGUGCCGUCCACCGCCGCGCCCUGCAGCUCGAACCGGGGUAGCAAGUCGCGCAGCGCCUAGGCGAUCUUUAGCAACUUCUCGGUCUAUAUAUGCCGCUGCCCGAUCAGUGUGCCAUGGUGGAGCCGGGCAUCAUGCGUGGCCUUCUUGGCCUUGCGGAGGUUGUCCCCCAACGCCGCGAGCUCCGCGGUCUUUACCACGAUGUCGUCGCCAGCCUUGGCAAGCUCUUCCCGGACUGCGGCCAGCUCGGUUUCGAGCCUGCCCAUCCUGUCCUUGGCGGAGCCAAGCUGGAUCUCGUGCCGAGCUGCUGCUCCUACCGCGUCCUCGGUGGCCUUGAUCUGCACCGCCAGCUUGAUGUUAAGACCCUGAAUCUCGCCGCGAUAAUUGGCGAUCAGGUCACUCUUCUCGUCCAGCCGGGCCUGGGCUGCUGCGAGCACCCCGGCGUGCUCCUUCUUGGUCACCUCGAGGGUUGCCGCUAGCGAGUCCAGCUCCCCCUGAAGCUCCGAGCGCUGGGCCUCCAGCUGCCAGUGGAGUUCAGCCUCUGGGACGACCGGUUCCUCGGCGUCCUCCAGGGCUUGCCGGGCAAGACGCGCCUCCUCCCUGGCGAGGCGCGUCUCCUCUCGCAGCCGGGAGAGCUCUUGACGUUCCCUCUCCACGGCUUCCCGCACCUCGCCAAGUUGGCUCUUGGCAACGGCGUGGUGCUCCCUCACCUCGUUGAAAGAGGUGACGAAGCCUUGUUGUUCGUCCCUGAUGGCUUCCAGGAACUGGUGCCCCCGCUCAAAGAUGCUAGGAUCCCAGGUGAUGGGAUUCCAAGCCAGCCCGGCGAGGGUGCCGAGGUCGGAGUUAGGGGGGCAGCCGAGGACGACGAAGCCCCCGCUGCCAUUGUAGGGCUGUGCGGGGGGUCACCCGCUUGCUCCUGGGGAUCCUGUCGUCCUUCCCCGGCAGCUCCCCCUUCACCCGCGCCAGGGGACCCUGCGGCUGGAAAAGCCUUCCUGCCCCCGGCAGGAGCCGUUCCCUGCAGGGCUGUAGGCGAAUCCACGCCAACCGCAUCCGCAGCUGCUGGCGCGUCGCCAAGCACAGUCCCAGUGGUGACGGUGGCCACCAUUGCCGCUGUCGCUGGCACGGCAGGGCUUGGUGCGGGAGCCGGUGCCGGCUCCGCCGCCCCCGUGAUCUCAACGUUAGGGUCAAGAUCAACCACGGUAGUGCUCGCUCCGGGUGCGGGCGUGCUCGUGCCUACAGCAAUAAGGAGUGUGAGGAUCGACAAGGAAAAGAGCUAUCGGAAGCGGACAAGGGUGGCCGGGGCGGUUACCCUGCAAGGCAGAUGGACUUACGAGGGGGGCUUCCCCCGCCUCACCUGUGCCGGUGGGAGCCUCCGAGAGGCUUGCCGCGGGCGAGCUGCCGCUUGCUGAAAAAGCAAGUACGUUUGUAUGGUUAACUAACAACUGAAAAAUGCAGCAAAGGAGGAGCAAAGGAGCCGUACCAGUUGCCGGCCCCACCCCCGUUGGGGCUGGGUCGUCGGCGGGCGCGAUAACGGUGCCACUAGCCCCUGUGUCAGUCGGGUCAGCGGCGCCGCCGGCGUCCGCGCGAGCUCUCUUGUCCGGCAUGGCGGGCGGGGAGUCGCUCCUCCCCCUUUUGCUGGCACCCGCCGGCGAGUUGGACCUCGGGGGGUUGCGCCAGAGCGCGAAGCCCCGAAAGACCCCCCGAGCGGGCGGCACCUACUGGGUCACCGCAGCCCGGGGCGUCGCGGGAGUCGGGGGCGAAGCCGCCGCGGAGUCAGGGGCUGACGAUGGGGAGGCUGCCAACGCAUCCCCGGCAGUAGUCGCUGCCGAGGCCGUUGCUGGGUCGCUAAUGGUCCCCGCCAAGGCAUUGGCAGGUGCCAUCGGAGCAGCUGCCGCCGCGGUGCUGGCGGACCGCGGCGGCAGCUGCUAGGGCGGAUGUUACCGUUGUGGCUCCGGCGACCCCCACGGACGUGUGCGCUGCCGAGGUACCGGCAGGCGCCCCUGAGUGGACGCCGCCGCAGUGCUGGUGGCCGCCGCUGGGGCGGAUGUUGCCGCCGAGGCUCCGGCGACCCCUGCGGACGCGGUCGCCACCGAAGUACCGACAGGCGCCCCUAAAGCGGCGGCCGCCGCGGGGCUGGCGGCCGCUGUCGGGGCAGAUGCCGCCGCUGAGGAGAUAGCCGCGGCCGCGGCGUACGCCCUCGAUCUCCGAACGAUCAGGGGCGCAGUGUCGCUGUCCUCGUCGUCGUCGUCCACGGGGACGACUUCCGGGGACGCUGCAGCCUGGCCCGCCUCGUCAUCCAGGGACUGGAGGGAGGUCCAGCUGAUCUCUGAUUCGCCCCCGCUCUCCUCGAGCACCUGCUUCCCGUGAGGUGUUGGCAGGGGAGCGCGGGGGGUCCGGGUGGGGGUAUCGUCCAUCAACCCCCACUCAUUGCAGGGCGGGAAGGCGGCGACGAUGUCGUUGAGCGCCGCAACGCCGGCAUGGAGGGAAAAGACACCUGGUGGGAACCUCGUUGAUUGGAAGGUUUCGCCGGAGAUUCCCCUCACCCACGUCUUGAGGGUUUCCAAAUCCACGCCGUCCUGAUGGAGGCGCGUCCUGUCCCCGGGACCCGUGUACAUCCACGCGGGCCAGGAGCGCAGUUGAAGCGGCGCAAUGCGCCGGUUGAUGAAGGCAGGCGCCACAUCCACAUCGGUGAGCCCUGCUAGCCGCAGCGCCUUAAUUUUCUCCACGAUGGGGAGGAGAUCGGCGUCGCGGAUGAACUCUUGGGGGUCUUCCACUCGGACCCAGCACCAAUCGCCCCGCCACUCCUCCUCAAUCUUCUUCCCCAACUGGGUGAUGAACUCGGACUUCAUCUGGUCACGGGCGCGGAAUACCACCCCCGACGACAUUGCUUUCGUGUUGUCGAGCCGGGGGUAGAAAUAGUGGCGGAAGAGCGCCACCGACGGCAUCACCCCCACGAAUGCUUUGUAGAGGAAUUGGAAGGUGGCGAGAAGGAACAGCGAUGUGGGGUGGAGCUGCGCCACCUGCAGCUGGUACGACUCCAUCAGCGCGUGGAGGAACAGCGAGAAUGGCGGCAACAGCCCGGUGAGCAGGAAGCGCCCAAACACCCGAAAGUCAUUGUCCUAGUGCUCGGCGCCCGUCGGGAAGAUCAGGGUCUCCCCGUGCUCGUUGAACUUGGAGGCGACGGCAUGCCGGACCUUGUCCAGCGCCUCGCCAUUGUAGCCAGGCCGGUAGAAGGCGAGCGUGGCCCGCAUCUCCCGCUUCCUCCGGUCUUUGUCGGCGGCUGCCUUGGUCGCCACCUCGCUCCUGCUGACCGCCGCUCUCUUCGAGACCUGCGCCUCUUUUCCCUUCCUGGUGGUGGGGGGGCGCCAUGGGGAGCAGGGGUGGAAGCUAGCAAGAACACUUGGGUGCGAGAUGCGAAGGAGGGUGAAGGCGAAGGCUGUGGGAAGCAGAGUGUUUUCCCCUUUUGGCAACAGUAAGAGCUUUAUAGCGCCCGGCCGUUUGGUAACGGCCGGUUCCAUACCCUACGGGUGCGCGGGGAUAACUCCUAAUAAAAAGGGGUAAUGCAGGGAGUGGCCUUAACUUUCCUGUUUAAGGGGGAGGUUAGGGCGGAAAUCACGCGCCCACUACUCCGUCUGUAACGGCGUGGUGUUAGGGGCAGCAAAGGGAUGCGGGCCCGAGGCGGAUCGGGGCCCACGCGUCGGUUGUGGGCGUAGCCCGGCAACCGACCUGGGGGAAAGCUCGUCCGGGGACAGGUGAUGCCGGCCCACGCCCGGGGGCUACUGUCGCACCAGUGGCACUCGGGGUACCACCAUUGCGCGACGCGUGGGCUCCAUCUCCAAGUUCCCGGGAGGGUCUCAUCCCGGGCGGCAGCUACGAGCAGCCCGGCAAGCUACCAGUCUGGAAGGGCUAGAGGGGCUUCGGGGAAUAUUCCCGCCUGGACACCUCCGGGAAGCCACUUGCCGGGAGGGGGUUACUGGGCGUGUCAGGCCUGGGUGCCUCCCGGGAGCCCCUUGCCGGGAGGAGGGGUUCCCGGGCGCAAGCUCCUUCCGCAAGGGAGGGGGCCCAGCGGGCAGAGCAACGCGCCACGUGGGCGCGUGACGGGCGUCGAGUGCGCAGUCUCGGCAGGACAAGGAGUGAAGCGCACGGCGCAUUUAAUGAGCCGACAGGAGGGAAGUUACCCGUCUAGUCGGGUAAACAGUGGCUGUCCAGGGCUAGUUCAUAGGCCUUAGGCCCUUAGCUGAGGAGUUGGCACUCAUGCAUGCCACCAGCGCACCGAGGGGAAGUUACUCUGUCUCCCUGCUCGCCACUUGUAAUGCAUGCACCGUGGCACCUAUGGUAUCCCCUUGGUUAUAAAAGGAGGACCCCUGCCAACGGUCAAAGGGUUCCACAUUUUUCUACGGUUCGACGAUCACACGGUUGGAAAGACUCACAGUUCGCCACUAGCAGUAUCCGGAAGUAGCCAAGAGCACUUAGGCAAAAAAAGAACACCCAGGGACUCUCCCCCCGGCAACGUGUAAACCUUUGAUUUACUGUCAAUACCAGUUCAGACAAGGAGGACGUAGGGUUUUACACCUCCUGGUGGCCCGAACCUGGGUAAAAAACGUGCGUGCAUGUGUCAUUAGCCUACGUGUAUUCUGGGUACAUCACUUCGCAGGUUACGUGCGCCAUCGGCCUCGCCAGCGAUCACCGGAGCGAUCCCCGACGCCCCUGCCGAACCUAAAAAGGGGGCGUGGCCGCACGCCCCCAGUGUCGGAGCCCCGUGCGACGACAGUUUAGCACCGACUCCGAUUUGGCCGGAUUGUUCGUCCUACCGAGGGACCAUGCCUAGCAAAUCUGUACAAGUGGUCUCGUCUUGUUUCGCUUCGAUGAGUAGUUUUGUUUGGUGUGCUCAUCCUAGUACAUCAAAUGGACAAGUUCCCGAUCAAAGUUUAGCACCGACACCGAUUUGGCCGAAUUGUCCGUCCUAAUGAGAGACCAUGCUUAGCGAGUCCGUACAAGUGGUCUAGUCUUGUUUCGCUUCGAUGAGUAGCUUUGUUUGGUGUGCUCAUCCUAGUAUCUCAAAUGGACACGUUCCGGAUCAAAGUUUAGCACCGACUCCGAUUUGGCCGAAUUGUCCGUCCUAGUGAGGGUCCAUGCCUAACGAGUCCCUACAAGUGGUCUAGUCUUGUUUCGCUUCGAUGAGUAGCUUUGUUUGGUGUGCCCAUCCUAGUACCUCAAACUGACACGUUCUGGAUCAAAGUUUAGCACCGAUUCCGAUUUGGCCGAACUGUCCGUCCUAGUGAGGGACCAUGCCUAGCGAGUCUCUACAAGUGGUCUAGUCUUGUUUCGCUUCGAUGAGUAGUAUUGUUUGGUGUGCUCAUCCUAGUACCUCAAAUGGACAAGUUCCCGAUCAAAGUUUAGGACCGACACCGAUUUGGCCGGAUUGUCCGUCCAAGUGAGGGACCAUGCCUGGCGAGUCCGUACAAUUGGUCUAGUCUUGUUUCGCUUCGAUGAGUAGCUUUGUUUGGUGUGCUCAUCCUAGUGAGGGACCAUGCCUAGCGAGUCCCUACAAGUGGUCUAAACUUGUUUCACUUGGAUGAUUAUCUUUGUUUGGUGUGCUGAUCCUAGUACCUCAAAAUGGACUUUCUCAGCAUAUCUCUGGCAACCGUUGCAUUUCCUGACCAUAUCUUCUGCCUCUUGUAGUGCACUCGGCCAGUAAAAUCCGUGCUGAAAUGCCUUUGCUACCAACGUUCUUGAGGACGCAUGAUGGCCGCACUCGCCUUGAUGAAUAUCUCGGAGGAUUUCUUGUCCUUCUUCUGGCUCGACGCAACGUUGCAACACGUUGGUGACACCUCUCUUGGAUAGUUCGCAGUUGAUAAUGGUGUACGCCUUCGCUCUUCUCUGAAUCUGCCUUGCCGACACUGCAUCUUCCGGCAGACUUCCAUCUUUGAUGUAUGACAUGAUUGGUUGUGCCCACACCGGCACAAGGUGAGUCAUGAAUACCGGCUCGUUUAUUUCCAUUGGUUCAAUUGCCAUUGCCUCGUCCAAGUUAGGGUGCUCAGUCCCCGGGUUACUGGAACCACUGUCGCUAUCAAUAUCCAUUGGUGUGAAUUUGGCCUCCGGGUUCACCGGAAUAAAUAUCGAUUCCGACUCUGGUGACGGCUUGAUCGAACGCUUGCGCAGAUGUUCCAGCGCUAUGCCGGCCGGAAUGGCCUGCCGCAUUGAUCCCAGCUUCGAUAGAGUGUUGGCUGCUUCAUUCUCCGCUCGGGGUAUGUGAUGGUACUCACAACCUUCAAAGUGACCGCUGAUUUUCUGCACAUGAAAACGAUAUAGCGCCAUAUUGGCAUCCAAUGCAUCCCAAUUGCCAGAGGCUUGCUGGAUCACCAGGUCAGAAUCACCCAACCGACUAACAAAGCGACUUAAUGAUGCUAGGCAUCCGGUUAAUUUUAGUACGUCCUUGAGACAUUUUGGCGGCUUCAUUCUUUCUAUGGCAGCAAUUUUCACAUGAUUUAUUUCUAUGCCUCGGCUUGACACCAGAAAUCCGAGUAACUUUCCAGCCGGCACACCGAAUGUGCACUUGGCCGGGUUUAGUUUCAUCCAGAAUCUUCUUAGAUUUGCAAAUGUUUCUCGGAUAUCAUCUAGGAGUGUGCUGCUCUCUUUGGUUUUUAUGACGACAUCGUCGACAUCCACCUGCACAUUUUUGCCUAGUUGUUCAUGCAAGCAUUUUUGCAUACAUCUCUGAUAGGUAGGCCCUGCAUUUCACAAACCAAAAGGCAUGGUGAGAUAGCAAUAAGCCCCAAACGGGGUGAUAAAUGAUGUCUUUAUUUGAUCAUUAGGGUUCAGUGGUAUCUGGUGAAAACCAGAAUACGCAUCUACAAAAGACAACAAUUCACACCCGGCAGUGGAGUCGAUGGCUUGAUAGAUCCGAGGUAGUGGAAAAGGAUCCUUAGGACAUGCCUUGUUCAGGCUGGUGUAAUCAAUACACAUGCGCCAAACUUUGGUCGUGGUGGUGUCAUCUUUCUUCUUCUCGACCAUGACCGGGUUGGCCAACCAGUCAGGAUGUAAGACUUCCAUGAUAAAGCCGGCAGCUAAAAGCCGAGAUAUCUCUUCCAAUAUGAUCUUCUUUCUGUCAUCGGCGAAGCGUCGAAGGGGUUGCUUCACCGGUCUUGCGUCUGGCCUGACAUGUAGUGAGUGGUCAGCCAACUCCCACCAGGUAGGUCCUGGUUUGACCAUGCAAAGAUGUCCCGGUUCUCACGAAGGAAGUCGGUGAGCUCGCCUUCCUAUUUCUUGGUCAGGCCGGCACCAAUGAUGACGGUGCCGUCCAGGAACUCGCUGUUAACCGGUAUCUUCUUCGUCUCCUUUGCCGCCUGGAAAGCCACACUGCCAUGAGGGUUGGUCAUAGCCAGCAGAGUAGUUUGUGCUGACUGAGCCAGUGCCAUGACUUCCUGCAGCUUCUUCUUCUCUUCGGCAAUGACCAAUGACUCGGCCAAAUCAGAACCCGUAGCUGCACACUCCAUUGAUUGAUUGUAGUUGCUGGAUAUGGUUAUGGUACCAUUUGGUCCUGGCAUCUUCAUCUUUUGGUAGACAAUGUGAGUUCUCGCCAUAAACUUGGCCAAUGCCGGCCUGCCCAGCAACGCGUGAUAUGGGCUGUUGAGAUCAACCACUUCAAACACCAAAUUCUCUGUCUGACAAUUUUCCCUUGUGCCGAUUAAGACAUCUACCCGGACUUUGCUCACUGGCGCACACGACACCCCCGACACGAUACCAUGGAAGGUAGUCCAGCUGGGCUCAAGCAUGUUAUCGGUAAUGCCCAGUUUGAGCAUUGUGUCACGGUAAAUGAUGUUAAUGCAUCUCCCAUUAUCGAUGAGGAGUCAGGUAAACUUGACGUUGAUGUCGGGCCCGAUGAGUGUUGGGUCAACCACUAGAGCGUAUCCGCCGGGAUUCGGCAUGACCCUAGGAUGGUCAGACCGGUUCCAACAGAGCUCCUGCUCCAACCAGUACAUAAACUUCGGCACUGCCGGCAUAACUGCAUUGACUUCCAUCUCAUGCCGACGCUGGCUUUGCUUGUCAGUCUGCUCCGUGACGAAAAUCAUGUAGCUCUGGUGAUGUUCUUUGUACUCAUUUCUUCCUCCAUACUCCGGGAUGCCUUGAUCUUCCACCUGAUUGACAGCGUUGUUCACCGGAAGGGGGCCUUGAAUCUGUGCAUUGGCGCCUAUGAGUGGCGUCGGGGGAGGUAGCCGACUUGCUCGGAUUCUCGGCCCGUUGCAUCCAACUACAUUGCCGGGUUGUAUGAUUCGUCGGCUUGCUCGGAUUGGUCAUGUGGAAACGACAAGGCUGAUCAAGCAUCAUCUCAAACGUGCACUUCUGCUUAUCUUGCCACGGCUUCUUCUGUUCUCCUUUCUUGGCCCACUGCUGAUUCCCAGUCUUCUGUCGCUGGCUAUGACCGUCAUCAGGUUGAUCUUGGAUCGCAACCACAUGAGCUGGCCCAUACCGGUAAUCCGUCCUGUCAUCUCUUCUCUUGUUUGUAUGAUCUUGAUGAUCAUUUCUCUGGAAUGCCCCGGCAGGGUUGUAUGUCUGUUGCUCUCUGUGCGGCUCUGCCGGCAUCAGUGACGGCUGGGUUGGGUCUCCCUAUGCAUACAUAUCUGCAACCUUGAUCAUCUCGGCCAAUGUAGCCGGCAUUUCUCUUUGCAGCUUUUGCCAUAACAUGCUGCCAUGUCGGCAUCCUUGGGCAAACCAUGCUAUAGCCUGUGAUUCCACAAUCCCCUCACAGGAAUUGCAGAGAUUGUUCCAUCUCGUCAGGUACUCCCGGUUGGUCUCAUUGUCUCUCUGCUUGCACAUGGACAAUUGCUGAGGUCGAUUAGGUCUCUUGUAUGUGCUGGUGAAGUUGAUAACAAAAGCUUCUUCGAAAUCUAUCCAACAGUUGAUGCUGCCCUCGGGCAGAUUGUUCAGCCAAAUCCUGGCUAGUCCUUCUAGCAUUUGGGGUACGUAACGUACUGCUAGUCUGCGAUUGCCUCCUGCAACAUGCACAGCAGUGACAUAAUCUUCCAGCCAGUCUUCCGGCUUGGUGCUGCCGUCAUAUGUUCUCGUGCCCUUGGGUAGCUGGAAACCCGGGGCAGGCAUCUCUCUCAUGAUCCGGUAAGCAAAGCAACGUGGUCCCGGAGGACCCUGCGGUUCCAGAAGUUCCGACUGGUAGAUUCUGUCGAGCCGGUGGCGAGCAUCAAGCGGCGACACUUGCCGGUUUCCCACUCGAGCUCCGAGUGGACCGACGUUGUCACGCUCUCGCCUAAGAUAACCAUCAUCUCCCAUGGCCGAGUAUCUGUCAUUGUAACAGUCUUGCUUUGAUCCUCACCUCGAUACAGGGGUUGUGCCCGGCACUCUGCUGACCCGCAGCAGUAUUGGGCGCCGGACCGCGAGGUUGGUGUCCAUGUCCCGCCGAAUGACGUUCUUGCGGGUCUCGGCGAUUCUUGCUGAGAUGUAGGCCACUUUGACCAUCAUCAACUCGCCUGGCAACUUGCUUCCCAGCGAAUGCCGGAUCAUAGUGAUCCAGCCGUUUGUCUCGGUCGGAAUUAACACUCUUAUCCCGUCUCCCACCGACAUUGGGGGAAGACGCUUGAUUGCCGGCUCGGCCACUCGCGCCUGCGGCCGAGUGAAUGAUCUGGGAUGCCUCCGGCUUGGCAUGCAACUUCAUCUAUGCCUCAUUUUGCUCGUUAGCAAUGUGAAGCAGCUCCUUCACCCGCUGCUGCUGCACUCGGAGCGCUUCUCCUGUUAGGUUAGGUAGCUCUUCUGCUGCAACCUCAGCAGCCCUGAGGUUUUUAACAAGAGUGCUAUAUUUCGGCUUCAGUGCCGACGCAUAGCUUCCCGACAUAGCAGGGGCAACUCUACCAUCCCUAGCUAUCUCGGCAUUCAAGUUCUUGCCCCGGUAACGCACCUCUCCUACUCAGCUAGGGUUGUGCAUGGCAGUAGAGUUAAGACCAUGAGCUUUGUUAUACUCACGGAGGGAAAUCUCGAGCUCUUGUCGAGCGCGAGACACGUCGACAGCUUCCUGCAGCAAGUUCUGGCGCUGCACUUCCAGCUCAGCUUGGAGCUAUGCUGAGUUGGCGUUUGGAGCUACAGGCGCAGCCAGCCUUUUGAUGGAGGCCUGAAGCGGAGUCGGCUUUGCAGCGGGGGGCGAGCUGUUCUGCCGGACUUGCUCGGGACACCGGUGUUUUCAGCUGCGCCUUUGCCGGCAUCGCCACCCUGAGCUGUCAUCAUGACCUCCACGCAGCUAACGGGGCAGUCGCUAUGCCGGCCGCGAGCCGCGCAGACGGUAGGGGGAUCCUCAGCUACCACCACAUGCUCGGGAUACCUGCAAGCAAAGUCAGUGGCGACGUAGACCUCGUGUGUGCCAAAGUUGAUGAACCGGCCGGCAUAGGGCAAUGGUGCGAUGUUAAAGCAACCUGUGUUGUUGUCGAUGAAGCCCAGAGAGCCGAAUCUUUGGACCAAACCGGAGACCACGCGCUCUCCGGUGACGACGAUGCUUCCCGUCCGGAUGAAAACUCCAGCCAGCGCCGCUGCUGGCCCCACGGUGGGCGCCAACUGUCAUGGUGGUGUCACGUCAGAUGCCAUAGGAUGGCUUAAGUUGGGACCGAUGGAGGAUCCGGAGGAGGGAUGGCGUAGUGAAACUACACACAAUGUAAAGAAGACACGGUGUUUACCCAGGUUCGGAGCCCUCUUGUAGAGGUAAAGCUCCUACUCCUGCUUAGCUUGUAUUACCCGAGAUACACGAGAGCUACAAUGGUGCUUCUUGAGCUGUAUUGAGAGGAACCCCCCUCACAGGAGGGGUGAAGCCUCUAUUUAUAGGCUAAGGAUGUUACCCUGACAGGUGGGGCAAGGGGAAACCCUAACAACUCCUGGGCCUGCGGGGCCUGCCCGUGGUCUCCUCCGGAUUGUCCGGGAGGGGACAAUGCAGUUUUGUGCUUUUCAUACUAUGAGACGGCGCGCACUGUAGCCAUGCCCCGGCUAUGGCUACCGUCACUGUCCUUCUACGGCGCGUCACUGUGCAGUCGUCCGACACGGCAAUGUGAGCAAUGACUGCUUUCCCGUCAUCAAAGGAGCGUAGCUUUACUUUAGACCGUAAGAUCAAGAUAAGACCGUUGGCAUAUCCCGGCUCUAGCCGAGAUAAGAUAGCUUUUGCUUGUCCUGCAAUUACAUGAGACAAGAUGAUGAUGCCGGCAUACUUUUGGUAUGUCGUCCUGUUAGAAAGUCGGCUUAUGAGUGCUGGUCUAUUCAUUUAUGCCGGUCCUGCUUUCGGUUAGCCGGUCAUUAUGUGUCGUCAUGAUCCUACCCGGGGUCAUUCCCCCGACAACAGGCGUACCGAGAAGCAAGUGGGAGCAGGCAGCGUGCGGGAGCGGACGGGCAGCGGGAAUCUAUGAGCGGAGGCAGUGCGCACAAACGGGCGGCCGCGCAAUGUUCGGUGUCGGGAUGAAUCGGGACGGGAAGAGGAGGAGUUUGCACUCAGAGUGGAUGGAGAGGAUAGUCAGAGGGAGAGCGAGAGAAAUUGGGAGAAGUGAUUUGAGAAAUAAAGUAGAAAGUAGGAGUAAUAGGAGAGCAUGAAGGCAAAAAAGUUAUCAUUGCUACAUGGUCUUAAUUAUUCAUAAUUAUAUUGAGAAUCACUUCAUGAAUUCAUCAAAAACAUUGAAAAACACUCACACAUGACUUUUCAAGUGUGAUGUAUGUGAGAACGGUGACACCCUGGAGGUAGAGAGCAAAAGAGUUGAUCAUGUGUCACUUUUUCUUUACACGAGAUAUAGAAAUAAGACAUGUGUAAAAGAGAAAGAGAUCAGAGUAUAACCUAAAAAAUAAACAUAGAGAAAAUUACGCAAAACCACCACAUUUGUGACACUCGAUGAUUUGACAGCUAAGUGCAUUGUGAUGCAAAACCAGACAGGGGGCCACCUGUUCGUGCCAGCUUGGCGCCACGCUCGACAUGGCCUGCACGACUAGGACGGCGUUCGGGUACGUCUCAGGCCACCGCUCGAAGUUCUGCCUCGCCCCUCCAUCUUCGAUCUGCCCCGCUGCACCGUGACCCAUGAGGUCGUCGCUCGCCUCGCCUCGCCGCGCGAGGUCACCGUCCUCGUCGCCCGCGCAUCGGCGGCGACUUGACGCAUCGCCAGUGCCGGGGAAGAUGACGGGCGCGACAGCACGAGGAGGCCCUCGGUAGCGAGGUAGGGGCGGCCGAGGUCGGGCUCAGACGCGGGGCGAUUGGGGCUCGCGGGAUCGAAUCCGUAGGCGGAGGGCGGCAGAGGAUCCAGAGAUGGGGGAGACGGUGGCGACGGCGGCGGGAUCUCGAGGAGGCUGGGCCGCGGCGGCGGGAUCUCGAUGUGGCUGGGGAGGAGGCGGCGCCCGGGUUGGGUUGGGCUUCUGCGCGAAACGCCCGUGUUGCGGCUGCGGAUGCCCGUGUUGCAGGAGCGUGGCGGGCGCGCGGGUUGACCGGCGGUAAGCCGGCAGCGUCUGUCUCACAGGGACGGCGGCGCUGCGCUUAUGACGAGUCCUCCGCGGCCCCGCGCCUACGACGUGGUCGCGCUCCGCUUCCGCGGCCGCGACGCCGUCACCAAUUACCACAAAAGCUCGAGCUCCCUUCUUCUUCUUCGUGUCCGGCCACGACUAGCGAGCUCGCGUUCCUGGACGAGCUGCGGCAGGGCCUGCUCCGCGGCCAUGGCGCCGGUGCACGCGUGCGCACCCCCAGCGACUUCGGCAAGCUCAACCGGCUCGUGGUGCCCAAGCAGCACGCCGAGAGGCAUUUCCCGGAGCCGGAGAAGACGACCGGCAGUAGCGGCAAUAUGGGCGUGCUGCUCAACUUCGAGGACGGGGAAGGAAAGAUGUGUCGUUCAGGCACUCCCAUGACGUCAUGGACCUGCUCGCGCGCGUGGUGUUCGCUCAAUAAGCUGCGUCGCGAGCAGAUAAGAGGCUGGUCGUUCUCGCUGCGGAUGAAGACAGCGGCCUCAAGGCGGAGGCUCAGCUGCAUGUCCCGGAAGUACUGAUCCCUGGUGAGGCGAUCGUCGCCGCUGUGGCCGAACUGCAACUCCUUCCGCUGCACAUCACGCAAGUGCAGAGCCUGCUUCUCAAUUACUACCUCCGUUCCAUGAUUCUUGUCGAAAUAUUACAUGUAUCUAGACGUUUUUUAGAAUAGAUACAUUCAUUUUUUGGCAAAUUUGAGACAAAAAUUAUGAAACGGAGGGAGUACGUGCUCACCAAAUUCUGGGGAUCGGUCGGGCGUCGGCCAAAGUGCCGAGGAGGUCCUCCGCGACGUCGCCUUUGACUCUCCACGUCAUCAAGCAGUUCGGCCACGACUUGUCCAGCGUGGCGCCAAGCUGGCACCGACAGGUGGGCCUCUUUGUCAGGUUUUGUAUCAAAACGCACUUAACUGCUGAAUCAGUGCGCAAGAGUACCUCCGGCUUCAAAAGCGGUGGUAAUUUGAAAAAAAUUAAAAAAAAAUGUGGUUUUUCUGGAAGUGUCCAAAAUGCGGUGGUUUUGCGUAAUUUUUUCAAGAACAUAUCAUAAUCGUUAUAUACAUAUGCCCAUGAAACACAUCAACAUUUGAUUUGACGUUUUGAUACAAUUUUUCGUUGUUCCGUAUUCACGGGCCUUUUGCUAGUUAACUUAUUAAGAGACUUCAAACGGGAAAACAAAUCUGACAUCCAGUUGCAGCACAUUAACCUCGUAUAUACCAUAGUUUUACAGUGCUGAUUUCAUAUCCUACUAACCUUUGGAUUGCUCCAUUUCAGUCUGUUCCAAACUUCUAAUAUCACAGCUACAGCCUUACAAGUAUAGCUUCCAUAACAGUCGAUAAAUUGCUCUUUAUGCCUAGCUGUAAGAUCAAGAAACAACUACUAACAAAUUAACACCACCAGAAUGACGAAUUUGUGACCUAAAAAACCUAUCUGAUUAACUCUCCCCUUCCGGGAAAAAAAUAUAAUAAACCUUCCAGGCAUAUCAUAACUUUGCUGUCGUUCACUAUAUGCAGUCCCUUCUAUGCCUCUGUUUUCGAGUAAUAGAUCGACCCAAGCGAACCCGUCGCACUGUGAGAGCAUCUAGCAAGACAUCCAACGAGCACUCCACUGCCUCAGCUUGCUCUUCCAGCUUGAACGCACUGAGGUCAGGCCGCAUGUGCAGCUCCGAGAGGAGACCAGCUGCGGCUGCCGCAGUGCAGGUACGAUCCCAUGCUGGCUGAGGUCUGUUUUCCGAAAACAGAUCAGCAAAAGUAAGAAUUAAAGACCUGGAAUAUUCAAAAGAAAACAACAAAUAUAAAAAAUAAAUACAGACUUAGUUUUUAGCUCACCGCAGUUUAUGCAUCACUGAAGCGCUCAACAUAGACAGUGAGAUACACGGUAUGUCUUCCUCCCCCCAUAUUGCAGCCCAUCUCUCCUAUAAAACCUUAGAUAUUAGGAUUCACUUAGCUAAUUGCUAAAUGACAUGCUUUAUCACACACUCGUGCUUAAAAAUGACUUCAACCAAGCAGAUGCCAUUCACGUGGUGUGUCCUAUGUUUGGUUGUGGCCUGGACAUGCUUUAUUGAAAGCACAGUUGCCCUGUGAGGGCAAACAUAUUAGCAAGCACCAUACAGUAGCAGGCGGUUGGGCCAGUGCUUCCACAGGAGCAUGUGGUUGUAGUUAGUUGAGUUGGCAAGUAUUCUUGAGUCUAUUCUACGUAGUAUGAGUUAAAUCCGCAUUUCCGAUUUAGCUUGGCAUCUAAAGUAGUUUAGGCCAAACUAGUUUUGUAACCUAAUCAAAUUUAGGUGGCGGCUUUUCCAGAAAGCUAGGGGAGGGCAGCUUCUCGGAGAAGCUGGUCUAGGAAGCCGAAAAAACUGGCCCUAAAUAUCUGCUGGACCAACACCUCAAUGGCGGGAAAGUAGAUAAAUUUGCCUCACAUGGCAAAGCAUUACCAUGAUGGCAGUGCCAAAAUUUUCACUUAUAAAACACAAAACAGUACCAUAAUUGCUUCCAUAAUAGUUCCACAAACAAGAAGACACGUAUCAGCUUAUAAAUUACGAUAAAAAAUCGCAUUAAAGGGUAAAGUGUGUACCUCAACUUCAUAUGCUUUAUGAGUUGCUACGUCCGCAAAUAAUAUUAGAUAACCUUGUGACCUUUACAUGUAAUGAACGCUUAGGAGUUGGAGCAUAAAGAGUACUACUCCACCAUCAAAGCCAUCAUCAGCUCAAUCGCAUAGUCAGUACACCUCCAACCAUCGCUGGCUGUGAAAUCUUAUUUAGGUAUGCUCCAACACCUAGUCCUAAUGUUGAAUGGCCACAAAGUCAAAUCCAACAAUAUCCAUGGAUGUGGUUAUAACUCCAAAACCGAUCAAAACAUACAAUCCUACCACUUGAUAUACCCCCGUACUGCCAACCAUAAUCUGCAAGAUGAUAUUGUGCUCCGGAUGGUGAUGGUGCCAAAUGUGCAUUUUUUUUAUGAGCAUCCUAUAUGGUAAAAAUGGUAUUUUGAAAUUUUAUUGAAGAUCAUCUCCUUUUGACAAUAAACACAUGCUGCUUGCACACAAAUAACUUGGGGCCAGCAGCGUGAUAAUUCAUAUUACAUUUUGAAUUUUUACUAAUAAGAAUUAACUUCUUCCGUAUAUUAAAUGUACUAUCGACACCUCUUGUCACUGCCACCAAGAGGACAAUACUGCAUAAGGGGAGGGUAUACCUAGGAGGUAAAACCGUCGAUGAUAUCCUUUGAUUAGCUUUGGAGUUGAUAUGUUCACAAAUGAAAUAUUACUUUCUGACGUUGUGGUCUUUGCAUGGAACAAACGCUUAGGAGUUGGGAGUUAAAUUUGGCAGUAUCAAACUGAUCACAUGCUUAGUAACCCCUCAAACAUCUCAGCAUGGCUUAUGUGUAUAUCAUGGUGAUGUUCGGUAUGCUCCAACAACUAAACAUGGUGUUGCGUGGUCACAAAGUCAAAUUCAAUGAAAUGAAUGAACAUGGUUACAACUCCAAAAUUAAAUAAAACAUACAACCUUACCAUUUCAUAUCCCCCUAACAUAAUGUCAACCAUAAUGAGCAAGAUGAUUCAGUGCUCCUGCUCAUGGCGGCGAUAGUGCCAAAGGUACAAAGAAUGACAUUUUGGAAUGUUAUAUGGAGCCUCUGUUGAAAUUUAAUUGCACAUAUCACUUCGGCAUUCGUUGGCAUAUGAUUGGAUAUGGCAAACACAAAGUCACGAGGGUAAGACCAACCAAUGGGCCCUAGCAUGGUGCAGCAGAAGCAAACCAUAAUGGGCCAAUGGCCCUUAACUUGACUGCGAUGAUUUCCUCUCUGCUUCCUGUCCUUCCUCCCAGAGCCGAAUCUGCUGUGCUCAGAUGCAAGCUCAUAGGAUUUGGCAGACCACUAUGGAGGCCAUAUGGUUCCCUCUUGUCCAAAAGGAUUAGACUAACACAGGCACAGGAAAAAAUGAAGCUUACCUGGACUACAUUUGUUGUAUGUAUUACGUAAACAAUGGUUGCAUCAAUAUAGCUUAAAACCUUGAGCAAUGAUUUUUCAUGUGGAAGCAGACACAAACAAGUAAAAGGAGUGCAGCAUGUUGAAUGAGGAAUGCACUGAAUCGUACCUUCAGCCUUCUGUAUAAUGCGGCAGAGUUACUCCAGGUACCAUCAAGCAAGACCAAGUUAAGAGGUUCACCUUGUGCUUCCUACAUUCCAAAAGUUAACCUGUUACCAUGUACCGAUAGUGAUAUCUUGCUGCAUCAUGUUAUUUUACCAUGAUACUUGAUAUCUCUUCUCUUACACAUCACCAUCAUAAACACAUAAAACCAGUACAGCACGAACACAUAAAACAUGUACACAUAAAACCAGCAAACAUUCAAAGGAGUAACUAUUGAUAUUCAAUACUUUGCAUCUUAAGGUGCUAAUAAAUAAAAUUCCCAAUGUCGAACAUAACUAAGAAGACUGCACUGCUUAUAAGCACUUCGAUUUGAAAGUUGGUUUUGCAACAUUUCAAGUCAUAGAUACAAGCUUAAAUAAAAAAAUACAUACCAUCUCCUGACAUUCAGCAUUCAAGGUCAAAUCAUCAAAUUUAAGAUCCUGGACAGAUUUGGGGGUUGUACUCUUAUUUGGGUACAGAAAUGAGACCUUCCCCUUUCCUGGAGGACAAAAUCAGGAUGGAAAUAUACAGUAAUUAGUUGUAGUGACAUACAUAAUCAGAAACACCCUAACUAACAAUAUUUGCUAUCGAUUAAGCAAAGAACAAACAAAGUUUUCUAGUCUCUCCCUCUCAUCUUGAAUAAUAAGCAGUUAAAAAGCUCUCAAUGGCAACGAAGAGCCCUGCUGACAGGUAGAGGAAGGCAAGCACCCUACCAUAAAUCCACGGACCCAUGCCCGACCGUGCAUAUAAAAAUGAAGCUAAUUGAAACAAACAUAACAAGUGAACCGAAUCUAAAACGACAAAGAAAAUGAGUAAGUUAAACCCUAGCAAGCUUUCAUGCCAUCAAAGGUGUUUUUGAGAUUACCUGACCGCUGGAAUGCAUCCCACAUUAUAUCUUCCUGUUCUUGGAUGCCGAAGAGACACAAGGGCGCAGCUUGGAUGCCAAAUACUUGCCAGAGUAACUUUCCAGUGUUGUUUUGCCGCAAGAAGUCCUGAAAGAACAGAAAUGCUCACACAACCCAAAAGGAAAGGAUACAGCAGCAAGUACAGCACAACAGACCUUUGGAUGCAUGUAUAGCCAGAAUUUUAUUCCCCUCCACAAAUUGCAAGGGGCAAGUUUUGAGCACAUACAAUCUUCCAUUGGUAGCCAGCACUGCAAUUUAGAGAUAUCAAGAAAAACUUUAAAACUCUUGGCAUGAACAUGAGUGAAAAAUGACUACAGCAAUGUAUGCAAAAAUAAGCUUCUGUUGAGUAGAUCAUUAAAGCCAAAUUGAUGCAUAUGUAUAGCACUGAAUUCCUUUUCAGACUGAUUAACUGGUACGCUACCUUCUGGCACAGAUACCCCCUGCUCCCGAGCAGACGGCAACCAAUCUGCCGUGCAGAGUAGUACUGCAGCUUCUGAUCGGAGUCGGGGAGCGUCUCGUACACAGCCCUGUGCUUCUUAUCCUCCACGUCCUUGAAAUCGCCCUACGACGAGUUGAGAGAAAAUCAAACCAAUAAAUUCAAUAGCAUUCCCGUCGAUUUAAUUCUUGAUGCGUUCUGUAACUUUUAGAAGCACAUACACAGCAACAACAUCUAGGUCCAAUAAGGGAUUGAAGCAAAAACCGUUACCUUCAGCUUGGAGCCAACGCCACCGAACCGCAUCUUCUCGCCGGCCAAGGAUUCCAUCCGGAGCAGCUCGCGGACGACGGCGGACACCACAUUUGGGAGAGGAGAGGAGGUUCCCCAUCGCUGCCACUCCUCCGUGCUCACCUCACCGCCGUCUCCAGCGCCGGUGGAGAGGGCUUCCUCCUCCGCCUCUUCGACCGCUAUCUCCGCGGAGAAGACCAUGAGAGACCGCGUUGGGGUGGGGCAGGGAGGCGGACCCUGAGGCCGGCGGAGGAGGGCGGGAGGGUGGGGAAGCGGGAGGCGGCGGUGGAAGGCGAGGGAGCGGAUGGAGGUUGGACGAGCCAGCAUUGCCGCUGCUGUUUUUUUAUUAUUGCCCGUCAAUACCACAGGAACAACAAUCCGAAGUUCGGAAAUCCGAACAUGGUGGACUUUUAGAUUUUUCUUUUCUUUUCUAAUUACUAGUACAAUGCUCGCACGGCCUACGCAAAAAAGUUCAGGUUAUAGAAAAGACAAAAAUUGACAUUUGAAAUGUGUUGAACAAUAAGUAUUAAUCAAAGUGUCAUUUACUUCAGCAUAAACUAUUUUGUGAGGAAUUCUUUGUACACAGUAUUCUUUGUGUAUGUCUCGCUUGUACUCAUUUCCACAUUUUUGUUCUUCGUAUUGUUCUUCUUUUUAUUCUCCUUAUUCUCUUGACGUGUACCUGUUAGUACCUUUAUGUUCUUUGUCGCUGUUGCCUUAGAGAGUGCUACAUAUAGUUGGCCAUGUGAGAAAACUGGUUCUGGCAGGUAGAUGCCUACAUUUGGUAUUGUCUGACCUUGUGAUUUGUUUACUGUCAUUGCGAAGCUGAGCCUGAUAGGAAACUGUUUCCUCUUUGAAACGGAAUGGGAACAUCUCGUCGUCAGAGGGGCAUAAUGGUAUUCGAGGCAAGAAAACUCGUGUUCCAGAAUGUUGUCCUAGCACAAUCUCUGCAUCAAUAGCAUUUUUUUGAAAUCCCCGUACGACCAACCUUGUGCCGUUGCAUAGGCCAUUUGCGGGGUCGAUAUUCCUGAGUAGUAUGAUUGGACAAUUAAUCUUGAGUUUCAGCAUAUGUGGAGGCAGUCCGUUUGGUGUAAGGGUGUUUAGGAAUUCUGGUGGAUAGUAGUUAUGCGGGUCUUCUUCUACACAAUCGAAGCUGUGGUACACCAUCUCCUCCCCUUGGAAGCAAUCAAUCAUUUUUAGGUUGAUUCUGUCUACGCACUCGUUCUUUGUGGAUAAAAUUGCUCUUGACGUGAUGUAUUUUGGAUCUUCUAUGGAGGCAUCGUUUUCUUUGUAGAUAUAGUUGAUGAGACUAUCCAGGCCAUUAUCAUCCGUCUUAUUUGGCACACAUAUACUUGUAGGCAGAAGUAUUUCUCCGUUUUCGUUUGUCAUCUCGGUUCCGUUUCCAAUGCGCAGUAGGUAUUCUGCAAACCCUGGGUCGUUUUGAGCCCUCAUGUUUUGCACAAGCUUAAUUUUUGUCAUGCAGUUCCAGAGCUCUGACCUGCUUAGUGACGCAUCUACUAUUUGGGCUCUUAUACCCUUUCGUACAACGGGAAGUACUUGUCUAAAAUCUCCUCCAAAUACAAUUGUUUUUCCACUGAAUGGAAGAUCCGGUCUAUCCAUUAUGUCUUGCAUGCUUCUGUCGAGCGCCUCAACUGCCUACCUCUUUGUCAUCAGUGCUUCAUCCCAGAUUAUUAGAGAUGCAGUUUUUAGUAGCUUGGUUGUACCGCUUUGUUUUGUGAAUCCACAAAUUGCCCCAUCAUCUAUUCUUAGUGGAAUCUUGAACCUUGAGUGUGCAGUCCUCCCUCCAGGCAUUAUGGAAGCAGCAACACCGGAAGUGGCCGUCGCAAGAGCAAUCUUGCCUUGUCUGCGUACCGUGUCCAAUAGGGCUCUGUAAAGAAAUGUUUUUCCUGUGCCUCCUGGUCCAUCGACGAAGAAUACUCCUCCUCUUUGGCUGUCGAUCGUGGCUAGGAUUUUGUCGUAGGCCGCCUUCUGCUCUUUGUUUAGUUUGUUAUGUAACGUUUCGUCCUCAGGGUGUGUCUCGAUUGAGUACUCCUCGGUCAUCUCUCUAGGCAUGUCGUUGUUUGUCAUGUCAUGUUGUUCGUCUAUCUCUGGCAGAGGAAAUGACUGGAUGUCUUUUCCCAUAGAUUGCAACAUGCCCCUGAUAUCUUUGAGUACCAUCUGUUCGAUAGUGUGCUUGCAUUUGUAGUUUCUACUAUAGUCCUCAGACAUUCCCUCUAGGUGAUUGUUCCAGAGGCCACGGAUGUCGCUAGGCUCACAAAACACCAGGAUUGUUGCGAAUAGCCUGUGGAGCGAUGAAGGCUUCCGGAACAACUCCGCUUCUGUCAUGCAAUCAUCUAGUGUGUUGUCUGCCUUAAUGAGCCCCCUUUUUUCUGCAGCUUCACGGAAGUUUGGCAUUACUUGGCCAUCAACUGUUCUCAGGUCUUCGUAGCUUGUGGCCCCUGGCACGUGGUUUAGGAGAACUCGGAGAUAGUAUCGUUCUCCUUCAGCCGGAUGUGCUGAGAUGAUCCUGCCAACCUAGGCCGUACCUUUUCAUUUCCUUUCUUGCCACAAUUUAUCUCCUCUUUGCCAAGUAUAAUGUUCGGGGAAGUCCCUGUAUGGUAUGUCUCGUGCUUUCUCAUUUAAUCUGUUUGCGUCGAAGUAUGCUGUCAACAUUGACCUAUCUGCUCCACCACGGCUGAUAACGUUCUUGAUAUUUUGUUCGGCAUUAUAUGAAACCAUGUGCAUAUUUGGGAGAUGUAGCUGUAGUUGCAGGACGGAUGGAUGUAUUUUGCUUAAUUCGAACCCAUAUAUUCUCCAUAGUGCUUCCGGAGGUGUCACCCACCGUGCAUCUCUGUACUGCCUUAUCUCGUCGAUUUUAGCUUCAUUUACUUUUUCAGUGACGGAUACAGAUGCUCGGUCAUGUCCCUUGUAGAUGUACUUAAACAGGUACUUAACGGCUUUAAUGCUUGAGCAUAUCUCGACAUUUAUGUGGCAGUUGAACAUCCUCAACAGAUAGGGGUUGUAAGGAACGACCCACCUGUUAUCUAGCGUGCAUUUUCGGAUUGUUUCGGUCCGACCAUCAUUGCGUCUCCUAUAUAGUGGGUAUGAGUCCUUGCCUUGAAUUGUAUUUUCGUUAAAUGUGGAUAAUUGUUCUUGCACGACGUGCGAUUCUUUGUGCACGGACAAUUUCUAUUCAGUGCACCGCAAGGACCAUGCAUCAUAUGUUUGAUUACCAUUUUGUAUAGCUCUGGAUACUUGUUCUUGUUAGGGAGUUCAGCCGAGAUUAUCUUGUCAUAUUGUUCUGGACAUGUGUACUUGUAUUUUCCAGUCAUGAUAAGAAGGAAGUGAGCAUGUGGUAGUCCCCUCUUCCGGAACUCUACAACAUAGGUAUAUGCCUUAACCUUUCCAAGAAUGCUCUUCUCAAAUAGUUGCUUCUUCAUUUCUUCUAGCUUCGCCCUAAAUACACGGACAACGAUAUUUGGGCGAUCUUGUGGUGUCUAUCCACACUCUAGCUCACAUUUGAUCUCUUCCCAGUUUGGGUUGCAGGUCAUUGUGAGGAAUAUAUCUGGCUUUCCAUAUUUUCUAACUAAAGCCAUUGCAUCUAGAUAUCGACGAAGUUUAUCUCGUGGCCCUCCAAUAAAUGAUGAGGCUAAAACUGUUCUUUUUCCGAUUGCAUUUCCGUCUUGUUCUCUGGCUUUAAUGCUAUCGAGAAGGCCUUGGUAUAGAUCCGCCCUUAUUUCUUUCUGAUGAUGAAACAUGUAGUCCAGUCUAGAGUUCUCAAUCUUGAUAUAUGUAUCUACAACAAACUGUUGUAGUAGUCGUCCGCCGUACAAUAUUGGGUUGAAGAUGUUUGGUCGCAUAUGUAAUUUAUAGCAAUAGUAUUCUUUCAUGGUUACCCACAGCCUACUGGUUGCAUCUGUUCCAAGCAUUGUGACAUAAAAAAGUUAGCUGCAUGUGUAGGAGUGUACCAUAUAUCUCUACCUAAUAAUAAAAUCAGGGAUGAAUAUUGAAUGAAUAUUGAAGACAGUACUGACCUGGGUCAUCAUCAUCAUCGUUUUCUUCUGCACCAGCCUUUUUCAUAUCUUCCUCUUCUGCAUUUGCCUUUGGUAUCUUUGAAUGCAAACCUAGUUCACCUCUUGGAAAGAACAGAGGAUACGACAACGGAUCAUAGCAUCCAUAAUAUGAUUUAAUGAUCUGUAUUUCGUUGUUGUUUCCAUGUAUUAUUACGUUCUUGUCAAAAGUAUUUCUUCUUUGAUUUCCUUUGAUCCACACUGCAGCUACCUCUGAAGUGAUCGGUGCGUUGUAUGUUCUCUGGUCCAAUCUUUGGUCAAGGUUCAAGAUGAGCCUGUAGUCGUCAAGGUCUUCGGCUUGUCCCAAACUUCUAAAUUGUUUAGAAUAUGGAUUCUCACGUAGAAUCUCAGUUAUUAUGCCAACUACGUGUUUGUCUUGCUCGUAAGUUUCCUUGCGGCAACGGCGGUACCGAUGUUCUAAGCUUGGAUCAUCAUCAUAGAAGUAUAGUUCCAGAUGCUUUGGAUCUGAGCGACUAUUAGCAAAUGAGUGUAUAGGUCUUUGUUGGUUGGACUUACUGAAGAGGGUAUGUCUGUCCAUGAAAGAUGGUAAGUUGUCCAUAAUUUAUAUUUUUUUUGAAAUGCAUGAGUAUAUAUUCUAUAAAAUUUAGAGUAUUACCUUUAAUCCUGAUUUCUGGCUUCUUUAGAGGUUCUGUGUCACCAAUGUCUUUUUCAUCACGGAUAUUAUGGAAUCGAUGGCCUCACGGCGUUCAUUCUCAUUGAAAAAUGGUUGCGGUUGUUCAUCCACGUUUUUGUUGGUUGCUUCUAUCUCAUCGUUGUGAGUUUUCAUCUUGGAUGUGUCCUCUUGUACCGAUACCUGAACAGUUUUCCUCUGUCUUGUCGAGAAUUCUUUGUUACGACGGUGUACCAAUGUUUGUCUUUCUCCCGGUGUCACAGUUUUUCUGCGUCUUACUUUUAAGGGAGAUAUAUUAACUUCCUGUUCUGCCGUGAUAUAUGCAGGGUUCUCCAUCGCAAUUGAAUCUCUGCUUGGUGUGCUGCGCUUCAGUUCACGGUUAGCUCCAAUUUGAUUUAUUCUAGCUUUCUUUUGUUCUGGCUGCAUAUUUGCAUAUCUCCGCCUAUGUUGUGCCUGUUGUUUUGUCUUUUGUUCCGUCACCUUUUCUUUUUUUUGCUCAUAGGCUUCACGCCGUUUUUCCAGUUGUUCUUGCUUUUCUUCAUCGGUCUUUUGCUUAUAGGAUUCACGCCGUUUUUUCAGUUUUUCUUGCUUUUCUUCAUCUGUUCUUUUUGCAUCCCGCUCUCUCUCUCUCUUUUCCUUUUUUGUUCCUUGACAUCCAUAACUUCAGAGUUCGACUCAAAUUGCUUGGCUGCAUGAUAAUUUUUAUAUGUUGUAAGUAUGAAAUCUGGAUAAUAUGAAUAGAUCAGGGGUUUUUUCCUAUUUCAAGCCGGCUGGCCAACAGCAUAUUUGAGAGCUACAUACCCGUAAGGAAGUUGAAGGGAUGUCAUGUGUAAGGAGAUGAAUAAUAUACCUAAUGACUUGUUGUAUUUUCUUAUCAGGGUUGGCCAGGCGACACGAUGGUUGUGGCUUGGAGUUCAAAGUGUUGGACUACAGCGUAUCUCUAGCUACCACGCCUGUAUAUAAAGGCUAGGUCGCCGGAGGGAUUGUCAAAGUAUAUUAGGAUUCAAACUGAUCCUUGCCUGAGUAGGAUUAGGAGUCACGUAGGAUUUGGACUGAUCCUUAUCUGAGUAGGAUUAGGACUCAAGUAGGAUUCGGUCUCCUAUUUUGUAUUUGUGAAUCUAGAUAUGUUUGGCUGCAUGCUAUUUUCAGUUGAUAAUAAGGCCCUGUCAAUCGUUGUGCUACCAUGUUCAGCAGCUCAGCAAUGCAGUUGACGGGAAGCAGGAGUAUGAGAAGCUACCAUGAUCUGUGCCGAUGAGACUUCAUACCGUACCAGACAGAAACACUUUCAGAAGGGAGCAGAAGUAAUAAAAAUUGUCACGACUUGCAUUGCUCUAAUGUAUCGGUCAGCCUCAAAUCUCUACUUUCUGAUGCUCGUCAUAUCUCUGAAACCUGUCAUGGUGGAUUUCAGGUACCCUUUUAUCGAUGCCAACAUGAAGGAACUUUUAGCUACUGGUUUCAUGUCGAACCGUGGCCGUCAGGUAUCCUUUGGCACACUAUCAGUCAGCAGCAUGACUGCAUAAGGAUUUAACACUGCAGGCUUUCCAACCUCCCAAUCAUUCAUCUUAUAUGCAGAUUGUCUGCUCAUUUUUGGUCUGAGACAUGGCUAUCGAUUGAAGAAUGGGCCGGACCAAGUUCAGGAUGGGUCAGGCUACUCCAGAAGGAAAAUAAACCACAGCAAGUAGCACUUGGCAUGAUUUUAUUUCUGAUGCAUUGACAGAUGAAGCAUAUGCUUGUAGAAAUUGGACUGGGAUUGAUAAAAAACUGGAGGAUGUCUCAAGCUGUUAUAGAAAUAGAUACUAUGGAGUUCAUGUCCCCGUGGAAAUCCAAACACCAUGAUCUGUCUCCCAGAUAAUAAACAUCCUCAUGAACCCAGUGUCUGAACUUUAGAUCAAGUUGUUGUUAUUAAAGAUAAUAACUACGAAAUGAUAAAACAGGCACUUCAAUGAUUAGGCUACAUCCCCGCCAUAACAGAGAACAGAGUAAUAAGUACAAAAAGGCAGAUGCAGUUUAAGAAAAAGUGUCUUGAUCAUGAAACCAACAGGCAUGUCAAAUUGGAAAUACAUUCUUACUGGUAACUAAUAAAGAACCGGCAAUCAGUCACUCCAAGUCAAGUACCAGGUUUUGGACAAAAACCAAAACAAUAUAAUUAGUUGAGCACAUUAGUUCCUGAAAAGCAAUACAAACUCCGCAUUUGAGUAUGUGACAUCCUCAACCCACAAUAACUGAAAACAACACAAACUAAAAAUUUGAGUCUGUGACAUCCUUAAAAGUGUGGAGGCAGUUGGUGAUGCAGCUUCUUUAUUGGUCUUCGUUGCGUUUUCAUCCUCAGAUCUUCACAUUCAUAUUGGUUUGGAUAUUCCCGAUACAGUUGAUGAUAUCCAGUACACCGGCGCGCAUGUUGACUUCACAUUCAUUUUUCUUGAAUGUCAGUAGCUUUCCCAAAAUUUGUUUCCUUAGCUCGUAUCCAUCCUAUACAUUGUAUAUGAAUAAGAUCAGCAUGUCAUGUGUAAAAAGGAUAACGAUUUAAUGCUUAUGAUAUUGACCUUUAAAAAUGGCAGAUUCAAUUUUUCGUCAUCCCAUGUAGACAUGAAGAGUGUAAUAAGAUAACCAGACAAUUCCCUAUGUAACAUAAGAUAAAAAUUAGUCACAAAUGGCAAAAUAUAUAUAUGUAUCGUACAUAUUGAGUAAACAUGUUACCUGUUGUGAAUUGGAAUAUUACUUAUGAUCUGUUGAUGCCAUAGGAAAAUAUUUUCAUUCCAUGUAGACCCAGGGCAUGCCUUUGACAUGGCUUUCGGUAAGUGUUCAGAAAUCCACAAAAGUUUGGGCACAUAUUUUGCGUAUCGGUUGCGUUGAUAGAUGGGGUCAGUAGGAGUAGGAUCCAAAAUGUAGACAGUUCUCGUAUCUUUGGCUAGUACGAAUAGAAUAAAUCCAUUGUUGGCUUGUAUUGGAAUAUGAAUCUGAAUUAAGCUUGAAUUAGGUGUAGAUUAAAAAAAUUGUGUUGACAUGUAUAUGCAAGUGGCCUUACCGUUUUGCAGGAUGAAACGUUAUAUUUGAUACCAGGCCAGCUACGAACGGAAUAUGCUAGUUGUUCCACAUCUAACUUUUUCCGGUAGGUUGGAUGUCGUCCAAAAUCAGUAAUCAUCUAGGAUAUUAUAACAUACAUGAGUGUUUAGAAAGGUAUCAGAAAAAUAUUUAGUAUGUAGAUAUAGACACAAAAAAUACAGUUAAUAUAAGAAAUUACCCAAAAUCGCAUGUCAAGAUAAUGUUUCGAUAUCAAUCCUUUUCUUUUUUUCACUGUUUGGAUAUCGUCAAACAUGAUCUUCCGUAUAACCAAAUUGAAGCAGUCACACUCCAUGGGCAACUCUUCAUUUAGCAUUCCUUGCAGCCUUUUGAGAGUUAAGCUAAUUGGAUAUGGGUCAGAGCUUUGUACCCAAACUUUCCUGCAAAUCAUUAUCAUCACAAAGAAAAUAAGAUAACGUAUUUAUCAAUUAUAUUCAAUUAGUAAAAUAAAAUUACAUGCAAUAAAUGGCUUACUCUAAAAUUUCAGCAGGACCGAUUGAUUUGAUGUAGUUACAAAGUCCACCUUCUAACUCAUCUACACUCAUGUAAGAAACAACAGAUAUCAGUGAUUGGUAUCUUUUUUCAAUAGAUAAUGAGUUUAUUGGCUUUGGCCGAUUUUCGUCAUCUAGGCUUUCCAACAGCAUAACAUCAUUUGGAUCUCCCUCACUAUAAUCACUUUCUUCAAUCAUUGUACUCGCUUGCGCCGUGUUUGUUUUCCAACAUAAUAGUAUGGCAGCUAACUUAUAUCUAAAAUCAAUAAUAUUUUCCUGCAAAGUAUACACAAAUAUUAGCAUUUUACUCAUAUAACAAUUAAAAUGGCACCCACAUAUACAUGUUUAUCAAACAGAAGAUUUAUUUCUUUACCUGUGUAAUGGAAUGUGUUAGUGUAUGUCCGGUCCAAUAUUCCAUGAAUUUAAGCAUAAACAGACCACAAGAUGAACUGCAUGUUUCGAACAAAAUUGAGUACUCCACAUAAAUUACAACAUUUCUUAUAUAUGGUUAUCUGUAAACAAAAUUGUGUUAUAUAUACCUGUCUUUCUGAAUUGGAUUAUGUAGUUGUUCUGUAAUCGUCCAUUUAGUAACAUCGAGGUCUUUCCAAUUAUGAUUAUUCAUGUUUUCUUGAGUUUUAAGAAUGUCCAAAUGAUAUUGUAGUCCUUGCAGCUGAAAAAUUAUUAGGGGUAGAUAACACACGUAAGCGGAAGAUCAAUUGACAACAUUUUUUUACAGAAAAGAGUUAUAAGCAACUAACCGUAUUAGUGAGAUCAACUCGGUUGUGCUCCCAACAUAAUGAGUCGAGUACUUGUAUCUCAGACUUUUCAACGUUGACACAAGCUAAAUACCAAUGCGAGUGCUCGAUGUUUAUUGGAAGAUGAAUCUGCAAUCAAUAUAAUGAGUUAAUCUUAUCUUAGAGAUGUAAUAAUAAUAAGUAAAUAAUAGAACUUAUAAUUAUGGGUAUGGUUGUUACCAUGUCAUGCUUGAGAUAGUUUCCGACAAUCUUUGUCAUAAAGGUUGCUUCAUGUAUUCCAAUCUUACCAUCCCGUUUUAACAGCCCGGCUAAAAAGGUAUUCUCAAAAUAUACUUUAUGAUCGUUCUUAUUUUGCUCAUGUACUUCUUGUAUACAAUAUAUAUACGAGUUGAUUACCUAAAAAGAUUUGAAAAAUAUUAAUUGUUAAUGAAUAUUAAAAUAGUCAUAAACUUUUUUCUUGUUAGUUAAUAAAGGUACUUACAUCAUCCUUUAGCCAUUUGGCACCAUCUAGCAGGCAUCUCAAAUCACACUGUUUUACACAUACUUGAUCUAUCUUCACCAAUAUUUCUUUUUCAGAAGAGUCUUCGAUUACUAUAUGAGCACACAGAUCCAGUUCGGUCAAUGCGUAAUCUACAAAAAGAUCGAAGCAACAGAUUUGCGUUAUAUCCUGAUUUAGAUAUAAUGAAAGGCAUAAGUACAGAAGAUGAGUGAAAAUUUUACCUUGUGGAAGAUAGUCAUAUGUCUCAUUUGUAUGUUGAGGUACGUCUGGUUGCUUACCAUCGUAUGCUGAAAUGGUUUGCUUGUCAUCAUCUUCUGAAAGUUUUUCUUCAUUUACUAAAUCAGAAACCGGCGAUAACGUCGACUUGGUUUCAGAACAUUCAGAAACCAUCGACUUGGUUUCGGAACAUUCAGAAAGCAGAGAUGAUGCUGAGAUGGAAGGUGAUGACAGUAAAUCAUCCAAAACACUUGUUUCACAACAUUUUGCUUUUUUCAAAGGCCGGUUAUCAAAAUCCUGAAAGGUGGUUGUUUCAAUGUUGUGGUCCAUGUUCUGUAAACACAAGCACAAAAAUCAAAGUUUAAGAUCCCAACAGAGAUAGAGCCAAACAUUCAGAAAACAAUUAGCAUGCUCUGACUACACAAAACAAUCAAACAAAAUAAUCAGAAAGAUGCUAACAUAAAUUUUCAAGUUUAGGGAUUGAACUAAACAUACACUCGUGCACCAUAAUCAUCCUUUUGAACAUAACUUUCACAAAAUCAAAGAGAACCUUGGAGGAGGAGGGGGCAUUGUGGCUUGGUUGUGAUGCCCAUUGCUCAGGCAACAGUAUAUGGUAUGGGAAAUUGGGAAUGAAAGAUGCAUUUGUGAGUGGAAUGUCUGAAUCAAAUUCUGAAAGCAACUCAACGGUAUUUCUGAAUGUGUUAAGCUGAAUCAUUAGCCAUUUUAAUCAAUCAAAGUACAUGUUCAGCUUUCUGAAUUCUGAAAUUCUGCAUGGUGGGUUCCAAGGUGUCCACUACAAUAUACUUUCUGCUAUAUUCUUCUGGAGGACAUAAUGCAUAACAGCUAUUUUCUUCUAUAUCAACAUAAUAUAAUGCAUAGCUGUAAAAAAACAUAUGCGGUGAUAUAAUGCAUAAGCAACACUACAUGUGCAAGACCACGAAUUUCAGAGGUUUAAAAAAAUUAGGAUCACGUUGGAUUUCAGAGGUUAAAAAUUAGGAUGGCAGAGCAACACUUCGACUAAAUUAACUUUUCUUGAUUUGAUCGCCGCAACUCUCUAUUCUGAACUCCAAUUAACCUACAGGAGAGAAAGGAUUAGAUUGGAUCGAGAUUGGAUACCCUGCUGCUGUCCUAGGGUUCAAGAGGAGGGAGAGGAAACGCAUCAGAGAGAGUGGGUGCCAUGGGCCAUGGGAAGGGGAGACGGAGGGGCCGCCAUGCGAGGGGAAGUCACACAAUCUCAUCUCAACAGAUUCAAUCAAUAAAGAGCAAAAUUAUAAGAAUCCCUAGGGAGGGGAAGCCAGGAAGGAGAAAGCUGAGACCUUGUUGUCCUCCUAUGCUGGAGUGCUCGGUGGUGACGGAGUUGACCGUAGAGGCGGUACCUUGGGCGAGAAAACGUCUCGAGCGGAUCUGGCGAGGCGUGCUGUCGAAGUUCUGGCAAGUCAGCAAGCGAGACGGCACCUCGGGCGGAGCUUUGUAGAACGGGGCAAAGGAGUACAUGUCGGAACCCCAUUGCUCGAGCAGGAUUUUGCCUCGGAGAAGAAUUUGUCUCGGAUUUAGGUUCGGAGGAGAGCAACCCAGUCGAGGAGUAGAUGGCGAGCGCGCAGGAGACAACGACGGCGGGCCCGGCAGCAGCCGGGUUAAUCUGCCGCUGGCUGCUGCUGCUGCUGCUGCGGCGAGGGCACGUCGGCAUAGCGGGCGAGAUGCGGGUCGGCCGGGGAUGAGUCGGGAGAGAUACGGGAGACGCAAAAUUGCAGUUUAGCCCAUACCUUGCAAAACAAACCCAGUUCCGUCCUUAAUAUGGACCGGGGUUAAAUUAACAAAAAUGUGAAGGGGCAAAUCGCAAAACUUGCGGGCGGACAACGACGAAGGAAGCAUUCCUCCUUUUAUUAUUUGGGUAGAAAUGUUACUCCGUAGCUUUCAUGCUUCAAAUUCGACCUAAAUUUAACUUCCAUAUUUCAAAAUUCAACCUUGUAUAAUUUUGUCACUAUCAAAACUCCAACUCCAUGGGUCUAUCAAAAAGUUUAGUAUGGACACGAGCUUAACAAUUGCCCGUACCACACGUCAAGAUGGUACGUGAUUUGUCACAUUAAUAGUUUAGUGAUAAGGGAUGGCCCGAUCUUCUCAGAGAGCAAUGAGGGUAACUUGUAUGAUUUUACAAAUCUCGCGAUUGUUCACCCGUCGCCGCACGACGAACUUGCAACCCAAUGAAAAUUCGCAACACAACACACUUGCGCAGUAGUCCGCCGACCACAAGCGGUUUCGCAAUCUUCCAAUUCACAACGGAACGACAGAUUAAGUUCGAACUUUUAGUAGAUAAAACACCCUAUCGAAACGAAUAUGGUGUAGGUAAAAUUUUUGAUCGAAACAAAGAGAAAUCAUAUACUUUCAGAUGAAUGCUUGGAGCAAUUCAACAAAAGGUUCUGAAUAAGCUAAAACGUGGUCUUCCCUAAACCUAGUCGUACCCCUUGUUUAUAUAGAUGAGGAGUAGCCCAAACUCAAUACAGACUCCGACUCAAACUCAAACUAGAAUUCGACUCAGACUCAAAAUAGAACUAGAAUUCGACUCAGACUCAAACAUGGACUCGCAGAUCCGGUCGCUCCUUAGACGUAUCGGACUCGUCGUAGGCUCUCCUAGUGCGCCUCAUAUUCGUACAUGACUUGUGGUGCAUCCUGAGCAUAUCAUCCUUGUCGUUGGUUGCCCCUUGCACACAAGACAUUCUUCUAAGUUGUAUCAUUCAUCUUCACUUUUGGUGUGGCUACCUCCCUCUCCUCCCUCGCGCAUAUCUUGAUGUUGGAUAUCAACACUUGAGGAUCUGUACCCUCAUCAUCCUCCCCUUCUUCAAAAAGCGUUGUCCUCAACGCUGAAAGGUCUUUUCCAGCGGGUGGAGUCAGAUCAGCAACAUUGCCACACUCCAUCUUCAAGCCUCGCCAGCCUGCCACACCACGUCCUCCCUCUCGGCUAGCUUGACCUGCCCUCGGCGCCACUUCGGUUGUCGGCGCCACCAACCUGAUUGAGACAUAAAGCAUCCUCCGAAUGUAACGAAGCACACCUCGCAUAUCACCCCGAACAAACAGGACAAAUUCUUGUACGCUAAGAGUCCAAAUAAGCUGAGUACACCCGUAUGUGCAAUUUGUUGGAAACCAAUAUCUCCUUUUCCUUUUAAUCCUUUCCUUGCUGUCCUCGUGAAGCCACAAACUUCUCGGAACUCGGAACUUGCUGGAACUUGCCGGGACUUGCCGAAACUUGUCAGGACGUGCCGUGAAGUCGGAUAUGAAUUUCUUGGCUACACGUGCACACAUAAAUCUCCUCUUGCCUUUUUUUUUCUUUUUUUUCGUAGCAAUCUAUACCAAGAUGAUAAGGGAUGGCCCGAUCUUCUCAGAGAGCAACGAGAAUAACUUGUAUGAUUCUACAAAUCUUCCGGCUGUUCACUCGUCCCCACACGACGAACUUGCAACCCAAUGGAAAUUCGCAACACCACACAUUUGCGCAGUAGUCCGCCGACCAUAAGCCAUUUCGCAAUCUUCAAAUUCCCAGCGGAACGAUAGAUUAUGCUCGAACUUUCAGUAGAUAAAACACUCUAUCGAAACGAAUAUGGUGUAGGUAAAAUUGCUGAUCGAAAGAAAGAGGAAUUAUAUACUUUCAGAUGAAUGCUUGGAGCAAUUCAACAAAAAGUUCUGAAUCAGCUAAACCGCGGUCUUCCCUAAACCUAGGCGUACCCCUUGUUUAUAUAGACGAGGAGUAGCCCAAACUCAAUACAGACUCAGACUCAAAUUCAAACUAGAAUUCGACUCAGACUAGAAUUCGAAUCAGACUCAAACUAGAACUAGAAUUCGACUCAGACUCAAACAUGGACUCGCAGAUCCGAGCACUCCUUAGACGUGCCGGACUCGUCGUACGCUGUCCUAGUGCGCCUCAUAUUUGUACACGACUUGUGGUGCAUCCUGGGCAUAUCAUCCUUGUCGUUGGCUGCCCCUUGCACACAAGACAUUCUUCUAAGUUGUAUCAUUCAUCUUUAUUUUUGGUGCGCGUGCCUCUCUUUCCUCCCUCGCGCAUAUCUUGAUGUUGGAUAUCAACACUUGAGGAUCGUACCCUCAUCAUUUAGCAUGUCAUUACAAUCAGAUACUCACUCCGUCCCAUAUUAAGUGUCUCAAAUUUUUCCAAAUAUGGAUGUAUCUAUGCCUAAAAAGCGUUUAGAUACAUGUAAUAUUUCGACACUUAAUAUGGGACGGAGGGAGUAGGAUAGAAAGAUAGUCAGUCGAGAAAGCAGACAUAUAUCAAAGAUAAAAAGAAUUAAAACAUGAUGUCUUAGGAUAGAGAAUGUAACAAGAGAGCAGCUAUAUGAUUAUAUAUGCUUGUUUACCAUAUAUCUUAGUUGGAUAGGACAAAAAUCAAAGAAAAUCUUUGAAUGAAUUCUCCAGAUUGGACAUGCUAAUUAUGUUCUGCUUUGUGCCCAAACAGAAUGUCUUAGGGUAGUAACGAUCAAUUUUGGCACCAAAUAAUAUACAUGAUGGCAUUGCCAAUUCUAAGUAUACCAUUUUCUAAAUUAUUUUAACAGUCGUCCAAACAUGUUUGCUAGGAGUACCAUUUUAGAGCACCAUAGAAUGGUCUGGAUGGUUAAAGCGUGUACUUGUAGAAGUACACUGCUUUCCGUUAUUCUCAAAUAUAUUUUUCUAAUAUGGUCCAAUAGUUCAUCCAAUAAAAUAUACUUACUCGGUCCCAUAUUAAAUGAUUCAAAUUUGCCCAAAUAUGGACGUAUCUAUGCCUAAAAAGUGUCUAGAUACAUGUAAUAAAAGUCACUUAAUAUGGUACGGAGGGUGUAGUAAUUUAGUAAAAUCGAAGGUGAGACUUAACACAAAGAAUAGUCAAUAAGCUAUUUUGAGAUAAGACAGGAUGAGAAGACAAAUCUCAUACAAUGCAAAACAUGAAUAAACAAGUGUAGCAAAGAAAAAAUAGUGAAAAAAACCAAGAUACAAAAUUAGCUGUCAAUAAACUUGCCCCAUCACUUAUUUGUGGUGGUGCCAGGAAAAAUGUAGAAACCUGACGAGUUAUUCAGUCAAUAUGAUCAGAAACUUGGAGUUGAUCUUGGAGACGCAUGACUUGUAAACUGGGAACUCGAUCCACUUUAUAUAUGGUACGUCUACGUUGCCAGCUAGGGCUACACAACCACUACGUCAGUUUCUAUAUAUAAGAGGUUCUCACUUUGUCCUAACAUCUAGAAUAUCAAAUAAAUAUACUACGAAAAUAUAUAUCAUGAUGGUUUUGAUAAAACUAAUUUAUAGUCGUAAAUGUUGAUACAUUUUUUUUUAUAAAUUUGGUCAAAUUUAAAAAGUUCGACUUGGAACAAAGAUAUAACUUUACAUUUAGGAACGAAUGGGGUAUUCAUCUAGAUAUGGAAUAAGAAUGACACAUCGCAAGAGCCAGAGCUCAUACAUGCUUAUCGAUGUAAGUAUAUUGCCGCUACUAUUCGGUGUGAUCAAUCACAAUCUAGCCACGCUAAAAGCAAAUAAGUUUAAACAUGCAUUUUAUAGUGAUCUAAUUAAUAAAAUCAACCAGAGGAAACUCACUGGUGACUUAACAGUGGCAAAAAGAAGCCCCAAGAAACGCCAAACACUUCCAUAACAGGGUACAAAACUACAAAUAAUUGACAAUGCGGCUGCGUGGUCACUCAAGAAAGUCCCAAGAAGCAUAAAAAAUUCCCAUAAGAGGGCAUGCAAUUUUCUUUUGUAUAUCUUGUUGUAUCAUUAAUCUUUCCUAUAAAAGAGAUCAGCAAUUUAUUGUCAUUACUAUUUCAAGAAUAUUGGACUACGUAAAUCCUAGACAAAAUCCGAUCCACUCGUACUAAAGAAUCGGAACAUUUCAACUGAAAUUCAUCUUAUUUAUUACUCAUGAAAAGAUAGAGAAUGAGAGUGCAACUCGAAUCAUCUCAAAAACCAAUCGAAUAUUUCGUAUGAGUAAUUAGGGGUACAUCCGUUUUAAUAUGUCCCGUGUCAUGCAAGCUCAGGUAGGCUAGCAGCCUAACACCUAGUUUGUCUCAACAUCGGAGCAAAGCAACACUGCCCAUCUGAUUAGCUAGCUCGUUAAGCGGUUAAAGCUCAGUUCCGUAUCGGUUUGAGAGAUGAACAUGGUCUUGUCCGUGCGGGAGAGCUGUUUCUCUCCUGUGAUAUGCGUUUUGCUACAGUUACCGCAUUGUUUAACAAAACCAAAGGUUAGGUGCUACCGAGUGAUCUGCCAAAUAAGGAUGCAGAUGUAAGAAGGUGAGGACCACGCAUUGCUUCACGGGUUAACGAAAAUAUUUGCAACUCAGUGUUCAACGUCAGUUUAAAAAAAAAAUGUUCAACGUCACAGACGUCGUUUGGACUUUCUUUCUCCGUGACAUAUGCGCGUGCGUGCAGAGAGAGUUGUUCGCAGGCCCAGGCAGCAGCGAGGUGAGGUCGACUGGAUCCCGGCCGCAUAACGCUCACUCUCUCCUUCCCCUCCCAUGGCGCCUUCCCUUCCCAUCCCCACCCCACCCCUCAAACCCUAACUCCAAGCCGCAUCAAAUCGAACGGAACUUAAAUCAAAUCGACGAGAAAAAACGAACGAAAACCAAUGGAUCGCUCCCGCUCGAAGCGCGGGUAUCACUACGACGAGGACUCGCCUCCGCCUCGCUCCAAGCCCCGUUUCGACCGCCGUGGCGGUGGAGGAGGCCCGAACCCUAAUUCCAACUACCACCGCCGUGGACCCACUGGAGGCGGCGGCGGUUCUGACCGCCGUGGUGGCUUUAUUCCGUCAGACGGCGCGCCGCCCCCGCUCCCGCCCCCAGCACUUCCCCCUUCUUCCUCUGCGACGAUUGGGGGCGGUGGCCCUGGCGGCCCCGGCCAGGCCACAUCCUUCCGCAUCCUGUGCCCGGAAUCCAAGACCUACGGGUUCCCCGCCAGCUUCAUCAUCAAGGCGCAGGAUGACAGUGGCGCGAUCAUCACUAUACACGCGCCCUUCGCGGGGGACCCGGUCCGCGUCAUCGAGAUGGCUGACGGCGUGCCGCGCGACGUGGAUGGCCGCCCGCCCAUGUUCUCGCCGGCACAAGAGGCGCUCAUCAUGGUGCACCGGAGGAUCCUGGAAACGGAGCCUGACGACGGGGAUGAGGACGGCGAGUAUGGGCCCAGGGGCAAGGACGCCCGUGACCGUGGAAAGGUGACCACACGGCUUGUCGUCCCACGGCUGCAUGUAGGAUGCCUGCUUGGCAAGGGUGGCAAGAUCAUCGAGCAGAUGAGGUCCGAGACCAAGACGCACAUCAGGAUCCUGCCACGCGAUCAGAACACUCCGCGCUGUGUAUCAUUGUCGGAGGAGGUUGUACAGGUAUGUAUGGUGUCUGCUACAAUGUUGUAAAUAUAUGCUACAAUGUUGUAAAUAUAUCUAUUCUCGUUUUGGUAAGAGAGCAUUAACAUCGGUAUUUUGAGUGGAAUAUAAGAUAUGGCUCCACACCAUUCUAAACUGUUAGGGGGGCUUACAUAAGGAAAAAUAUUUGUGUUAAUGACAUACUCCGUAUUAUGCUAUGCGUUGGAGAAGACUUAGGCCUGUUCUGGUGAUCUUUUUACUCUAGGAAAUUAGAAAUCAUCAUUCCGUGGAUAAAGUAUUUGUGGUAAACAGAGUUUUGGCUAAUACAAUAAUUGCUUCAUAUGAUAUCAAACUGUAGUGGUGAUUAGGUAGCUUGGCUAAGUUCAUUAAUUAUUAGUCAUUUUGUUAGGAGAACAAUAAGCUGGACCCUACUGGUAGGUUUAUUGGACCGAUUUGCUGCUCUUUGAGAUUCUAUUGCUGUAGAGAAAUUGGACUGCUUUGGUAACCCAGUAUAUAUUCAGGUUUGAAUAAGCCGAAGGUGCCUAAUGGACUGUGUAGACUGACAUGUGCUGUAGUAGGAGGAUAAUCAUUGACAUAGCACAUGGAAAAGCAAAUUUGUUUCCUGAUCAAACUGAAUAUUCCCAGAUUCAAACAAUACUAGUAAAAACUAAGAAGCAUAGAGCUAAAUACAAGUCAACAGACAAAUGUUCAAACUACUAUUUUAAGUUAGUGAGGCAAUGCCUCAUCUUCUACAUACCUCGAGAUUGGGUUUUGAUGAUGGACCGCUAACCUUUUCCUCCUAGCUCUCAUAAUUCUGUUUAGUGAUCACCCUGAUUCCCAAGAUGUGUCCUGCUCAAGAAUUGUACUAGGCUGGUAGCUAUGCAUUUGUUCUGGAUCCUUUUCUGGUAAUGUUAAACUUAUUAAUACUGGCUUAAACACGAUACUCACUGUCUUCUAGGCAGUCACUCACUGAUGGUUCCAGACUCAUCUUUUCACACGUCAAUUUAAAUAUGAAAGUUUUGAAAGUUAUUUUAAUCUGCCAGGUACUUGCUGAAGAACUAUUCCGACAUCAUAUAUUCCUAUCAUCAUAUAAUUAUGAUUAUGAUUGUGGAUGCUUGACAGGGCAUAUUACCUUUUUGUUCCCUGACUUCGCUUUCACUGUAACUUGUGUACUAUUCCCAUGAUAUGUUGUUGCAGAUUGUUGGAGAAGGGAAUUGUGUUAAAAAGGCUGUAGCAAUCAUCUCUGACCGUCUAAAGGAAAGCUUACACCGUGAUCGUGGUCCCUUCCGUGGUCGCAAUUCACCGGAGCAUCGGAUUUCCCAGGCUGACGAAUAUCAGCAGAUGCCUGCAUAUGAAGAACCUUUUGCCCGAUUUGAUCAAAUUAGAAAUAACGGUAGUAUGGAGCCACCAGGAUACGAGUUUGAUUCAAAUGGUAGCAAGUUCAAUGAACAUCCAGAGUUUCCAUAUGAUGAAAUCAUAUUUCGAAUUCUUUGCCCAAAUGACAAGGCUAACAAUUUAGUUGGAUCACGUGAUGGAAUACUAGAGAUGUUACAGGUUGAAGUUGGUGUUGAUGUUAGGCUUACUGAUCUUGUUGUUGGAUCUGAUGAAAGGACCGUAAUCAUCACGUCGAGAGAGGUAAAUGACAUUACUCAUCACUCUACAUACUGUUCUGUAAUUCGAGUACUUAAUGAAGAUCUGUAUACACACCAACACACUGACCCGUGUCAGCCUGAGGGCUUAGACUACUCAUAGUGGGGGUAACUUAGGUAGUAACAUGAGAUGCCAACUAUGCAUUUUGGUGACAUGGCAUGGUAUUAAAUGAAGAAAGAGAGGGAGGUGGUAACUAGAUAUGUUACCAUAACAUCACACAAAACAAGGCAAGAUGAGUCUACAACCUAAUAAAUGACACAAUGCAUGACACCACAUAUAUGUUACUACCCACUAUGGAGGUAGUAACUUAGACUAGUACUCCCUCCGUUCCUCAAAGAUUGGCAUAUUAGCUUUCAUUAAGACAAGGCUUUGACCACAAAUUACUAUGUUAAAUUGUGGUUUAUAUGACAUGAAAUCACAAGUAUCAUGAAGUACUUUUGAUAACGAAUCUAGCGAUACUAAUUUUACGUCAUAUAAAAUACAUCUUGAUAUAGUAAUUUGUGGUCAAAGGCUUGUCUUAAUGAAAGCUAAUAUGCCAAUCUUUAAGGAACGGAGGGAGUAACAUAUACAUGUUACUACUCUAAGUUACUCCCCACUAUGACCAGCCUUACUGCUUGCCUGCCUUGCCCACUGAAAUAGGUAGGCAUUGCGGAAAGUUAGGAGUUAAGAGUGGUUACCUUAAAUAGUGAGUUUGGAUUCUGUAUCUACUUCAGUCUGUUAGGUAAUCCCUCUCUAUAUAUAUCGAUAAACAGCCAGACAGAAGCUAUCUCUUGCGUUAAAAAAACCCCGAAAAGACAGAAGCUAUCUCUAAUCUUCCUCCUCUCUUGGUCAAACUCUCCUGUUGGCACACUGCCCUUGGCUGAAGUGACACCACCCCGCUGCCGAAUCCCAUGGUACAGGACCUUGGUACAGGACCUUGGUACAGGACAUUGGAUAUGAGUUAUCUAUUCAAGGCAGUGAAGUUACAAUUUUUCUAAAUGCUGGAAUGGAAGGCAUGAUUAUGAACUUGAAAUUUCACAUCAUUUUGGACUUUUUCAAAAACAUUAGUUUUUCCUGUUAUAUAUUGGUAAAAUUAUAAGAUUACAAGCUUCUAGGAAUUAUUACUUAAAAAAUGAUCAUUUUUUCAGAUGGCCAGUCAUAACUCAUAAGUUAACAAUGGUCAAUACUGAAUUGUCAAAGAAUUUUGGUCUAGCAUACAUUCAAAAGUAGCAUUGGCGUAUUGCUCUUGGGAUGGUGGAAGUAAAUUGUUUCAUUGUUCACUAUAAGGCUGUAAUAUGUUUUUUUAACUGAACAGUAAAUGAGGCCCCAAAAUUAUAUUAUUAAAAAAAUGAAAAUAUUUACAACAAAGGAUUGGAAAUGUGCACAAAACAAGUCUGUUCACUAUAUUAUGGUAUCACGACAUGUUGAAGUCUACAUAUUUACGUAUGAAGUUAAAUUGCCUUAUACUUGCUUGUGCUUCGUUUUGAAGCAUGUGAAUAAAUAAACCGUAAGUCAGUUGGAAGUCUGUUGGUCUAUUACUUUGGAUCUCAGUUGGACUCAUCAGGUUCUGUGAUCAAAACAUGCCUGCCCAACAUAACACUUCCAAAUUUGAAGGACUCUGCAUGGCUUGUGUGCUUUUAGGAAGCUUGGUAAGCAUCUGUUAUACUGAUUCAUGAACAGAGUUGUGGGUGAGUUUAUUUACAGACUUGGAAGCUGGAACAAGAGUUGGGUUGCAGUUCUGUCGAUUUCUCAAAUUUUACAUUUUUAGCUUUGACAAACUACAUAAUCAGUAUCAACGGUCAACACAUAUAAAGGUUGCUUCUUCAGAUGGAUAGUCCAUUUUCUCCCGAAUAUGUUACUGAUUGUGCCACUAGUUUAAAGUUGUAUACUCGGUAUACUUACUAAGUUGCUAACUGGCAAUUACCUUGUUUGAGUGAUCUUGACUUGUUGCCUCAUGAGAAUCAACUAAAUUAGUUAGUUUUCCUUUUAAACCUGUUAAGGAAGUUUAGAAGUUGUCUAAAUUAAAUCAAACUAUGAUAUCUGAAAUAUCGAGCAAGGUUUCCCUUUCAAUAUCCCCACAAGAAAUAAUAUCUAACUGUUAUAUGUUAGCUAAUUACGCUGUUCAGUUUUAUCUGUAUAGUAGCCAAUCUUCAGAUCUGUGGAGCAACUCUAUUCGAGAAAAGGCUCCUCAUAUUAUUGGUUAAUUCACAGCAGUAUCUGCUUGCAUGUAACCUCACUUUGACCUUUUGUUGUGAGUUGUGACGCAUGUAUACUAUGAUCUCUGUUUAUUUUAAUUACUAAUUUUUGGUGUUGUUUGAUGUCUUAUGCACUUAUGAAAUGUAUAUACUUGUGAACGACUGCCAGUUUGGAAUUUUGCAUCAGCUAUCAUUUUUAACUGUAAUUUAGGAUCACUUUAACCCCUCACGUAUUUCAUUUUUAUAUUCCUAACAUAUCGUUGAUUAUGAUAUAGGGCCCAGACCAUGAGCUUUUCCCAGCUCAGGAAGCAUUGCUGCACAUCCAAACCCAUAUAGUAGAUCUGGGCCCUGACAAUGAUAACAUUAUCACAACAAGGUUACUUGUCCCUUCAAGUGAAGUUGCUUGCUUUGAGGGAAGGGAUGGAUCAUUAUCUGAUAUACAGAGACAAACUAGUGCGAAUGUACAGAUAUUACCAAGGGAGGAACUUCCAUCUUGCGCUCUUGAAUCUGAUGAACUCAUACAGGUUGGUCUUCAAUUGCAGUACACCUUCACUUCUGCUAUACAAGAAUUUAAACAGGUAGCGGAGAUCCAUCUGCAAACACCUACAUGGCUGCAUUAUAGAUUUUUCUCGAAAUUUUUGUCAAUUGUUUGAGAGGAAUGCAGAUUGGGAUUUCUUGGCCAUAACCUAGAAUGACCUUUGCCCAAAUACAGUGGAGUCUUGUUUCGUUCUUUGCUUUUUUAGCCGAGCUGGAGUUGACCUAUUUUUCUAGUUGUUUUUUGCUCAUCAGGGGGAUCUUUAGGUUGCACAUUUUAUCAUAAAGUUCUAUGCUAGUAGUCAUUGUUGCCGACACGAAUCCAACUUUUUUCUAUUGUUUAAGUUUGAAGUUCAUUGGCCUACAACAUUAUGUUUUUAUAGAUUGUUGGAGGGAUUAGAGCUGCUCGAAGUGCUCUCAUGCAAGUCACUACGAAAAUACGGAGUUACAUAUACCGUGAGAUGUCUGUUCCUAACCAAAUUGCCAGCAUUAAUGUACAUGGAUCCAUUCCUCCAGCAAAUGGCUCACCUCGAGGAAUAUACCCUGGAAAUGACCUUCCAAUGGCUAUCUACCAGCAAUCACAACAAAUGACAACUUCAUGGCACUCAAAGGUAUUGGUGAACCUCACUGCCUGCCUUCAUCCUUAUGUACAGACGUUUAUAUGCCUCUGAAGUAUUCUUACCACUGAUUUCUCUUCUUGUCACAUGUUCCACAUAGACCUGCUGUCUUACAAUCAUGGCCAUCUUCUAUCUGUUUCUUUCGAAAUGUGGUUGGUUGUGCCACAUACAUAAAUUGACUGUUAAAUAUCACAAUCAGUGGGUUAUAAACUUAACAAAACAGUUACCUAAAUGGUUAAUAAUCAUGGGAAAUAUGAUCUGAAUAUUUGUACUGUAUGCAAAUAGAGUUAUAGUGCAUGUAACUGCUCUUGUAGUUUUAUUUCUGGAGUCUGAUGAUUAUGUUUGGACCGUACAUUUGGUAUGUUCAGGAUAGUGGAGGUAGUGCAAGUGGAUCAUUUGAGCAAGGGAGCAACAUUAAUGAUGAUAUAAGGAGUACUAUAAAACGGUAAAUUUGGGUCUUCAGCGCUAAUUCUUCUAUCUUGUUGAUCCAUGACGACCUUACUCUUUUUCCAUCAGAUUUGCUGUUCCCUUAGUGACUAGAAGCACAUUAGAAGUUGUCAUACCAAAGAGUGCUGUUGCAAGUCUCAGUAUGAGGGCUGGAAGCAAGCUUGCCCAAAUAAGUGAGGUGCUAUAUAUCCUGAACUUUUUAGUGAAAUGAAGGCAGACAGUUCCAAACCAUUCUAACUUUCUAACCUCUGUUGGUAACAGAUGUCUGGUGCCUCUGUCACACUUGGUGAAGACAGACCUGGAGUCAUGGAAAAAGUUGUUCGAAUAUCUGGUACCCCUGAGCAAGCCGACAAAGCUCAGAGCCUGCUUCAGGGGUUUAUACUUAGCAGUGAGUAUUUCUCUUCCUGUCCCUCUAUCUGUAUUAUUCCUUUAUCCUCUGCACUUUGAAAAAUAUGUAACUCUUAUCUCCUUUCCACUGCCCAGUCCAAGAUGAUAUUCCUUCAGGGUAACGGAGUUAUUGCUGCGGCUUACACACCACCUGUUCAGUAGGUGUCAUUUGUUCAAUUUAACCUUGUUUUAUGAAUUUCCUGCGUAUUCAGGUGUAGUACAUGAGUUCUUAUGAGGUAUUUAUUUUUUAGUUUGUAUGAAUUUUCCCUGAUUAGAUCUUGUAUCUUUAUGUGCAAAGUGUUCCUGUACGAUGUUCUCUGAACUUUAUCUAUUUAAGCUGUUGCGUUAUAUUAAGUAGCGAAAAUGAUCGGGAUGGACUAUUGAAAAUGAUUACCUAAAGCACACUAUGUACUAUUGAAGAUUAUUUCUACCAAUAUCCCUUUCGAUUUGUAGGAAAAUUACAUGAUACCUUCCAAUAUAACCCAAGAUGGCACCUGAUCUCAUUCCGACUUUUCCUUUUGAAGGGAGAACCCUCUAGGUGCACAUCCGUACCUGCUUGUGUGCUUUUAUCUCGUGCUGAUGAUAUGCUAAAUACAUUUGGAAUUUAUCCAAAUAUAUUAUUUGGAACUGCUGGUUGUUUAAAGGCAUGCUAUUUGCUAGUGAAACAAAUCAUGUUAAAGCCUGAAGAAACUAGGCAGGCUCUCAGAUCUUGAUUAUAUGUAUAUAUGAAUUAGUCAUAUGUCCAGUUUACCUGCUAAGAACUGGUUCGGUUUUCCCCCCUAAUCUAGUAGAAAUGUCGUCAAACAUAAUGUAUGGAUUUAUGCAUGGAGUUGCAAUGAUGUACUAGCCUAUCCCAACUUGCUUGGGACAAAAGGUUUUGUUGUUGUUGUUGUUGUUGUUGUUGUUGUUUUACAGAAGACCGUAUCAUCUAGCAACAUAGUACAGGAUAAACCUAAAAGAGCUUAGGCUUUGUCUAUUACAAGGAGAGGCAUCUUCUAAUGAGAAGAAUCGGUACAAGUUAGAGAAGGAACGUUUGCAGCAUUCUUUUUGCCCUGUGUGCUGGAUGGUGAGCAACAGUGUUCUUGUCCCUAGAAACAUGACGAAAUGAAGCCUCCUUGGGAGUUGUAAGGGCAAUGAUGUAGUAAGGGUGGAGUUGUAAGUGCAAUGAUGUAGUAAGGGCAUCUCCAAUGGUUGGUACGAAGCAGGUACUUCUCAUAUGUGGAGAGAAAGAAAAAGAUAGUACCAGUUACUUGUAGAAGCAACAGAUUUCUACGCAGGUACGAAGAACAAAAAGAGAAUGACAUGCGGACCCAUUAGAAAAAAGAAGUGAAUAGAAAAGUGAAAGAGGAGAGAAAAACCAUGGAAUAAAAAUUAGUAACAGCUUGUUGAAAAUGCCCUAUUUGCUCCGCUGAUGUUCCGGUGUCCUGGAGACUGCAAACGUCACCUGCCUUGCAAUCCCUCCAUGCGCAGCUUCAACCCUGGAAGAUUCAAUGCUUCCAGAAGGCUUGCUGCAAGACACAGGCCAGAAGCAACCCUGAAGAGGUGAGGACCCUGGGGGUGGAGAUGGCUUGAAUUUGUGCAUCCACCUAUGACCACUGAAAAUGCCAAUGUUGGCUGGAACGUGUAAAGCAUGAAGAGUAGAGAGUUUCCAAGCUGCGUCUGAGAAGAUUAGAAGGCUAUCAGUGAAGGAGACCUGUUCAUAAUAAUUCUAAAUGUUAGGCGCUAAAUUAUGAGGACGGGGCAGGUUACAGCUAGCAAGGCCUUGAGCAUUAUGGUGAACUUGCAAAGGAAAGCUAAGACUUCUAUUGAAUAAACAAUUAUUUCUAGAUUUCCAAAGACACCAAAGAAAAGUGGAAACAUUUUGAAUAGAAGCAUGAGCGUGGCCAGAAGGAGGUUAUGGUAGGAGAAAUUUAAUUGUUUUGCUCGACAGAAACCUCCUUAUGUACCAGGCUAGGCUUCCUCUGAAAUGGGGCAUAGGAGGAGGUGAACGUCAUCUUCAAUCAAGCAUCAUCUGGAGCAAGAUUUGUUAUCAUGUUUGAUGAUCGUACAUUCUAUUUUACCUGUUGGAAGGGCUCUCCUGAUGAGGACCCAUGCAAAUGUUCGAAUACUGGACAUCAGGGUUUUUAUUCAAGAUCGUCGACUUUAGCAGGGUAGCUGUAAGGAGGAUUCCGAAAGAUAUGAGAUGCCCUUUGGGUGUCUUUUAUUAAAAAGAAGGAUCACUCCAAACAUCCAAGGGAAGGAUCACUCCAAAUGGAGUUGUUCCCAUCCGCAAGUUAGUGGUAGAGCUGCAAAAUUGUGACCCCCGGGGUACCCUUUGAUCCUACUUAGUUCAACCAAAUGAACUAAAAUUUUAGAACGACAUAACUUUUUGGAAAACUAGUUCAUUGGUUUGAACUAAGGAGGGUCAAAGGGUACCCUAAGAGUCACCAUGUUUCACCUCUAGUUAGUGUGGAUGCCCAAAAGGCUUUUUGGGAAAAUAGAAUCUUGAAAAUAUUUUGACCUGUGGAUAAGAGCAUAUUGAGUGUUGGGCUUGUUUGCAAGGCUCCAAGCUGCCACAACCAAAAGGUUCUCUUGUUCAUGCCAUGCAUGUCACGAACUCCGAGUUCACCAUGUUUCUUAGGGUAACUCCAGCGGGGAGACCCAUUUGUGUUCGUUUGGGCCAAACGGAUUCUCCCAUCCACUUUUGGGUCUGCCACUGCCUCAGCGAGGACACCCACUUGGUUCGUUUUAUUACUCAUGGACAUGCGCAAUGCAAAAACGACGUGCGCCACGACCAAACCCAGAGCAAAUUUGUGUCGGAAAUGGGUCGUGUCCGGACCAAAAAGCGGAUUUGGAUGUCCAUUUUGCCCAAACGGACAAAAUGGAUGGCCCCACUGGGAUGGCUUGCAAAUGCCAAUCCAAGCCCAGAGACACAUGCGCUCUCCUCCUUACCUAACACCCCGUCUGUCAAAAAAUUCUAAUAAUAGCUAUAAGUUUUUGGAAAAAGAAUAUAGGGAUGGAAGAAAAAUUUGUGAGAAGUUCCCUGGCAUUGAACCCAUUAAGUUUGUUUUUGAACUUGUCAAUGAUGAAAUCAUAGGCCGAGGACCUGUCUGUCCAGAAGAAUGAGAUGCUCCAAAUGAAAACAGUGACAUUAUCCAAAUCUUGCACGGGCAAAAUGUUGUUGAUCGGGGCAAUAUUAUAUGAGUAUCAACUUUCUUGCUACAGAGGAUCGCAGCUCCGGUUUGGAGUUAACCGGAGUUAUGACAAAAAUCAGCAAGAAUAUCAUUAAUAGUAGUUGCCUCAACAGUGUUAGUACGACUGCAGAUACGUGAUAGCCUCGAGGGUGUCCCGAUCUUUCGAUGAGAUACCUAAUUAUCGAUUUGGUAAGAGGUGACGUUGACGAUCCGACUACAACCUUGGAGGCAGCGCUUUAGCGAUCGAUACACCAACUCCAGAAGAUUAUUGAUCCCGCGGGGGCACGAUCAACCUGACCACGAAGGUCUUUGUUCCUGCAAGCAAUCGAAGAACAAGCAAGAACAAGAUGAAAAGUAAUCUGAAAUUGCGAAUAGGAGAUAUGAAGGUUCACGAAUCUGAAUACUCAAUAUAGUUGGAGUCUUGAUGACGGUAAAACAGGUGGUCUAACCGACACACGCGAUUACAUGAAAGUAGCAAAGGCUAAAACUUUAUCUAAUCAAAACCCAAUGCUUCAUGGGGGGGGCUCAUGGGGUUUAAAUAGUGAUGUGGGUCGAGGUGGCCCAAUCUUUCGAUGAGAUUGAUAACUCUCGAUUUGGGUAGGAGGUGACGUUGACGAUCCGACUACGGCCUAGGAGGCAGCGCCUUAGCAAUCGAUACACCAACUCCAGAGGGUUAUUGAUCACGCGGGGGCACGAUCAACCUGACCACGAAGGUCUUUGUUCCUGCAAGCAAUCGAAGAACAAGCAAGAACAAGAUAAAUAGCAGAUGCAAUCUAAAAUUGCAAAUAUAUUAUAUCAAACCAAUGUCUCAACGAGACGAUAAGUUGGAGUCUUGACGACGGUAAAACAGGUGGUCUAACCGACACACGCGAUUACACGAAAGUAGCAAAGAUGGCUAAACUUUAUCUAAUCAAAACCCAAGGCUCCUUAGGGGGGCUCAUGGGGUAUAUAAAGGAGGAGGGAGAGAUAUUUUCGUCCACCUUGAGUAAGGAGGCCGAAAUCCAACUCUAUCUCUAAGUUUCCUAACAAACUACAACUCUUUAGGAAACAGAAAAACAGAUCCGUCAGCUUGUUUUGUCCGUCACGGUCAGCACGAGUCGAAUCUCUUGAUUGGGCCAGAUCCCUUGGAAAGGUCUUGUAAUUACCUUUCCAACAAGUACUUGUUUGCUUGAUUUGGACUCCGGAUGCGGCCUGGGUGAUUAAAACAAAUUCGGGUCUCCUGGCAGCUCGGACCCGGAGCGGAUUCAACUUUAAUUCGUGAUAUCUUUCUCUAGCAAGCUCCGAAUCAUGUGCCGUUUGAUUUGUUGGAAAGUACACUUGAAAUCCUUCCUGUCAGCUGUAUGAAUGCUUGAUUCUUGUUGGCCCUCCCGUUCGCCUCCAUCGUAUCUCAUCUUGACAUUGGACAUGAAAAGCUCGACAAGAUGCCUACGUAAUAAAACGAGACAAGAUAGUAGUAGCUCCGCCUCUUCAUAAAUAUGACAAUGAAAAAAAUUACUACCUGAAUUCACCUGAUUAUAAAUCUUGUCAAAUAUUAUAAAAUUGAGGGUACCAAAGGUCGUAUCCAUGGUUAGCAUGUCCAUAUCAUCCUCCCUUUCUUGAAAGGAAAACCGUCCUCGGCGUCGUUUGUGCUGUAAAGAGACUGACAAAAUAGACAAAGUGUGUGCAUGGUAUAUGUAUAUGUCAUCCAUCUUUAUACAUCUUCUUUCUUGCACAACUAAUCUUUUAUAACAAAGUUUCAUGAGAUAAUUGUAAAACAAUCAUGAUGAAUAACAUUCCAGCAAGAAGAUUGACAAUAUUGUUUGCAUUUAUAAGCGAAACGAUUUCUUGUAUUUGGUUUGCACCACCAUUGCACCAUCCCAACAUUGGAGAAUAAUAAUGAAUAGUAUCCAAAUUAGUUACUACAAUAUGCUGAAAUUUAGAGCAAGUCAAAGCACUAAUAUUCAAACAAGCAUGUAAAUAACUAUUUGGCAAAUAAUCAACACAUAUAUUGGAGGUCCUAUCAAAAUGAUUAAGCAUGGUAAUGCAAAUCUCAUGCACCAAAAUGUUAUUGUUCACAUCAUGUUGUCCAAUUAAAUGAAUUGUGUAUCCAUGAACAGCAAAAGAUUUCGAAAUUGUUAACUCACACAGUUUAUCCAUUGCAUGCGACAAAUACAUGGGACUAUCAAGUGCAAUAUAACACAAAGAAUUAAUAGGUGGAUCGUUCUCAAUCACUCCAUGUGUAAUUAACUCGACACAACCUAAACCAAAUUUAUCUACAUCACAUGUUUCUCCGAAAACAUUAGUUAUUUCCUCACAUGAUUCAUUCUCAUCAAUAUCAAAAUUAAUAUGUGCACUCAAAUCAUUAGAAGAAUUAAUUUCAGCAGUAUGUGCACUCAAAUCAGCAUGUAAAUCAACAAUUUCACAUGGUGCAGAAAAUUCAACGGGUAUCUCAUUUAUUUCAUCACAUGUCAUAUUUUGUUCAGUAACACAAUCAUCUUUAUCAUUACCUUGUAGGCUCAACACGUUUCUUGUACACCUUCUCUCCAAUUUCCUCUCCGCUUCACGAGCAAGAUUAAGCAAACACAAUAGAGAGUCGUAUUUUCCGUAUUCAAUUAUGUAAGAAAUAUCAAAGUUAAGCCCACAAUAAAAUCUAUCCAUUUUUCUUUGUUCGGUUUCAUCUAAACCAAACCGCAAUCUUAUAACUUGGAACUCAUGGUAGUAAACAUCAACAGAUUUAUCAUCUUGUGUCAAACGUCGUAGCUGUGAGUGCAAGUUAUUAGCAUAAUUAAAAGGAACAUAUUUUUCUCUCAUGAUUUUCUUCAUACCAACCCAAGUGUGGGGAAUUUUCUUUUCUCUAACUAUCUCAGUCCACCAUGAUAAUGCAUCAAAACGAAUUCUACUACUAGCAAUUUGGACCUUACGACUAUCUAGUACAUGGAAGCAUGUGAAUUGCUCAAUUAGAGCUAUUUCCCAAUCAAUAUAAGCUUCAGCAUCAUUAUUUCCAUCAAAGAAAGGUCCAAAACAAUUAUUGACAUUACAAGGAUUGCGAUAUACCUUUUCCUUGCCAAUGUCAACAAGAGACGAGGAGGAUGGAUGUGGUGAAAAACGCUCAUGUCGGUCACUUGAUAGCAUAGGCCUAUUUUCCAUCCUUCGUGUAAGUCCUGUCAUGGUUAGUAUAAGACAAGAAACAAAACACAGGAAUAUGUUCCUAUCAACUAAUAGGAUGUGGCUACAAGUCGCUCAACUCUCAAGCUAAAAAUCAAGUUCUUACAAGUUCUUACCAUGCAAAACAGGAAGGUGAUGGCCAGCGGCGUAACCAACACCUCCGGAGAUUAAAUGUAUCGAUGCCUCGGUAACAAACCAACCUAGGUGUAGAAUCUGUGGAGCUUGGAGACUUUUGUGAGUAGCAAGGAAUAGCAAAUAAUCAAAUCAGCAAUGCAAAGUUGAAAAUAUGCUCAAUAAUGCUAGUCCUAGCUGCUGGAGUCGAUAAGAACGAAUUACAGAAAUAAUCUAACCCUAGAUACUGAAGAAGGUACGAUAGAAAGAUGGCACAACAAGUAAAUCCCUGGGAUUUUUUUUUCUUUUUUUUUCUUUUUGUGGCCUUCUGUUUGGCUUCUUAUUCUUUUCUUCUUCUUUUUUUUUUCUUUUUUAACCCCAGAAACUCACGCAAAAGAAGGAUCGGAAAACUGUACGUCGGUCUGUCGAAGAACAGCAAAGGCUGCAGUAAGAAAAAUUCAGAAAAAUAUGGAAAAAUAUGGGUUUGGAAGGGUAUCGACACAAGCUUUUCAGCAAGGCAAGAUCACUCAAAACGGAUGUCGGACGGUAGAGAAAACUGAGAAACACCGGGCUGCAGCGACACCGGAAAAUGGAUGCAGAAACUUGGAAGCUCCGAAAGUCCACCUUCCAAACCGAAUUUAAGGGUCAAAGUGCAGGGCAAAGCCCUGGAUAUUUCCUGAUGCGCCUCGUCGUGAGCUUUCCAAAAAGUCCAAGAACGUCCAAAUCCGAGUUGGUACGCAAAAGAUACGCCCGUUUUACUGAAGACGGGUCAAACCAACCCGAAACUAAAAUUCUACUCGGACUCGGGUCCGAAACUGACUCGAACUCUUUCUCUUUUUUUUUCGUUUUUUUUAUUUCUUUCUUUCCUUUUUUUUUUCUUUCCUUUCUUUUUUUUUCAACUUUCCAAACAACUUGAUCUCUAAACAAAAUUCGAUCUAUGAUGAAACACUUUCCAAAAGCACUCCUUAUAGGACUCGGACUCGAACUCGCGGCUGAAAACUAUUACUUGCCGACUCGAUGUAGAACUCAAAGAGGGACACGGUGUAGGACUCGAAGAGGGACACGGUGGAAGAUAUGGUGGCGGCGGGAGAUUAUGGCGGUGGUGUGGCAGGAAGUUUGGUGGCGGAAGAUUGAUGAAGGAAACCUGCGUCACACGAAGAACAAGAAAACCAAAAGCAAGUUCGAUCUAGUAGAAAAAAUCUGAAAAACGAUCCAAUCUAAUCCAGCAACUCGACACGAUUAAUGCAGCAAAGAUUCAACAAUGCAAAUACUAAAGUGAAAAUUGCAAGGCUCGGAUUGGUUCUAGGACAAGGUAACUAAUUCUAAUUUUUGUUUGGCUUUUACUGGACGAUACGUAAAAACAGAUCUAAACUACGGAUAAACUGGAAAAAUCUCACUGAGCAACCUUAAGCUCUGAUACCACGUGAUGUGGGUGAAGGUGGCCCGAUCUUUCGAUGAGAUUGAUAACUCUCGAUUUGGGUAGCAGGUGACGUUGACGAUCCGACUACGGCCUAGGAGGCAGCGCCUUAGCAAUCGAUACACCAACUCCAGAGGGUUAUUGAUCACGCGGGGGCACGAUCAACCUGACCACGAAGGUCUUUGUUCCUGCAAGCAAUCGAAGAACAAGUAAGAACAAGAUAAAUAGCAGAUGCAAUCUAAAAUUGCAAAUAUAUUAUAUCAAACCAAUGUCUCAACGAGACGAUAAGUUGGAAUCUUGACGACGGUAAAACAGGUGUCUAACCGACACACGCGAUUACACGAAAGUAGCAAAGAUGGCUAAACUUUAUCUAAUCAAAACCCAAGGCUCCUUAGGGGCGCUCAUGGGGUAUAUAAAGGAGGAGGGAGAGAUAUUUUCGUCCACCUUGAGUAAGGAGGCCGAAAUCCAACUCUAUCUCUAAGUUUCCUAACAAACUACAACUCUUUAGGAAACAGAAAAACAGAUCCGUCAGCUUGUUUUGUCCGUCACGGUCAGCACGAGUCGAAUCUCUUGAUUGGGCCAGAUCCGUUGGAAAGGUCUUGUAAUUACCUUUCCAACAAGUACUUGUUUGCUUAUUUUGGACUCCGGAUGCGGCCUGGGUGAUUAAAACAAAUUCGGGUCUCCUGGCAGCUCGGACCCGAAUCGGAUUCAACUUUAAUUCGUGAUAUCUUUCUCUAGCAAGCUCCAAAUCAUGUGCCGUUUGAUUUGUUGGAAAGUACACUUGAAAUCCUUCCUGUCAGCUGUAUGAAUGCUUGAUUCUUGUUGGCCCUCCCGUUCGCCUCCAUCGUAUCUCAUCUUGACAUUGGACAUGAAAAGCUCGACAAGAUGCCUACGUAAUAAAACGAGACAAGAUAGUAGUAGCUCCGCCUCUUCAUAAAUAUGACAAUGAAAACAAUUACUACCUGAAUUCACCUGAUUAUAAAUCUUGUCAAAUAUUAUAAAAUUGAGGGUACCAAAAGUCGUAUCCAUGGUUAGCAUGUCCAUAUCAAAUAGGAGGGGAACUAGGCGGUUUUCGGCCAGACCCUUGAGGGACUCUGAAACGGCCUAGGAAUCCUCCUAAAACACAACGAAAACAUCUAAAAAUUGGCUGGACCCUAUUACAUGGCCUUAGGCCCAAUAAAGUAAGGUUAUAACCCUCAUCUUUGGCCCAUAGAUACCCAUUGGAGGGGGAAUCCUCCACUUGGCCGAAAUCCCAUUGAUGAAGAGGAUGCGGCCUUCUUCUCAUCUCUCGUUAUGGCGAUUUCAAUGUUCUGAAAUCAUCACUUGAGCUAGCUCCCGCCACCUUGCUGCCACCUCCAUGGUUUGCUGUCCAACCCUGAUCCUUGAGGUGCAAGCUAGGUCCUUCAUUUCUAAAACACAUAAAAGAACCCAUCUUAGGCAGCAGCAUAUUCUCAUGAAUAUUAAAUGAAGUACUGAGGAACGAAAGUACCUGAUAAUUUAGUUGUCGUGCACGAGCUCUAAUAAUUGGUCCAUGUAUCUCCGGUACUUGAGGUGUAGGUGCUGUAGGGGCUGUGGUUGUAUCAUUAGUUGGGAUGUCCUCAUCAAUACGCAAGUCAUCCGCGAACAUUAGAAUGGAUGGGGGCUAAGCAGGGCCCAAGAAUAACAUAUGGAGUACUUUAACCACAAAAUCUUGUUGAUUCCAAGCAAAUAACAAAUGUACUCCCUCCGUCCAACAAAAGAUGUCUCAAAUUUGUUAAAAUUUGGAUGUAUCUAGACAUGACUUGGUGUAUAGAUGGAUUUAAAUUUAGUCAAAGUUUAGACAUCCUUUGUUGGACGGAAGAAUAAUAAUUUCAAGUGUAAAAAAAUCACAUUAUUCAUUCCUUUAAUGUGCUUGUAAAUUUUCACCGAAAAUAAAGUAAUUUGAUGCCGAACGGAAAAUUCACAUAGAGAAACAAACAACAGCUUAACGAGCCACGGGGCUGAGUAGCACGCUUGAGGGACAAAGGCAAAGCAAAUGGUGCAAACAUGAGGCGGACCGGAGAAGAGCAACAUAGGAUCGUGCAUGAGCGGGGCUGGCCACCAGCAUGGCUACCGGCAAGAGUAUCUCCAGCCGCGUCCCCUAAAGGCCCCCUAAACUAGUUACGGGGGCACCGGCGUAAAAAACCUGACCCAGUCCGCUCUCCCAAAAUAAAAAAGUAGCCGGCCUGAUGCAUCAAUUUAGCCGGCGCCCUCAAUCCACUCCCUUCUCACAGGGGGCUAGCGGGGGCGCCGGCUGAAGCUGACAAGUAGGGCAUGCCACCACUAUCAGUGAGACAAACUAAAUUUGGGGGAGCGAUGUUUGAGGGUGUGGCUGGGUGCCGGUUCCACCCCAAACAAAUUGUUGCGCUGGCGCCUUCCCAUAUGACCAUGCGCCAGAUGAAAUAUAGGGGGCCGGAUGAAAUAUUCUCUGAGAGGCUGAAGGUGAGAUUUAAUUUGGUUUAUUCUUUAUUGUUUACCUGGUGUGUGGACCUGUGGUGUGAGUUGGAUCUUCAUGUGCACAGACGUAUACCACCGUGGCAAAUGAAGCAUCACCAUCACAAGUGAGGAAGCCGAAGCGCAUCAAUUUCGAAAAAGAAGAGCGCCCUCAAACUCUCCAAACACCCGUCUUCCUCAACCUAUAACUGUCAGUCGGCUAGAAAAUCCUACAAUCAUAUCCAUGCCUGUUCCUUGUGCAUACGACAACGACAACAAGGAGAAGGAGAAUAUGGAUGAUGGUUGACCUAAGAUUGUUGGGUUGCUGACAGCAAGGUUUCAUCUCUGUCUUUUCACCACCUCCCGAGCCACUGAUGCAUUCACAAGACCGAGGAAAAGAGGUGGAGGGUGAAACAUCUCCGGCGGUGGCCUAUUAAGAUUGCAAAAAUGUUAAGGUCCUGAAGUCCAAUUUGACUUCCUCACAUGCUCUGUGUAGGCUCCAUUUGCAAGCAUAGCAUAGGACACCACGGUGGCUAAAAUCGUUCGGUGUGAACCAAGAAGCCAAUUAGGUGCAUUUUCUUUCUAAUUUUGAGAGUGAAUUCCAGUUUUUACCUCCCAUUUUUACUUUUUGUGUCAGAAGUGUGCUUAAAUGAAGUAAGUUUGUAAUCCGUCCGUCCCAUAUUAAUGUCUCAACAUUGUCUAGACAUGCAUGUGAUAUGGACAUGACUACCUUGGGUACGACCGAAUUUACUGCACGCAGAUAUAUUUCUUAGGUGGUUUUUAUUAAUAAUUAUAUAAUAUGUUAUUAUUGUAUCAGGAACAAAAAUACGACACCUCCGGUUUUCAUAUGCAGGAUCACCGAAGACCUAUACAAGCCGCCUGUUAAAAUAGGAAGAACAGUCUACCAUACAUGUGAACUUGUAUGCGUACACAUAUGCUGAAGUGGUUCAAAUCAAAAGGAAGUCAUGGGCACGUCCAAGAUCAAUUAGUGGGCCACAGGCCCAUGAGUGUUGCAGGCCACACACAAUGCAUGUAGGGAUGCAAACGGGAUCCCGCGAAAGUCCCUCUUCUAGUUCAUUUUUCAAAUCUUCUAUUCAAAGUUUUGCUCAAAAUUUGAAUAGGCGAUUUGAGAAUUGCACUAGAAGUGAGCCUUUCGCGGGAUCCCGUUUGCAUCCCUAUGCAUAUGUAUAAAUUUUUAGUCCAUCACGUCGUCACGAGGAAAGGCCCAGCUCCAUCUUCAAACAGCCAAGACUUCCAACGGCGUUCGUCUCUGUGGUUGUCUAAUAAAUUGAGGUUGCGCGCUUAGGGUUUGACUGGGUUUUGUUGAAUUGUUUAGCUUUGCUACAAUAUACAGCUGCGAGAUGUGUAGGUUUAGUCCAUCACGUCGUCACGAGGAAAGGCCCAACUCCAUCUUCAAACAGCUAAGACUUCCAACGGCGUUCGUCUCUGUGGUUGCCUAAUAAAUUGAGGUUGCGCGUUUAGGGUUUGACUGGGUUUUGUUGAAUUGUUUAGCUUUGCUACAAUAUACAGCUGCGAGAUGUGUAGAUUUACCGUCUUGUUCAGAUCAUCAGUGGAACCCCCACUUAUCGUGCCUAUAUUAUCAUCUGCAAUUUCAGAUUGCAAUUUAUCAUAGUUGCUGGUUCUUCGAUUGUCUGCAGGAACUCGAACCUGGUUGUUCAGGUUGAUCGUGCCUACGGCAAGCUCCAUAACCAUCAUGCAUUUUUACGGUACCCAGUACUCCUUAUUGAGAGGAAGGAGUACCAUUCAUCUGACCAUCCAUGUAAAAGGGUAGUUCAGUCUUUUCAUUUUACUCUUGAGGUUAUCCAUCUAAUUUCCAAUCAAUUGUUAAUUGAAAAACUCUUUGUCUCGAUCAAACGCAUGUCGCCGCCGCCGGCGCACUUGCCCUGGUCGUCUCCAUCAAGGGCGUGUUGCGCGCGUCUGCAUCCUCCUCCUCGUCCCCUGUGCCGCCGCUGUCUUCCAAAUCACGAGCGACUGCGUCAUCCUCUCCAUAAAUCUUUCUGUACACGCCGCAUCCCCCUUGUAUCCCAUACUGCAGCCGCUGCUGCAUCCCCAUUAUUUCCAUUGUUUGAUUGAAUUACUACUAGUCGGUGGACCUCCAGCAAGGAAUUUGAGAUGUAAAUUAAAAGUUCUUCCAUGCAUUUAAAUUUGCGAUUUAAUUCUUCUGAACCAGUUCUUGUAAUCAUGUAUCACCGAGUUGUUCCUAAUUCUCAGCCAUCUAUGCUGACACGAGCUCUCCUGGCCUCCGCGCCGGUGGCCGCAAGGGCCUGGGGCCAGGCCACCAAACUUAGAUGUUUACUCCUUCCGGGCGAUCCGGCAAGGAGACGCCAUGCCUGCAAAGUAAACAUAGGGUUUCAGACAAUUUGAGAUGGAACUAUAUGUUCCUCUCAGAUCAUCGGACUUAUAUGUGAACAAAACAAAAUUGCCAUAGUGUCUCCAUAUAUUGUUAUUUAGAUGACUUCUUUUUAAGAUAUUCGGAUUACCAUUUUACCCCUAUACUCAUGCUACUCCUCAGUUUUUUUAGGUACUCCCUAUACUUUCAUUGGAGUACCGUUCAAUAGCAUCAGUCGGAUCGAGGCAGAUGAAUGGCUCCUAUUUAUUUCGGGGCACCGUAAAAGAGCUUUAACCAUCGGAGAUUGGUUUAGCGAUUGCUUGAGUGUAUCGUCGAGUACGGUAUAGUCGGAUCAUCAAGGUCAAAAUCCACCAAAUCAAUAUUUAUCCCCACUCUCAUUGAAAGAUCGGGCCACCGGCACAUCAAGUAUCAAAGCUAAAAUUGAUUGGUGAGAGAUUUACAGUUUUGAUAUAUCAGAUUUUUUUUAUUACCUAUAGUCCAACAAAAAGCCUACAAAAAAAAUAGUAGAUUGGUUCAUCCGUUUCACCUACCUUUCUUUAGCCGUAGCAAUCUUUUGCAUCUAGUCUUUGGUUGGUUGAAUUUUUGUUGCAUUCAUCCUAGAAUGGUGCUGGUUUAGAUUGGUAUGAGAGAAUAACCGUCUACUAGAUCACUUUUUUUUUAUUUCCUAUAAUCUCGACCACCUCACGCCAUGAUAUUGUCGCACCAGUGGCCCACGAGGUCCCACUGAUGCCGGACGCAUGGGUCGCAGCCGCAGAAUCCCCACAAGGAUGGCUCCCCGUGAAAGGCAAACCCGGGAAGCCUCUCAUCCCCGAGACGACAGUCAAGGGGGUUACCGAAAGACGCUCACUGGCAAGACCAUUGGAUUAGAGAUCGAAAUCUCUGACACCAUUGACGACGUCAAGGCCAAGAUCAGGAUAAGCAGAACAUCCACCCCAACGGCUACCCGGGAGGCGUUAUUCCGGCAAGCUGGCAGCACGAUGCCCCCACAGCUGGCCAGGCAACGAUACUGGGGUGCUUCCGGACUACUAGAGCUUGGGCCCGCAGGUGGGGCCAACGGAACAGUGAAGACAGCAACGACAGUGCAUUUAAUGCACCGACAGGAGUCACAUCGGCAAGGCUAGUCUUGCUCAGCAAGUCUAGAGCGGCUACCGUAAGGCUCAUUUUAUUUACCACGUACAGUGGCCUGGGCGCUGCAUGAAGCCCAGCGAGGAUCAACAGUAGGGUAAUUCUUGUGGCGAUGACACGCGUGUAGUUAACGUGCAUGUCACGUUGCAUGCAUCGGCACCUGUGGUAUCCCCUUGGCUAUAAAAGGAGAACCAAUGCCACCGGUUGAAGGGUUCAAGUUCUAAUUGGAGCAUAAGGUAGUUCAGCAUCCGUCCAAGUAGCAAAAUCCCUUAGGGGGACAAGUAGCAAAGCCCGGGAACCCUCUCGGGAACCUGUACACGCUCAAACUUGUGAAUACAACCAAAAGCAGAACCUAGGGUGUUACACCUCCGGGUGGCCCGAACCUGGGUAAACUCACGUGCCGCCACUUCAUGUCUUUCGUCACGCGGACGAUCGCCGGAGCGAUCCCCUCGACCUCCACUGAACCAAAAAGGGGGUGUCCAACAUCCCCAGUGCCGGAGUUUCGUGCUCCGACAUCUGGCGCGCCAGGUAGGGGGGGCGUGCAGAGAACUCCGCGUGACCGCCGGCAUCAUCAUCUUCGUCAUCGUCUUCAUCAGCUCACCAUGCCGCCCAAGAAGGCAGACAAGCCUAGGUCGACUUGCGUGAUACACUCGCUAUGCGCACUCGGUCCCACGACGCCGCCAGGGCGUCUCGAGAUCACCGGGACUAAGGGUCUCCCCAGCAGCAGCCGCUGCUGCCCCCGCGAGGCCCUCGUGCGUAGACAAACAACCGCCUGAGGGGGCCUGCGGCGCCUAGCGACGGAGAUAGCCGCCCAGGCGACGCGCACGUGCCAGCCAGCGAGGUCGCUCGCAGGCUGAAGAUGAGCGACAACAGUCGCGUCACGAACAAAGCGUGUCUACCUCAAAUGGACACGUUCCGGAUCAGAGUUUAGCACCGACUCUAGAUUUCCCAAAUUGUUCGUCCUAGUGAGGGACCAUGCCUAGCGAGUCCGUAUAAGUGGUCUAGACUUGUUUCGCUUCUAUGAGUAGCUUUCUUUGGCCUGCUCAUCUUAUAACGCCAAACAGACCGAUUUGGCCGAAUUGUCCGUCCUAGUGAGGGACCAUGCCUAGCGAGUCUGUAACAGUGGUCUAGUCUUGUUUCGCUUCGAUGAGUAGCUUCGUUUGGUGUGCUCAUCCUAGUACCUGAAAUGGCACGUUCCGGAUCAAAGUUUAGCACCGACUCCGAUUUGGCCAGAUUGUCCGUCCUUGUGAGGGACCAUGCCUAGCGAGUCCCUACAAGUGCUCUAGUCUUGUUUUGAUUCGAUGAGUAGCUUUCUUUGGUGUGCUCAUCUUAUAACACCAAACGGACCCGUUCCGGAUCAAAGUUUAGCACCGACUACGAUUUGGCCGAAUUGUCCGUCCUAGUGAGGGACCAUGCCUAGCGAGGCCGUGAAGUGGUCUAGUCUUGUUUCGCUUCGAUGAAUAGCUUUGUUUGGUGUGCUCAUCCUUGUACCUCAAAUGGACACGUUCCGGAUCACAGAUUAGCACCGACUCUAAUUUGCCCGAAUUGUCCGUACUAGUGAGGGACCUUGCCUAGCGAGUCCGUAUAAGUGGUCUAGUCUUGUUUCGGUUCUAUGAGUAGCGUUUUUUGGUGUGCUCAUCCUAGUACCUCAAAUGGACACAUUGCGGACCAAAGUGUUUGCACUGACUCUAAUUUGGCCGAAUUGUCCGUCUUAGUGAGGGACCAUGCCUAGCGAGGCCGUGAAGUGGUCUAGUCUUGUUUCGCUUCGAUGAGUAGCUUUGUUUGGUGUGCUCAUCCUUGUACCGCAAAUGGACACGUUCCGGAUCACAGUUUAGCACCGACUCUAAUUUGCCUGAAUUGUCCGUACUAGUGAGGGACCUUGCCUAGCGAGUCCGUAUAAGUGGUCUAGUCUUGUUUCGGUUCUAUGAGUAGCGUUUUUUGGUGUGCUCAUCCUAAUACCUCAAAUGGACACAUUGCGGACCAAAGUGUUUGCACCGACUCUAAUUUGGCCGAAUUGUCCGUCCUAGUGAGGGACCAUGCCUAGCGAGGCCGUACAAGUGGUCUAGUCUUGUUUCAGUUCGAUGAGUAGCUUUGUUUGGUAUGCUCAUCCUAGUACCUCAAAUGGACACGUUCUUGAUCAGAGUUUAGCACCGACUCUGAUUUGCCCGAAUUGUCCGUACUAGUGAGGGCCUUGCCUAGCGAGUCCGUAUAAGUGGUUGAUAGCCUCGAGGGUGUCCCGAUCUUUCGAUGAGAUACCUAAUUAACGGUUUGGUAGGAGGUGACGUUGACGAUCCGACUACAACUUAGGAGGCAGUGCCUUAGCGAUCGAUAGACCAACUCCAGAAGGUUAUUGAUCCCGCGGGGGCACGAUCAACCUGACCAUGAAGGUCUUUGUUCCUGCAAGCAAUCGAAGAACAAGCAAGAACAAGAUGAAAAGCAAUCUGAAAUUGCGAAUACGAGAUAUGAAGGUUCACGAAUCUGAAUAUUCAAUAUAGUUGGAGUCUUGAUGACGGUAAAACAGGUGGUCUAACCGACACACGCGAUUACACGAAAGUAGCAAAGGCUAAACUUUAUCUAAUCAAAACCCAAGGCUCCAUAGGAGGGCUCAUGGGGUAUAAACAGGAGGGGAACUAGGUGGUUUUCAGACAGGCCCUUGAGGGACUUCGAAACGGCCUAGGAAUCCUCGUAAAACACAACGAAAACAUCUAAAAAUUGGCUGGACCCUAUUACAUGGCCUUAGGCCCAAUAAAGCAAGGUUAUAACCCUCAUCUUUGGCCCAUAGAUACCCAUUGGAGGGGGAAUCCUCUACUUGGCCGAAAUCCCAUUGAUAAAGAGGAUGCGGCCUUCUUCUCAUAUCUCGUUAUGGCGGUUUCAAUGUUCUGAAAUCAUCACUUGAGCUAGCUCCCGCCACCUUGCUACCACCUCCGUGGUUUGCUGUCCAACGCUGAUCCUUGAGGUGCAAGCUAGGUCCUUCAUUCCUAAAACACAUAAAAGAACCCAUCUUAGGCAGUAGCAUAUUCUCAUUAAUAUUAAAUGAAGUACCGAGGAACGAAAGUACCUGAUAAUUUAGUUGUCGUGCACGAGCUCUAGUAAUUGGUCCAUGUAUCUCUGGUACUUGAGGUGUAGGUGCUGUAGGGGCUGUGGUUGUAUCAUUAGUUGGGAUGUCCUCAUCAUCCUCCCCUUCUUGAAUCGAAGUCGUCCUCGACGGUAGUUCAUCUUCUUCUCCCAAAUAAGGCUUCAAAUCUGCAAUAUUAAACGUGGGACUAACCCCAAAAUCUGCAGGUAGCUCAAGUUUAUAUGCAUCAUCAUUAAUUUUUGCUAACACCUUAAAGGGACCACCAGCUCGUGGCAUUAACUUAGACUUGCGCAAAUCAGGGAAGCGAUCUUUGCGCAAAUGCAACCAAACAAGAUCUCCAGGUUCAAACAGAAUUUGUUUUCUGCCCCUAUCUCCCGCAAGUUUAUACUUAGAAUUCAUGCACUCAAUGUUCUCUUUAGUCAUCUCAUGCAUUUUUAUUAUAAGUUCAGCACGUUCCUUAGCAUCAAAGUUAACUUUUUCAGAAGUUGGCAAAGGUAACAAAUCAAUUGGUGCACGAGGUAUAAAACCAUAAACAAUUUCAAAAGGGCACAAUUUUGUGGUUGAAUGCAGUGAACGAUUAUAAGCAAAUUCAAUAUGAGGUAAACAUUUUUCCCACAUUUUCAAGUUCUUCUUUAAAACAGCCCUAAGCAUAGUAGAUAAUGUUCUAUUAACAACUUCAGUUUGUCCAUCUGUUUGGGGAUGACAUGUAGUACUAAAAAGCAAUUUAGUCCCCAACUUAGCCCAUAAACAUCUCCAAAAGUGGCUAAGAAAUUUUGUGUCACGGUCUGAAACUAUAGUAUUGGGCACACCAUGCAAGCGAACAAUUUCACGAAAGAAUAAAUCAGCAACAUUUGUAGCAUCAUCGCUCUUAUGACAAGGUAUAAAAUGUGCCAUCUUAGAAAAUCUAUCAACAACAACAAAUAUGCUAUCCCUCCCCUUCUUAGUUCGAGGCAAUCCCAAAACAAAAUCCAUUGAUAUAUCUUCCCAAGGAACAUUAGGAACAGGGAGAGGCAUAUAUAAACCAUGAGUAUUGAGUCGUGACUUAACUUUUUGACAUGUAGUGCAGCGAGCGAUAAAUCUCUCAACAUCCCGUCUCAUCCGAGGCCAAAAGAAAUGAUCAGCGAGCACAUCUUCGGUCUUCUUCACGCCAAAGUGACCCAUCAACCCUCCUCCAUGUGCCUCCUGUAACAACAAAAGACGAACGAAGCUAUCUGGGAUGCAUAGCUUGUUAGCACGGAACACAAAUCCAUCAUUAAUGACGAACUUGUUCCAUGUUCUGCCCUCUUUACAAUGCUGCAAAACAUCCUUAAAAUCUGCAUCAUGCUCAUAUUGUUCUUUUAUAGUCUCCAAUCCAAAUAUCCAAAAAUCAAGCUGAGAUAACAAGGUAUAACGACGUGAUAACGCAUCAGCAAUAACAUUAUCUUUACCCUUCUUAUGUUUAAUAACAUACGGAAAAGACUCAAUAAAUUCAACCCAUUUAGCAUGACGACGGUUCAGCUUUGCUUGACUACGAAUAUGCUUCAAAGAUUCAUGAUCAGAAUGUAUAACAAAUUCUUUGGGCCAUAAAUAAUGUUGCCAUGUUUCUAAAGUCCGAACGAGAGCAUAUAAUUCCUUAUCAUAAGUAGAAUAAUUCAGACUAGGCCCACUCAAUUUUUCACUAAAGUAUGCAACAGGUUUUCCGUCUUGUAACAACACACCUCCUAAACCGAUUCCACUAGCAUCACACUCCAACUCAAAAGUCUUAUUAAAAUCAGGAAGUUGGAGUAAAGGAGCAUGUGUCAACUUAUCUUUCAAUAUGAGAAAAGCUUCUUCUUGUGCAACGCCCCAUACAUAUGGAACGUCCUUCUUUGUGAGCUCAUUAAGCGGUGCAGCAAGGGUGCUGAAAUCCUUUACAGAGCGGCGAUAAAACCCAGCGAGUCCAAGAAAGCUCCUCACUUGGGUGACCAUUGUUGGAGUUGGCCAGCUUUGAAUAGCGUCGAUCUUGGCCUUAUCAACUUCUAUGCCCUGUGGAGUGACAACAUAGCCAAGAAACGAAACUCGAUCGGUGCAAAAGGUGCACUUCUCAAGGUUACCAAACAAACGUGCAUCUCUCAAAGCAUCAAAAACAGCACGUAAAUGAUUCAAGUGGUCUUCUAAAGAGCUGCUGUAAAUCAAUAUAUCAUCAAAAUAAACCACCACAAGUCAUCCUAUGAAAGCACGUAAAACUUUGUUCAUUAACCGCAUGAAAGUGCUAGGUGCGUUAGUAAGACCGAAAGGCAUGACUAACCACUCAUAUAGUCCAAACUUAGUUUUAAAUGCUGUUUUCCAUUCAUCGCCUAAUUUCAUUCGAAUUUGGUGGUAACCACUACGUAAAUCAACUUUAGAGAACACGGUAGAGCCACUUAAUUCAUCUAACAUAUCAUCAAGUCUAGGAAUUGGGUGACGAUAGUGAAUAGUAAUGUUAUUAAUAGCUCUACAAUCUACACACAUACGCCAAGAACCAUCUUUCUUUGGUACCGAUCUUUCGAUGAGAUACCUAAUUAUCGAUUUGGUAGGAGGUGACGUUGACGAUCCGACUACAACCUAGGAGGCAGCGCCUUAGCGAUCGAUACACCAACUCCAGAAGGUUAUUGAUCCCGCGGGGGCACGAUCAACCUAACCACGAAGGUCUUUAUUCCUGCAAGCAAUCGAAGAACAAGAUGAAAAGCAAUCUGAAAUUGCGAAUAGGAGAUAUGAAGGUUCACGAAUCUGAAUACUCAAUAUAGUUGGAGUCUUGAUGACGGUAAAACAGGUGGUGUAACCGACACACGCGAUUACACGAAAGUAGCAAAGGCUAAACUUCAUCUAAUCAAAACCCAAGGCUCCAUGGGGGGGCUCAUGGGGUAUAAAUAGGAGGGGAACUUGGUGGUUUUCGGAUAGGCCCUUGAGGGACUCCGAAUCGGCCUAGGAAUCCUCCUAAAACACAACGAAAACAUCUAAAAAUUGGCUGGACCCUAUUACAUGGCCUUAGGCCCAAUAAAGCAAGGUUAUAACCCUCAUCUUUGGCCCAUAGAUACCCAUUGGAGGGGAA
rnacentral:lncRNA from 1 species